rnacentral:lncRNA from 1 species
UUUUUUUUUUUUUUUUUUUUUUUUGUCAAACGGUAGAUUUUGUUAGAUUAGAUAUUAGAUUAGUCACCGACGGAGUUCGAACCUACGCUGUCAUGCAAGGACUUAACUCAUUUCCAUCACUGUGAUAAAUGACCACUUGCACUUAUGUCAGCUAUUCAGUAAAUGGUUAUAUAUGCCUCUACUUCUCUUGUAUCAAUGUGGGCCAUAUAUUAUCUUGCCAAAUACCCGAACUCGAAAAGCUUCGGGUAGGUGCAUAAGAUUCCAUAUUUAAAAAAAAAAUUAUAUUAAACAUAAAAGAUUAAAUGAGUCAUCCUCAUUAAGUUUUAUUAUCUUGAGGUUCUCGGUGGAUUUAUAUACCGAAGGAUAAUAUAGUUGUAAGUCAGAACAAGAAAGGAGAUCUGAUUACAUUUGAAGUAUUUUGAAAAUGAAAUACACAGACAAGGUAUUGUCUACAAAUUAAUGUUAACAUUUUAUAGUUUAAAUUGUUGCUUUCCUUUUUUUUUUUAAUCCACUGAGUCCGGUUUCAAAUCCUUUCCUCUUUUUUAUUUUUUAUUUUUUUAUUUUUUUAUUCUAGCUCAAAAUAGUAAUAUUGCUUGUAAUUAAAAAAUAAUAAUAAACAAAACAAAGCUAGUAUGUGUCUUGCCUAGCAUUCUUUUCCGGAAAGCUAACAUGGAAGCUGAGUAUAAAUGUACAACUAAUCCAUUGUUCAAGUGCAUGCAAUAGACGACUAAUUAGACCUUGUUUGUAAUCAAGUUAGUGGUAGUUUUAAAUUCCUGCAGUUUAAAAUACCCAAAGGUUGGACUGUGAUUCAUUGGAUCCGAUAUCUCCACACAAAUCCUGAGAAUUUUGAUGAUCCUAUGUGCUUUAAUCCAAAUAGAUGGAGUGUAAGACUAUAAAUAUUCUUGCAUGACUCAAUUAUAUAUGAACUAUUAAAAGAUAUAAAGAAGAAAAUAUAUUUUCACAAAUUUUCAGGAAUCAUCUAAGCCUGGAACUUACCAAGUUUUCUUAUGGUGGAUCUUAAAUUCUCAGGCGGGACGGGAACUUAUCAACCCUGAAAUCAUUUAUCUUUCACACCCAACCCAGCUGAUAAGGUUGAAAUCACGAUCAGCCAAAUUUAGAAAAAUGGAUUCCAUAUUUUGUUUAGCUUUGUAUUUUGGGUAGUAGAAGAAUGCCACAUGCAAACGUUGGGUAACUUUAUUGGAGUAUUAUUUGAACUAAUGUAAUGUUUUUCGUUCUCGACUGGCAAGUCUGGCAUAACAAGUGUUUGUCCAGCUUUUCUUUUUUCUUAUCUGGAUAUUAUCAAGCCUUUUUCCUUUGAAUUUUUUACUUUAAAAAAACUAGUCGAUCAUCUGAGUUCACUCUGUAUUCUAAUUAAGUACACUACAAUUUUUAAUUUCAAUUCUCGUUAUAUCUACGAAAACCCCAAACAAAGCCGAUUGUUUAUAAUAACGUAAAAGGAAUUGGCCUCAAACUGUUUAUAUAAGAUGAUCAUUAGAAAUUCGUACAUACUCAGAUUGGAUGGCCUCAAAAGGUUUUAUUGUCGAUCAAAAUCUCAGUAAUAAGAAAGACAACACAAAUUGUCCUGGCCAUCCAAGUGACGAGGAGAAAAUAAGGUUAAGGAAAAGAAACAAAAGAAUUGAUCAAUACAGCCAGCAAUAUAUAUAGGUUUAAUCGUUGCGUAGACAGAGGAAGAGGGUUUUUUUAAGGGAAAAAAAACAAUUUUUCUUCAAUUGUACGUAGUACUUAGUGGGACGAAAAAUCAAUAGCCGAGAUUGAAUAGUUGUGAAAAUAAAUUUAACGGCUAAAACACCCGUAACACUGAAUGUUAAUAACAUUGAAGUCAUGCACACCCGCGAAAAUGAGCAGUUUUUCUUCCAUUAUAUGUAUCACUAAGUAGUCCAUAAAAUCCACGAUUAAAUUUUACAUAUAGAAAUCUAAUGGAACUUUCAAACCGUUAAUUCUUUCAUAAAAUUCGUAGCCGAACCCAUUUGUACAAUUGGUGUGUACGGAUUAAUAGUGACACACCCCGUCCCGAAAGAGGGAGUGCUGGCCGUCACGUGAAAGUGACGUAACCAAGUGCACAGUGCGGAAGCUAAGAAAAUAAAUAGAAAUACGAAUAAAUAAAAACCGAAACACUAGCCAUUCUAGCUAAGAAAGGAUGCCAGUGCGAGUCUAGGUGUAUAAAUACACAACCAGAGCAAUAAGAACAUCUAGUUACAAUCAAUUAGGACAAUUACUAAGAUAUGACAUCCAAAGGUGAAUCCUACUUUUGUGAAUUCUGUCAGAACACUGUUGGAUUCCUCGUGGCCACCAAAGCACUGCUAUCUAGAACCUAGAGGGGCGAAAAACAAAAACACGUGAGUGGGCAAAAACAAAUCUUUUCAAAACUUUUUCUCCUUUUUAAAGGUUCUAACCCCUCGCCGUAAAACCUGUAUAAUUUCCCGGAAAAAUAGCAUAUACACAUAUAUACUCAUCUCAAAACAUAACUCAAAUCAUGCUAUCAAUAUGCCACUAAGUAUAUGUCAUGCUCAUAACCAUAAUAUGACAGAAAGGUAUUAACAGGUGAUGCAUCUCAAAUCAAAUCACAUAAGCCGGAUCCACCUCAGUGGCCUAUACGGCUGAAUAUAGCUCAUCAAUCAAUCUAGCCGAAGUCACCACAAGUGACCUGUACAGCUGAAUUCAUAGCUCAUCAAUCAAUCUAGCCGGAGUCACCACAAGUGACUUGUACGGCAUUACACUGCACACGAGUCGGAACCACUUAAAUGGUUUGUACGACAAGAUUGGGUGUAAUAUAGUUAUGCUCACUGCUAUGCUCUCAUGCUAGUUGUGCGAUAAAUCGCUAGUCACCUACGAGUCGGAACCACUUGUAGUGGUCUGUACGACAAGACUGUGCACCUAAAUUGGAUCCAAUAUGAGCAUAUGGUGCGGGAGGUGACAUAAUAUACAGGCAUGUGCCAGCUUUCUCUGGCUAAAUAACAAUCACCCUGGUGCAGGUUUAUGAGCUAUCGAUUCUCAAUCACAUCUCACAUAAUCAAUCAAACAUUUCCAUUACACCAUUCAACUCCUCAAAUAAGCAUAUUUCUCAUUCAUUUCAUCUCAUCUAUGGUAUGGCUACAUCUAACCUCUCGUUAGACUGCCUACGUACCCUAAACAGGGAUCAAGCUGUUCGUAGUUCACAAUAGUAUUUCAAAGCAUUCACAGUAGUUAAAUGUAUUACUCAAUUUAUAAACAUUUGUGAAAUUAUCAAUCACACACACACACACACACACACACACACACACACAUAUAUAUAUAUAUAUAUAUAUACACACGAUAGAAAGGAAAAUACCCACUCACCUGGAGUCCACGCUAUGAUUCUCUAGCACGCACAUCAAGGCGUCUCGAACGAUUGGUGCCUGUGACCAAUUAUCGAAUCACAUCUCAUAACUCUUAUCAAUAGAAUACGUAAUUCACAUAAAGCAUAUCCUCAAAGACAUUCUAAAAUAGUUUGAGACCCAUUGGUCACAAAUCAAACGUCGAUCAAGAUCGAUGGUAGGGUUUACAACCCUGUAUAAUUCGAUCCGGAAGAUCCGCAUAUCAGAUUUCCAAUCCGCAACCUCCAAAGAUCCACAAUAUGCUUCUAGAAUAACAUACUAAUAUUUCAUUACGAUCCAACGAUCGGAUCUCCGCCAAUUGCCAAAACCAAGUGGCAUCCAACAUUUUAUUUAAUGAACUUAAAAGCCCAAUUUGGGAAGAUACCUACGUCAGAUUCCCAAUCUGUAAGUUCCUAAAUUCUUCAAAUAUUAUGUACUACCACAUACCAAAGUUUGGUGACGAUCCAACGGUCGGAUCGUCAAUUCAUAUUUUGACCUAACCAUGCAUCGUAACGAAUUUAGGUUCGAAUGAUCAUCAUACGUCAUUCAUUCACCAAAACUGAAUUCAGAACAUGAAUUAUGGCCUAAAAAUAGCAUUGGCGGUUCACUGGCCACACGCCGCCAUGGGUGGCGGUUGGCCACCCCGAUUCGUUGGAAAAUCCAACUAUUUCCAAAAAUUAUCAAAAUUUAUAGAAAUGAAGAUCUCAACUAGUAGAGUAAACUUUAUACCUACAACCAAGUCCAAUUUGGUCUGGAAAGGCUCCAAUUUCUUCAAAACCGUGCCAAACCCUUGUUUUUGGGUGUCUUCGAUCCGUCUCCAAAACAGCUCCGCCGUUCCCAAACUUUUUUGGGCUUUGUUCUAGGCCUCAAGAGGAAGCUAGGAGUGGUAGUGAUUGGAAGAAAUUGCUUCAAAAACUGGAGGAUUUCGAACACAAACUCGCGGCACCCACGAGUGCGUUUUUCACCAAACCACCACCAAAUUUCAAGAUUUUUGGGGUGAAACAUGAAGAGGGAAGGUCUAGGUGUUGAUUGGGAGUGGUACCUUGAUCCAAUUUGUGAGAAAUCCAGUGAAAAUCGUCGAAAAAAUAGAGAUGGGUGCGCGGGUGCACAGGUUGGGGAAAACCCGUUUCUUCAUUUUUCCCCCGCUUCUCUCCCUUCUCCUUUCCCUCCUUUCUUGCUUUCUGAUUGGUCUAACCCCUCUCUCUUCUCUCCCCAUUCGGUUUCUACCUCUUUUUCCAGAUUGGGCAGCUUUGCCCAAUCCCUUAUUCCUCUAAUUUCCUUCUCUCCGAUGCCUUCCUCCUUCUUUUUCCCAUUCUCACAACAAUUAAUAGAAUAAUAAAGUUCAUAAAAUAUAGACAUAUAAAAAAUAUAUAUAACUAGAACUCAAAAUAAAAGUACUUCUCGAUUUAGAGUUCCGUAAAACUUUAAACGUAACUCUAAAUCCUCUUCUGCUUGCGCCUACGAGCCUGUGUCGAGUACUUCAUGAAUAUGCUAAAAGAAUUUCGUACGUCUCACUAUAUAUUGGUCAAUGAAAGCCAAAAACCCUUUACCUCUAGGGCAUUUUCGUAAAACCACGUUUUUAAAACUUAUUAAAUUGUAAAAUUAAGGACGGGUUGUCAUAAAUAGGGUUAGGGUUGAAGUGUUAAUACGUAAGCAACGUUGUAGAAUAAAAUAUAUAUAAUAUAUUUAAAAAGAUCUUAAGUACCAGCAAAAGCAUCUGGUUAAUCGUAACGACGCAUAUGAUUUUUGGUUUGACUACAAAAAUGCCGCAAUUUAGUGUCAACAGCUAAUUAAUAACUUUUGACGGAGCUCAACACAUAUGCAGUCAGCUAGGUUUACCUUUACCUUUUGUAUACAAGGCUGGUUACAAAUAGAUAGAGGUUGGUAGAUGGAAAGGGAUUUUACUUGAGGACACGGACUAAAGCUCAUCAACUAUGCUAAUUGAGCACAAUGAUAUUCUGUUUUGUAUUCAACAAUGUAAACAAAAUUAACUUUGUCCUUUGAAAAAAAAUAAGAAUAAAUAGAAGAGCAUUAUGCUAAGACGGGUAAGUGCAACUUCCUCUUUGGCACAUAAGGACAUCAACUAAAUUACCUCUUUAGCACAUAAGGGCACCAAGUAAAUUAAGUAUACAAAUAGCCCUAUUUGGCAUAUGGGAUAUUUAUUUUAUUGUGUUAUUCUCAUUUGAUAGGGAUAGGAGAUUAAACAUAAUAUAUGAGGGGUGUGACCGAGGCAGUGUUUUGUAUGUAGGUGUCAAGUGGGCUUUGUUCACCUUGUCCGCAAGCCAAAUCCUGGUCAUACGAAUAUUUAAACUAGGAUAUUUAGCCAAGAGGGGCUUUCGUAUGUGCUGCCUCUCAGAUUACGACAUUCGCCUACUGGCGCUAAAUUGCGGGCCGGUCAUAUGGGAUUUUUUUUUUUUUUUUGAGAACUUUAACGAAAAGCUUCUGGUACUGUUUACUUUAACGAAAAUCACAUUUUUACACUAAAAAGUCAAUCUUGAUACUAUUCAUUUUACCCUUUAUUUUGUCCUUAUCAUUAAAACUCAAAGUUUUCAAACCCUUUUCAUUAGUUUUCCUUUUUUUUUCUCUCGAUGUACUGGAAAUUCUCAUUACCAAGGCAGAGAUGCCAAAAAUACAAAUGAAAGUCCAUUGUGAGGCAAGCAAAAUAACAAGGAUAUAAACUAAGCAAUGUAAGGGGGUAAAAGAGAACCCAUCGUUGCUACCAAAGCUAAGACGUCACCCCUUACACUACCAAUACAUAAAUUUAAGGGGCGCAAGGUAACCCAUCAUUGUUUAGAACAUGAACAAGAGAAGAUAGGGGUUGAUCGACCCAAGUAAAGUCACACAUCUCCAAACAUCUUUGCGACGCCAGGUGGUCCACUGCCAUAUUGGCUAAUCUUGAGAUCCAAGACCAUCAACAAUCUUGAAAGGAUUCUCCUAGUUUCUUGCUCUUUACCAGAGCGGGAAAAGCCUCCCAACUGCCAUUUGUUAGUAUAUCCCUAAGGCAUGAAAUUGACUCUAACGAAUCGGAUUCAAUGAUAAUUGAGUUCAGACCCAAGGAAAUACCUAACUUGCACCCAUGAAGAAUGGCCAGUGCCUCAGUCGCCGUAACGCAUGAAGCAGAGAGACGAUACUUACGAGUUGCAAGAAAGCUACAAUUUUCGUCCCGUGCAACAACCUUAGCAAACCCCGCAUGCGAAGCAACCAACCAACUGGCAUCAACAUUAAUUUUGACAAAUUGGGAGCCCUAUGGAAACCAUUAGGCUGUCGCCAGGGUGACUUGGCUGCUUGACACCAAAUUCAGAGCGGGAACACGAGAAGCUUCCCUAAACGCACUGGCAUUGGUGGAAAUGGCUGCAAUCACCUGUCUUAGGUUAAUCGGUUGUUGUUGGAAAAGCAAGCAUCAUCUAGUUUUCCAGAUAUGCCAACAUGAAAACGCAACAUAAGACAGGAAUCGUCCCCGAUCACAUUUUGAGCCACUAUUAGAGUUGAUAAGAGUAAAAAGCUAGUUAGCCCAAGUUGUGAUUUCACAACGGUUAAUUUUGUACUUUAAAACUCCACCAAACCACACCGUCUCCACCCACGGGCACAUCAGAAAAGGUGUUCUACCGAUUCUACCUAGGACUUUCAAAAAGGGCAUAAUGGUGAUGGAGCGGAUUUCCACUUAAAGAGGGUUGUCAUUGUAACAAGCGUCUUAUGAAGCGUCUUCCACAUGAAGCAACGUUUUUUUUGGGGAGGGGUGUUUCUAGCUUCCACACAGCUUUCCUAAUAGGACCUGGGAUGGACGCGGAAGAGGAGGAUCCAUAAUGUAACAACCUGUCCUGGAAUUUACAGAACGGGAAGGCAAAUUCAUAAUUCCAUUAUGGGUAGGAUAUUUGAUUUUAAAUUUUGGUUUUUGAUUGGUCUUGUUUGGUGUGCCAGUGGGGCCCACCCUCACUUUUUGGUCCCCGACACUCUCUCUCUUUCCCCUCUUCUUCCUUCUCGUGUAACACUUACCCUUAGCUCUCUCUUUUCUAUUUUCACUCUCUCCUUCAAUGCACAUUCUCCUCCCCCGAGCACCACACACCCAGACACCCCAUUGAUGACUGGGUCACCACCACCGUGGCUCCCACACCGGUGACUUCACCACCCUCGAGAUCUCUCCAUCACGAACCUAGAACUCCCUCGGCUUUCCGGCGAUGGCCGUGAUCCUUGUAGGCGGUUCUCAGCCUUCUCCGACCACUAUGCUACUUUGGUGAGGUCGGUUCGAUUCCCUCAUCUUUUGAUCUUCAUUUUGGUAUAAUUUUAGAGUAAAAUGGUGGAAGAUCAAGGUCGAUCGGAGCUCGGGAAACUUCGACCUUCUUCUUCCUCGAAACCGGUCUGAGAACCCAGUCAACCGACCCAAACCUGGAUACCCAAGUCCUCUAGCCCAAAGCUUUGGGCCGGGCUAUCAAGCCCAAACUUAUUAUAACCUAGCCUUAAACCCAGACCCAAAACCCAUUGUGCCAGCCCAAACCCUUGGGUCGGGUUAUUAAGCCCUCUGAGCCUAAACCCAUGUUAGAACCUACAAGCCCAACCCAUUAAACUUGAAACCCAAAACCAGGCCUUUGGGCCACGAACCUUUUGGCCUAGAACCUGUGCCCAGGCCCAACUUAGAGAAACCCUUUGGCCCAGAACCAUAGAACCCAGGUCGCGCGUGAGUGGCGCGUGUUAAAGAUCGCUUGUGUCGGUGUGUGGAGCACAUAUGCCUCCGAUGAAAGUACUAUGCUCUACCGCUGUCCACAGCGGCACCGAUGACUUUUCCAGUGAAAUUUCCGACGACCCAUCUCGGUGAAUGCAGCGGCGCGUGGCCGUCGGGGCCGCCACCCCGUGGCGGCACGUGGGGUACUUGAGGUCCCCUCUUAUGUUUUUCGAUGUCUUGAAUUCGUUUAUGAUGUCUGUUUUCUGAAAUUCAAUCGUUAUGGUCGAAUUUUAUUAAUUUGACCAUUUAUGUGCUUAGGUACUAUUACUACGGUAUUUCCAUUCUUCUUAUUUCGCAGGGCUCUUCGACGAUAGAGUAUCUGUGAGUGAACCCCCUUCCAAAAUGCAUAAUUUUGCUAUUAGAAAUGCAUACAUGAAAAGCAUGAUUUAAUGGUUUUGUUUUAUGAGUAAAUUAACAUAAAAAAGCAAUAGGCCCAGACGAUAUACCAAUCGAAGUGUGGAAACUUUUGGGAGAGACAGGUAUAACAUGGCUCACUGACCUUUUCAAUAGGAUUUUGAAAACGAAGAAGAUGCCAAAUGAGUGGCGAACGAGCACUUUGGUGCCUAUCUACAAGAAUAAGGGUGACGUACAAAAUUGCAUGAACUAUAGGGGUAUUAAGCUAAUGAGUCAUACAAUGAAGCUCUGGGAGAGAGUCAUUGAGCAUAGAUUGAGGCAAGAGACACGGGUUUCGGACAACCAAUUCGGGUUCAUGCCAGGGCGCUCAACCAUGGAGGCAAUCUAUCUCUUACGAAGAUUGAUGGAAAGAUAUAGAGAUGGGAAAAAGGAUUUACACAUGGUCUUUAUAGAUUUGGAAAAAAGCGUAUGAUAGGGUCCCAAGAGACAUUCUUUGGAGGAUUUUUAGAGAAGAAAGGAGUACGAGUAGCAUAUAUCCAAGCUAUAAAGGAUAUGUAUGAAGGAGCAAAGACUGCCGUAAGAACUUAUGAAGGACAAACCGAAAGCUUUCCCAUAACUGUAGGAUUACAUCAAGGCUCAUCCUUAAGUCCUUACCUUUUUGCGUUGGUAAUGGAUGAGUUAACAGGACAUAUAUUCAAGAUGAUAUUCCUUGGUGUAUGCUUUUCGCAGACGAUAUAGUGUUGAUAGAUGAAACUCAGGAAGGGGUAAAUGCAAAGCUUAACCUUUGGAGAGAAGUGUUGGAAUCUAAAGGUCUUCGCCUAAGCCGAUCAAAGACAGAAUAUAUGGAGUGCAAGUUCAGUGCAAAUGGAGGCCAAAACGAGUUAGGGGUGAGGAUCGGAGAUCAAGAAAUACCAAAGAGCGACCGUUUUCGUUACCUAGGAUCUAUCUUGCAAAAGAACGGAGAAUUAGAUGGAGAUCUCAACCAUAGAAUACAAGCUGGAUGGAUGAAGUGGAAGAGUGCAUCCGGCGUGUUGUGUGACCGCCGUAUGCCACUGAAGCUCAAGGGAAAAUUUUAUAGGACGGAAAUAAGGCCGGCGAUGCUGUAUGGCACAGAAUGUUGGGCGGUGUUGAAACAUCAACACGUACACAAAAUGGGUGUAGCGGAGAUGAGGAUGCUUCGUUGGAUGUGUGGGCACACGAGAAAGGAUAAGAUUAGGAAUGAGGAUAUCCGGGGUAAAGUAGGAGUAGCCGAAAUUGAAGGAAAGAUGAGAGAAAAUCGGUUACGGUGGUUUGGACAUGUGCAAAGAAGGCCUACUGACGCUCCGAUUAGAAGAUGCGACUAUGGGACAGAGGUUCAGGGCCGAAGGGGUAGAGGAAGACCUAGGAAAACUUUGGAAGAGACUCUAAGAAAAGACUUAGAGUACUUGGAUCUAACGAAGGACAUGACACAGGAUCGAGCACAAUGGCGUUCUAAGAUUCAUAUAGCCGAUCCCACUCAGUGACUUGGAUUUUCCAAGUCUCCAACCGAGAAGUUUUCCUCACUCGGGAAAUUAAGGGAACACUACCCCAACCUACAUGCUCCACUCAGAAAGCUUCAACAUACAAGCUUCAACAUACAAGCUUUCAACAAAAGAAAAUUCAAAGAACUUAGCGAAGAAGGCUUUGGUGUAUUUAACACAAUAUACGUUGAAAUGAAGGAAAGCUUAUUUAUUGAUAUUCCCGAUAAGCUACAAAUAUGUACAUAUACAUGAGUCAAAAUAAACACACAAGAGGGAGCCUUCACAAAGGUUGCUUAGGAGAAGUCUCAGCAGUCGGUAGAGCCCCAGAAAGAGAAGGCACCGGAGGGGGAUCAUUUGGAGCCUCAGUACUGGACAGAACCCUAGAAGGAGGAGGCAUAAGAGGUUGAUCAUUUGGAGCUUCAUUACGCGGUACAGCCCCAGAAGACGAAGGCAAUAAAUGCCUUUGGAACAAACCCACAAAUCUCUGAUGAUCAAGUAAAACCUGACCAUCAGUUUCCUUCAUCUGGUCAAGCUUCCUCUUCAUGUUUGUAGCAUAGUCAUGUGCGAGCCGGUGCAACUGUUUAUUCUCAUGCUUGAGCCCUCUAAUCUCCUGUUUGAGACUCAUCACUUCAGCCGCCAAUGAUUCAACUUGGCGGGUUCGAGCAAAUAGGCGUUGGGCCAUAUUAGACACAGAACCUGCACACUGAACACUGAGAGCCAGCGAAUCCUUAACAGCUAACUCAUCAGACCGUUUGGAAAGUAGUCUGUUAUCUUUGGGAGUGAGAAGGUUCCUGGCCACCACCGCAGCGGUCAUAUCAUUCUUCAUCACGGAAUCCCCAACGGUAAGAGGACCAGUAGGGGAGACGAAGGAUGGGCGCCAUAUGUUGUCUGGAGAAGGCGGGGCUGCCUCUUCAACAAGGUUCAAGUCAAAACGACGGUCGGAGGGGCCAGACAUUUUCAAAGGUGUUGAAGAGAGAAGAGGUCGGACAAAUCAAGAUCUUAGAAGUGCAAGAAUGAAGCUUCUACUGGUGGAGAUUCAAGUGUGCUUUGGAACUUAAUGCCAGCCCCUAUAAAAAUCUGCACUCGACGGAGCUUCAGAAAUCGAAGAGGCGCCUGCUCAGAAAUCGAAGAGGCGUUUGCUUUCUCAAAAGUUGGGCUACUUAGAGAUCACGAGGGUUGAUCUCAGAAAUCGAAGAGGUGUUUGCUUUCUCAAAAGUUGGGCUGCUCAAAGACCACGAAGGCCGAUCUCAGAAAUCGAAGAGGCGCUCGCUUUCUCAAAAGCUGGGCUCCCCAGAGACCACGAGGGCCGAUCUCAGAAAUCGAAGAGGCACCUACUUUUCCAACCUUGUCAGCACCUGUCACACGCACACUCAGCUUUGCGGAAAUUAUGGGCAUUCUGUCAAAGACUUCUGGGGAAGUAGAAAACACAUGAAUCUUACUGUUCAAUCACCCAUUUCCCACACGCAACAAUAGCUCAUGGGUACCACAGAUAACUUUGCCAAAGUUCUCUGCCAAAGUUGAGCACGUGAAGCUUGCAGCUCCCACUACAUCGCUCUGACCAAGAAGGGUAAAAGAAUAGCAAAGAAACAGCACUAACAAAGUUUAGACCCAUAAAUUUUGAAGGUCUAGCUACCAUAUUAUUACCCACAAGGGUAAAGGAACAGUACCACUGCUGGAUAAUUGGAAAGUCCCUGUGUGUCAACCUCUGUGCUUCGUGGCAAGGUAGACUAGCAAACAUGCCCAACCUUUACUCACAUUCGAGAAAACACUCCCAAUAAGAUUGCUUGCUCCAAAAUCGAAGAUGCACCGUCCUCCGAAUCUAAAGAGCCAGACUCCCAACAUGACUAUUUUCUUAAAAAUCGAAGAGAGGGUAAAGGAACAGUACCAUUGCUGGAUAAUUGGAAAGUCCCUGUGUGUCAACCUCUGUGCUUCGUGGCAAGGUAGACUAGCAAACAUGCCCAACCUUUACUCACAUUCGAGAAAACACUCCCAACAAGAUUGCUUGCUCCAAAAUCAAAGAGGCACCGCUCUCCGAAUCUCGAGAGCCAGACUCCCAACAUGAUUACUUUCUCAAAAAUCGAAGAGACACUGCUCCCCGAAUCUCGAGAGCCAGACCCCCAGCAUGAUUGCUUUCUCAAAAAUCGAUGAGGCAUCGUUCUCCGAAUCAAUCGAAGAGGCGCUCGCUUUCUCAAAAGCUGGGCUGCUCAUAGACCACGAGGGCCGAUCUCAGAAAUCAAAGAGGCACCUAUUUUUCUAGCCUUGUCAGCACCUGUCACACACACACUCAGCUUUGCAGAAAUUAUGGGCAUUCUGUCGAAGACUUCUGGUGAAGUAGAAAGCACAUGAAUCUUACUGUUCAAUCACUCACUUCCCACACGCAACAAUAACUCAUGGGUACCACAGAUAACUUUGCCAAAGUUCUCUGCCAAAGUUGAGCACGUGAAGCUUGCAGCUCCCACUACAUCGCUCUGACCAAGAAAGGUAAAAGAAUAGAAAAGAAACAGCACUAACAAAGUUUAGACACAUAAAUUUUGAAGGUCUAGUUACCAUAUUAUUACCCACAAGGGUAAAGGAACAGUACCACUGCUGGAUAAUUGGAAAGUCCCUGUGUGUCAACCUCUGUGCUUCGUGGCAAGGUAGACUAGCAAACAUGCCCAACCUUUACUCACAUUCGAGAAAACACUCCCAACAAGAUUGCUUGCUCCAAAAUCGAAGAGGCACCGUCCUCUGAAUCUAAAGAGCCAGACUCCCAACAUGACUACUUUCUCAAAAUCGAAGAGAGGGUAAAGGAACAGUACCAUUGCUGGAUAAUUGGAAAGUCCCUGUGUGUCAACCUUUGUGCUUCGUGGCAAGGUAGACUAGCAAACAUGCCCAACCUUUACUCACAUUCGAGACAACACUCCCAACAAGAUUGCUUGCUCCAAAAUCGAAGAGGCACCGCCCUCCGAAUCUCGAGAGCCAGACUCCCAACAUGAUUACUUCCUCAAAAAUCGAAGAGACACUGCUCUCCGAAUCUCGAGAGUCAGACCCCCAGCAUGAUUGCUUUCUCAAAAAUCGAAGAGGCAUCGUUCUCCGAAUCUCGAGAGCCAUAUACCACAGACCACUUUUUCAAAGUGCUCUGACAGAGUUAAAACAUGUGAAACUGGCAGCUCCCACUAUUGUGCUAUGACCAAGCAGGGUAAAGGAAUAGCAUUACUACUUGUUGUUAGGGAGACUCCUAUAUAUGUCGACCUCCAUCCCCAACGGACAGGCAGACUUGCAAAAAUGCUCAACCCUUCAUCAUAUCUGAGAGGGCACUCCCAACGAAGCCUUUCGAAAUAUUCAGCUUUCUUUCCCCCCGAUAAUACCUCUGCAAACAAGCUAUUCUAGAGCAAGAAUAUCUCAUAUCAUCAGGGUUAAAAGCAAGAGUAUCCCAUAUCAUGCUUUUUCCCUGUCUUUUCUUUUGGCCUUGUUUUUACCUGCAAGACAAGGAGAAAGAGAGCAAUCAGUCAGCACUUGGAAUCAAGCUUCCAGCCAGGAACUGACUGCCUGGAACCCCUUACCUGAUUACUUACCUGGCAUUGCUCUCGAGUACUCAUCUUCAACAUCUUAUGUUUCCAGGGAAGAUUCCGCAUCUGCUUGAGGAACAGAUCGGGCAAGUGCGAAGGAUACAAGGAAGCAUGUGGAGCCAAGCGUAACAGCACACGUGCCGAUACAUCCAUUACUCUGUCAAAAGCAAAAGUAUCCCAUAUCAGCAGGGUGGAACGUACUCUAGAUUUGAUGGACUUGUUUUGACCCUCAAAUUCUUCAGUCGGCCUUAUACUCUGGAGGAAACCAAAAAACCCUCCAGCUCAGUUCAAGAAUAAGCCUGUGGAACGUUACUUCUUCAAAAGCAAAAGUAUCUCAUAUCAUCUCUUCUCAUUUUUCUUCUCUUUAUCCUUCAUGCUGCUGCAAGAUGGGGAGAAGGUGAACAAUCAGUCGGAGCUCUGAUUGCUUACCUUGUCUGUCACCUCUUUCAGCAGACCCCCUAGCUCGGCGACUUGGGGGACUCCUACUACAUGGUUUGUAUCGCGCUUGACCAAGCCUGAAACUACAAGUAAGCUUCAAGUGAAAUUGAUACAUUACCUUGUGCAUCUCCACCAGUUAAAGAUACCACCCCUGGAUGGAGGAAGAGUACUUCCAGAGAAGAUGCCACAUCUACCUAUGAGACAGAUAAGGCAAGUCAAGACGACACCACACUCCCGAUACUUAGAAGUUUCGUGAUUACGAGAUCAUUCUCCCACAAUAUUUCCUAAUGUCAUUUGUACUAAAUCAUUCACUUGUACUCACUAAAGGAGAGCUUGAACCUAUGUACUUGUGUAAACCCUUCACAAUUAAUGAGAACUCUUCUAUUCCGUGGACGUAGCCAAUCUGGGUGAACCACGUACAUCUUGUGUUUGCUUUCCUAUCUCUAUCCAUUUAUAUACUUAUCCACACUAAUGACCGGAGCAAUCUAGCGAAGAUCACAAAAAGCGACCGUUUUCGCUACCUAGGAUCUAUCUUGCAAGAGAACGGAGAAUUAGAUGGAGAUCUCAACCAUAGAAUACGAGCUGGAUGGAAAGAGUGCAUCCGGCGUGUUGUGUGACUGUCGUAGGCCACUGAAGCUCAAGGGAAAAUUUUAUAGGACGGCAAUAAGGCCAGCGAUGUUGUAUGGCACAGAAUGUUGGGUGGUGAAGCAUCAACACGUACACAAAAUGGGUGUAGCGGAGAUGAGGAUGCUUCGUGGGAUGUGUGGGCACAUGAGAAAGGAUAAGAUUGGGAAUGAGGAUAUCCGAGGUAAAGUAGGAGUAGCCGAAAUUGUAGGAAAGAUGAGAGAAAAUCGGCUCCGGUGAUUUGGACAUGUGCAAAGAAGGCCGUCUGACGCUCCGGUUCGAAGAUGUGACUACGGGACAGAGGUUCAGGGCCGAAGGGGUAGAGGAAGACCUAGGAAAACUUUGGAAGAGACUCUAAGAAAAGACUUAGAGUACUUGGAUCUAACGGAGGACAUGACACAAAAUCGAGCGCAAUGGCGUUCUAGGAUUCAUAUAGCCGACCCCACUUAGUGGGAAAAGGUUUUGUUGUUGUUGUUGUUGUUGUUUUAUGAGUAAAUUAUAUUUUACUUCUUAUGAGAUAUCAUGCUUUACUGAGAAUAUUUGGAAUAACAUGCUUUAUUGAUUUAAUGUUCUUUGUAGUAUAUAUGAUGGAUGACUAUAUACUAUGAAGAUGUUUUGAGAUAUGAUGUUUUAGUUACUACGCUCCGAUUUGAGAUAUAUAUAUAUAUAUUAGAAAUAUUAUUUUAAUAUUCUUAUGAACUUACUUAGUGGUUAUUCAUAUGACCUGCUUACGGGCGAAUGAUACUGUCUACGGGCGAAUGAAGAGUUCUAUAUUGGUUGGUGCCUACGGGCGGAAGAUACUUAUAUUGGCUUAUGCUGGGAGAUGUAUGAUAUGACUUCUACUGGGAGAUAUAUGAUAUGGCUUCGGCCGAGAGAUAUAUGAUAUGGCUUUGGUCGGGUGAUGUAGUGGCAUCGGUCGGAAGUUAUUUACAUUGGCUUCGGUUGGGUGAUGUAGGGUCCUACGAGUCAAAUGAAGAUACUUAUAUUUGGCUUCGAUGGGUGAUGUAGUGGCUUCGGUCAAUUAUGAUAACACUACUAAGCACAUUAUAUACGAUAUAUGUUUUAUGAAAGGUUUUAUGGCAUGCUAGGGUUUUCGGAAAAACCUAUUACUUAUUAUGCUAUAUUAGUUUUCUAAACCUGGGGGUUAGUACAUUGUGAAUAACUGUUUUUGUACUAUUUAUAUAUAAACUUGGUCCACUCAUAUUUGUUUUGCGCCCCUCAAGACUUAGAAUCGAGGCGUACAAUCCCAGCGUUAAGGUACUCCCGUAUCAGCAUCAAUAUCCCACUCCCCAUUUGUCUGGCAAAUUAGAGACACAACCCGAGUAUUCCGGCUUACCUAGCAGUGCCGCGUGGGAGAGGGCGCCCAGUAGGAAGGGAGGGAAACCACCUGUCAAUCUACACCCUCACCUCCUUACCAUUCAUGAUAUGCCAGUGCGACCCUUUAAGCAAUAAAUCUCUUUCGAAGAGUAGACUAGACCACGCUUAUGAUGCAAGGCCUCAACGCUUAGCAUCAAUGAAUGAACAAUAUGGAAAGUAGUAGGCUUUCAGAAUCGUUGCCCAUAGGGAAUUUGGAUCUUGGAUUAGUCGCCAACAUUGCUUGGCCAGUAGGGCAUCAUUAAAAUCCAUAAAACAUUUGAACCCAAGCCCCCCAUUCCCCUUUGGUAGACCCAUCGUCUCCUUUGAAACCCAAUGAAUGUGUCUUUCAUCCCCUUUUUGACCUCACCAAAAGUUGACAAUAAGAGCAUCCAUUUCUUUACAUAUGACUACAAGAAAUUUAAAGAGGUUCAUCGGGUAAGCAGGGAUUGCCUGCGCCACAUCCUUGAUCAACACCUCUUUACUCGCUUGUGACGAAGUAGAUUGUUUCCACCCUUGAAUUUUCCCCAAAAUCCUUCCUUUAACAUAUGCCAACCCCCUUAUCUUGGACCUCCCCCAAAUCGAUGGCACACCCAGAUAUGAUGGGACUUCCAUUUUGGGGUGAGGUACUCACCUUCUUUUGGUGUUCCAAAAUUGUUUGUCGUCUACUUUAUCAAUGAUAAUUUGGUUAAGUACUAUAUAUUUUCAUUUUCUUGGUUCUAUAUUUAUGUAACUAAUGAGUAACAUUAACAUUGCCUUUUUUUUUCUUUCAAAUAAAAUCUAAUGAGUAUUGACAAAUGAUUUAGGCUUAUUUUUAGUCAUGCACUAUGGAACUCGAUGUUAAUCUUACUUUGCUCCCUAUAACUCAAAAGUCACUACUUUACUCUCUAAAACUCAAAAUUCGCUUCACUUUGCCCCUUGGGACUCAAGUUUGAUCUCAGUUUGCCCCAUGAAACUUGAAAGUCGUUUCUACAAAACUCAAAAUUCGCUCUACAUUGGCUUAGAUUUGUUAAUUUAUUAUGUGAUUCGAUUUGGGCGAGGCAGCCUAAUCAAUUUAUUUUUUAUUUUUUUAUCUCUUCAAUUUCUUUUAAACAUAAUAUUCUAUGAUUGUUGAAUGUUGAUGCAUGAUGGAGAUUUAUAAUCAAAUUUAUUGCACAUGUGACAUAGUCUUAUUGGGUGUUGGAUCUCACAUAUGUUUUAGGAGACGACUUGUAAGUUUCAGGGAGAAAAGAGAGUCCACAAGUUUCAGGUAAAUGACCUAUAAGUUUCAGGGAGUAAAGUGAUGACUUUUAGUUAUAGGAGGCAAAGUGAGAUUAAAACGGAGUUCGAGAGGAUGUAGCCAAAAAUAAGCCAAUGAUUUAUUUCCAUUCUUUUUCUUCCAUAUAUGUCUACAGUAUACUAACUAGCUAGGUAGCUUCUUAGUAGGGAUUUCUUUGACGGUAGCAAUUAAAUACGGAAUAUGGAUAUGAUCAUCGUACGGACUAUAUAUUCAUAUUUAGCACUUCUUUUCAACGUUUCUCCAUUUUUUGCUGCUAUGUACGAGGUCUUAUACGGUAAACACAAGGUUUAUGUGUGAGUCCUAUCGCUUCGUUUUUCUACAAUAAAACAAGACACCUACUAAGAAGAGACUCGUACUAACUAUAACAUUAACAUAGUAGUACUGAAUGCUAUUAGUAUUGACAAAUGAGUUUGGAUUAGGUACGGUAGAGUAAGAAUGUAUAGAACUCACCUAUUCGGAGUACCAACCAUCAUAAACAUGUUUUCCAUGUUGGAUUUAUUCAAUAUAAAUCAACCAUAAAUGGUCUACUAUAUGUAAUAGGAAUGUAUAAGUUGGAGAUCAGUUAAGUUGCGAUUCAAUAUCCUUAUAUCAAUCCUACAUUAAGUGUCUUACAUUAUAAGUAGGUUUUUUGAUUGAAUCCUUAAUAAUAUAUGAUUAUGAUGUUUUACUUGAGAGCCAAGAAAGGAGAGUUUUAGCUUUCCCUUAUGGACGGAAUCUAAGACUUUUUGGCUAGUAUAUAAACACCGGUCCCUGCUAAUAUUAACUACAUUGCAAAGAUAAAAGAUUGGUACAGAGGAAGAGGAAGAAGACAGAGAGAAGCAAGAGAGAUUUUAGAGAAAGAGUUUAGAGAGAAAUAGGUUUUGUAUUGACUUACUGAAAUGAAGGUUACACAUACUAUUUAUAAAGAAAUCCUAACUACUUUAACCAAAUACUAACUACCUAACUAUAUUAGUAACUGUAUUACAUUUGUACCCUUAAUACUCCCCUCAAUCUCAACUGGGGUAUCCCAGUGUGAGAUUGCAGCAGAUUCUCAAAUAGCAAACACCGAAAUAUGGAUAAAUAGUUCAGUUUCUUCUCAACUGCAGUCUCCCACUAUGGUUGCCACAACUGACAGUUCAAAGUUCUUCUUAACUGGUCUGGCCCUAACUUUUGCAGACUUCCAAAACAACAGAUGUAAGACAGCAUCAUUAUGUUUACAUAUGUCAUCAAUAAAUCUCUGAUUUGCACGUAGUUUUCCGUCAUACACAACUUCUUGUUCUUCUAGAUCAACAAACUCUUGACUUUUAACAAACACAACACAACAAACUCUACAAUCCUUCAAGCUUCAAGCUUUCAGCAAUGGAGAACAAAUGAAUACGCACCUCAGAUUCAUUUUAAGCCGGCAAAGAACAACCCCCUGCAAACCAAGCCUUUCAACAGCUACAACUCUAAUCAACUAAUCUUUACAGAAAACAUGGCUUCGUGCCCACAAACUUCAAUCAACUAAUCUAUACAAAAAAACAUGGCUUCGUGCCGCAAACUUCAAUCAACUAAUCUAUACAGAAAACAUGGCUUCGUGCCCACAAACUUCAAUCAACUAAUCUAUACAGAAAACAUGGCUUCGUGCCGCAAACAAACAGUAACUGGCUUCGUGCCGCAAACAAACAGUAAUGGCUUUGUGCCCAAAGAAACAAACUUGAAAUGGCUUCGUGCCGCAAACAAGGAAUAAUGGCUUCGUGCCUCAAAGAAAUCAAUCGACUACUUCACAAAAUCAAAGAAACAUACACUUUUGCAGGGAAUUGGCAGCUCCACUAGAUCAUCAAAGUAGUGGAACAGAGAACAGAACAUGGAUCAAAUAACACUAGAAAAGCACAGACCAAAACCCAGAGACGGUGCUCGGCAGUGGUGAGGUCGGCGACAUUCCAUCUGCUUUCCUUGCCGUCACCGACCAAAACCCACAAAGAGUGAUUACUGCCUAUGUUUGGCUAUUCAUGCCCCUCUAAAGGAAUUGUUGAGAUUUGGCAGAUAACAAUGAAGUUUCAGUUUGUAACGACAAUAUACCUCGAAAAUAUACUUCUAACGCAUUAAAACAAACAGGUGAUGUGCAUUUCAGAAACCAGAAAAAAGAACAAGCUUGAUGAUAGAUAGUCGAAAUCAUUACCAAAAUCACAGAGAAGCACCAUAAAUCUUCAACAAUGUCAGCAGAAGAACAAAAACUCACUGCAGCAAUUCAUCAAACACCAACGAUGCAUAAAAUUUCAAGAAUGACCUGAUAAACAGCAACCAUGAAUCGAAACUCCAAUCUUGAAUCAACCAACGCAGAUGAAGAAACCCAGAUCGAGAAACCCAAAAGAACCUGCAGUCUUUAUGCUUCAACGAAAGAAGAAAAAUGGCACCAAGGAUGUGCGUUGCGUAUGAGAAUCUGAGGGUGUCGCAUGAAGAGUUCUUCAAGAAGCGACACGAAGAUAUCGAAGCAGAGAGUUUGAAGGAGUGCGACCAUGACUGCGGAGGUUCUCUCGCAGCUCAACGGCGUCAUCGCGAACGGCAGACAGAAUGGAGCACCGAAGAUCAACCCAACAAUCACAAUCACGAUCCCAACAAUCGCAGAAAAAUCAACCCAAGAAUCUACUGGAAAUUUGAAGAGACACUAAACUAGGAAGAAAAGAAAAUGUAAACUACUACGAAGAAAAACCACCAGAAUCCAUGGCGUGAGCCUGGUGGCUCUGAUACCAUAUUAACUACAUUGCAAAGAUAAAAGAUUGGUACAGAGGAAGAGGAAGAAGACAGAGAGAAGCAAGAGAGAUUUUAGAGAAAGAGUUUAGAGAGAAAUAGGUUUUGUAUUGACUUACUGAAAUGAAGGUUACACAUACUAUUUAUAAAGAAAUCCUAACUACUUUAACCAAAUACUAACUACCUAACUAUAUUACUAACUAUAUUACAUUUGUACCCUUAAUAGCUAACCCUAGAGACGACAACUAAGGCUUCCCAUAGAGCAUUGUCAUAAGGCUAGGAGUUUGCAGAAGAGUUGGUGUUUCUGUUUGUCACGGCAAACGCAAAGAUUGGAGUUUUAUCGAUCACGUCUUGCUUGCAUGGCUACUACAUCUUCGACAAUUGCUAUUGGAAUCAGGUCAGUCACUCAUUCGUUUGUGUUUUAAUUGUAUAACCUAAUAAGACUUACAAUUGGUAUCAGAGCCAUUGGUUAUAUGAUUAAAACCUAUUAGGUUUGAAGUUUGAUUCUAUAAUAUUAUUCUUUUUGGACUGCGAUUUUGAUCUUAAAUCCAAGUUGUGAUUCUAUUCGGCAACAUCACCAUGUUGGACCUGCUUGAAAACUGCAUAUUGUAUGUUUCCGCAUAUAAUUGCAUAUACGUGGCAUAUUAGUAUGAUAUGCACAGCACAAGUUUUACAUCAGUUCCUAUUUGGUCUUAGAGACCAAAAUUAUCAGUUAAACAAAACGAUUACAGAAUUGGAUAAUCUGUUUCUGCGAAUGGUGCCUGUCGAGUUCACGUUUUCUUCCACCGUCACCACCCUUCAAAUCCAUACGUGGGCUUUUCUAAUUGAAGCACUUAAUGAUGAUAUUGAAUUAACUAUAAUAAAGGAAGAUUGAUAUAGUUGGUUCAUUAUUUUAUGGAAUUGUAUAAUUGGAAUACUAUGAUGCUUAACGUUUUCUAUUUCACAUAUGCAUCGCAUAUGAGAUCCUGAUGGAGGUGGGUUAAGGAGCGGAUAAAGCCAACGAACCAUGUCGAGGCAUAAAGACACCGUCGUCCAACAUAAGACAAGUCAUGGACGUCACCUCCCAAGACAUGUGUAGCCUUGCAGGAAAUCACAUAUUUUGCUAUCGGAUAUAUCACUCAUAAAUUGGUAAACUAAUAAUUGUUGCAUGGUAGGUUUUCAAGCACUUCAAGCUUUCUUUCUUGUAUUCAGUUCUCAUAAAGAAAGAUUGGAACAGUUUGCUCAUCUUUACUAAAUUAAUUAUGACUGGAAGAAGAUGACAUGCUUUAAGCUUUCUAUUUCGAUAUUCAUGCCAAUGUUUUGGUUGAAUUGAUUUAGUGGUAGAUACAACUAUUUGGCUAACGUUGUUGUCAAUUUUGUAAGCAUAUAGAAAUAUGUACUUCUGUACUAAUCUUACCAAGAAAGACUAUGAAGCAUCUCAAGUCAGCAAGAUCGGUAAAGUCUCCUAUCAAAGCAAACAAUAUUGAUCAUUAUAUGUGUCAAUUGCGAAUUAAUUAGUUGAUCAUGCAUAUGGUUAUUUUUAUUAUUAAGUUUUUAAACUUGGUUAUCAAAACAAAGAGAAAAUAUAUGUUUUGAACAUGAUAAAUUCUACUAUGCAUGUAAAAGGCAUACCGAGAAGCAUAUGUAAAUAUGCAUAAAUUAUUUUACUUGUUUUUUAGACUUUAUUCUGUCAAGAUAGUCUGGAUGUUUCGGCACUAGUAGUCUAUUGCACUGUUUUUCAUGGGUAAAAUAAAUUCAUGGAAAUAAAUUUUGAAUCAGUUUUGUUACAUGAUAAUGUGUAGACCGAAUGUAAUUGCCAUGUCAUUGGUUGCUAUGGGAAGUAAUCAAUAUGGAUUAAAAUUUUAACUUUUGCAAACAUGUAGCAAAAUUGACAUAUGGCGUGUUUUAAAGGGAUUGGGUUGUCCUAUAUUGCUUUAAGCUUGAGAUGAUCUUAUGUAAAGACACAAAUGUGUUGAUUAGUAAUGCAGCAUACUAGCACUUAAGUAUGAUUGGGGAUUAAUUCAAGUACGGUUUAUAAUGAUAUUAAGUCCAUAAGGAAUUUGAAUGACUAAUCAAAUUAGUUUUGUCUACAAUUUUGCUUUUCUAUUUCAGUAUAGUCAUUUAAUUGUACAUGACUAGUUAACUAUGAAAUUGAUGCAUAACUUGUGGAUUGACUGAGAGUGACAGAAAGCAUCUGGUGGCAAGAACAAGGACAUUAUACAUAUGAAUGAGGUUUGCAGUAAUUAUGUGACACUUCUCAUUUGUAUUAUAUUUAUUCUUAUAUGAGAAUUAUGGUGGUCAUGUGAUUAUAUAUAUGUUUACAAAGAAGUGGUGAACAUAUGAAGGGAUGAGGUAUGUAAUCCAUUCAAAGUAUGUGAUUGAUAAGCAUGAAUUUUCAAACAUGUAUUAUUGUUUGUGGUUUUUCCUAUGCCUAAAGAAUUUAAACAGUGCUUUGAUUAGUAAAUUUUAUGUGUCAUAAGGGGAGAAGAAAAACAAGCUUUUGAGGCUAAUGUAGGGCACAUAUUGGAGAUGUUUUCUAUGGAAGAAAAUAAUUUUGGUUGUUCCUUUUAUUUAAUUUGGUAUUUACAAAGCUAAUGCAUGAUUUUAAUGCUAUGUUUAGUAGUUUUGUACUACGGAAAGAAAUAUAUAAAAGGAAAGGAACCCGUUUGAUAUAUAUUUGAGCGAUUUAGCUUUUAAAUUAAAGGGAUGUAUUGUUCUCUCACAUUACAUAAAGUAUUUCUAAUUGACUCCGUAAUGAUAAGUAUUGACAUUCUUGUGGUGAAAACUUGUUCUAUAUGUGAUUAAUCUCCUUCAAGUAUGUUGUCAGGUUUUUGAGAUUAAUUUAAUGUCAAAGGGAGUCAUGAAAUGUUGGCAAGACUCGAAGCUCGAAUCAGGUUAUCAUAAUUUUGUCACUUACAGUUAAUUAAUCCAUGUGACUUCUUGUAUUGUUUCAAGGCGGAGUUGACCAAUGCCUUUUCAACUAAGCAAGACGCAACGGCUUAGUUGACGAUGAGACUGUGUUUUUGAGUUACUUCGGUCAACUUUGCAUCUUAAUUAGAAUAAAAGGGAUAAUCUUCUUGCCUACAGGUGUGGAUUACUUUCUUUUUUAAUUAAGAUGGCAUAGUAUGAGUUUUAUUUCACAGAAGUUGUGAAAACCUUCAUCUUGCCUACAGGUGUUGAAGUUUUUCAUGAAGGAACUUAUGUGACAUAAAAUCUAGUACUAGAAACUAGUUAAUUUUCUUGCCUACAGGUGUAAAUUAAUUUAGUUUCAUGAAGUUUAUUGGGAUAAAGUUCCAUGCCAUUAGUGACAAAUAUUUCCACAAUGAGCCCCAUAAAAGGUUGUGGUUUGAAGGCAUGGUGUAUUUUGUAUCUCUUCAUGAGACUUGUUGAUGCAAAGUAUUGGACCCAUAAAGGUUAAUCAAGGAUUGCUAAGGUAUGCAUUGUUUAAAUCUUAUGCUUGUAAAUUUUUCAAUUUGAACUAUGAUGUUGUUUUAGAGGAUGAAAUUUGACUCCUAAAGUUUACUUUGGACAUCGAAAUUGAAAUGAUAUGAAAUUGAAUCUGUCAUAGAUGCAUAAAUUCAUGAUAGAUGUACAUAAUUGCUUCUGGCAGAUUGCGUGUCUUGAAUUAAAUCGGGUGAAUGACACGACUAAUGGUCACCAAAUGACCUGAAAUUUUGAUAUAUUCAACAUAUAGAUUUCUACUAUGUGUCUGCAAAUUUUUGUAAUUUUCUUCCAUGUAUUUUAAUUAUGGUGAAUUUACUAGUAACCCAUGCUCGUAUAGACAGUUUUACUGGCAGAUUGUGUUGGUCUUUUUGAGACAUAACUUUGGACUACUAUUUUGAACCAAAACGGCUCUGUAUUUUCAUUUUUGAAGAUUAGUAUGUCUAUUUUGAUCAGUAUACAUUUGGUAGCAAUCAAGCUUGUAAAUUAAUUAUGAUAAAUUCUAAAGUAAGUGUAACUCAUUCCUGAAAUUCAGUUUGACAACUUUAUGUUGGUUGUGAUGUCUAUUUUAUUAUGUCCAAAAUAUAAAGCAGUUUUAUUUAGGUACAUCUUUGAAAGAGUGUUUGCCCAAGUGGGAGAAUUAGUGAACGAAAAUUGGGCUUCACACUCAUUAACUUAUUUGCAAGUAUAAACUCUGAAAACUUAGUGGGAGUUGUUCUAAAGUUUGAGCAUUAAGUGGACUUGCAUGAAUCUAUUAAAGCGUUAUUCUAUCUUCCAUGAAUUUGUGUUACUUGAAUGUCUAUAAUAUGUUUAAGUUGCACGAAUUGAUACUUGGUAUAUGCGUACAUUUUUCUGUUAUUUGCAAUCAUUUGGAUUUCUUGGUUAAUCAUUUGUUUUGAGGCUCAUAAGGACUUAGCAUAAAUGUGGACUUAUUAAUACAUAUAAGAUGGUUCUUGGAUGCAUAUUUUUGUGUAACAGUGAUGAAUGCUUUUGUGCUUAGUUGUACAUUUCAUUGAGGUAAUAUGCAUUCAUUGACUAUGUAAGGCUAUUCCCAAAGGCAUAUUUUCAAAAAUAUGAUUUAAGUAUUGAUUUGCAAAUUAAGUAACGAUGUUGUAGAUCAGCGGGAGUUUGAGUUUAGUGUUAGUAAUGCCUUACAUUUGCAGAUGACCAAUAAGGUAUGUAUAGAAUCCAUGUAUAUUCAUUUUAAUCUCCAGUUGGAUUCAUUAAGUCACAUUUUACGUGUGCUAGUCAAUCAUCUGAUGAAAUAUAUAUCAGAUAUCAAGUUGUUAUCAAUUUGCAUAUUAAAUGGCAUGACAUGGUUUGUGCACUGGCUCCGUUGUGAGGAUUUCCAUCUUGCCCGCAGGUGUUGGAAAUCACUAUGAAAGUAACUGGUAUUGUGCAUAGAUCAGUGUCAAAAACAUAUUAAUUCAUCUUGCUCACAAGUGUUGAAUUAAUUUGUUUUAUGAAGUUUUGGAAUAAUAAAAGUUUACGUUGGCAAACAUGCAGAAUGCUUGAAAAGCAUAACGUGUCAUUUUGGAAUGAUAAAAGGUUUGCAUUGGCAAACAUGUUGACUGCUUAAAAGCAUAAGCGUGACUUUGGAAUGGUAAAAGUUUGCAUUGGUAAACAUAUAGACCGUUUAAAAGCAUAAGGUCUGACUUAUGAAAGUUACGAUAAAGUGGACCUGAGAUGAUAUAGAGUAAGAUAGUUUUUGAGUUAAAGUUCAUCUCUAGAUCAUAAUCUGGUGGUUUUCAUGUGAAUGGUUGACUCAAUGUGUGUGAUUAUGAAGGUUCUGAGAUGAAAUAUCUUUACAACCUUGUUAGUUCUACAUUGAGGAAUCCAUUUGACAGAAAUUUGAAUUAAGGAUGGGAUUGGAUCGCAGUGAUAUGGCCAUUAAAGAAACAAUGAUCUCCGACAUAUGUUUUGAAGCAUGAUCAUUACAAUUAGUGGACCAAGUGGGAGAAUGUUGGAUUUAUUCAAUAUAAAUCAACCAUAAAUGGUCUACUAUAUGUAAUAGGAAUGUAUAAGUAAUAUAUGAUUAUGAUGUUUUACUUGAGAGCCAAGAAAUGAGAGUUUUAGCUUUCCCUUAUGGACGGAAUCUAAGACUUUUUGGCUAGUAUAUAUACACCGGUCCCUGCUAACCCUAGAGACGACAACUAAGGCUUCCCAUAGAGCAUUGUCAUAAGGCUAGGAGUUUACAGAAGAGUUGGUGUUUCUGUUUGUCAAGGCAAACAUAAAGAUUGGAGUUUUAUCGAUCACGUCUUGCUUGCAUGGCUGCUGCAUCUUCAACAAUUGCUAUUGGAAUCAGGUCAGUCACUCAUUCGUUUGUGUUUUAAUUGUAUAACCUAAUAAGGCUUACAUUCCAGGGAUCAACAAGUUUACGUUCCAAGCAGAAUAGCAGAUGAAACCUUCAUCCUAGACUAGCCCAUUGUUGAUAUUGUAGGUGCCAGUUCUAUAGUGGCAGUUCACAGAAAGUCUCAUACUAGAGUUAGAAGCUAUGUUGUAACUCAUGGUGACUGCACUUGAGUCGUGGGCUCAAAACUCAGAAGGGUAGAGUCAAAGCAUAUGAUGAAGCCAUGAAGCUAAAUUAAUUAUCAAAACAAUAAGUGAUGAAGGAAAUUUGAAGUUUUACUCUAAAAUCAAUAUCAUUUUUUUUUUUAACAUAACCAAACCAAUAUCGUUGUAUAGGAAAAUGUAUUUGUUUUGUAGUGGGUACUACGUAAGCGACACGUAAAACAAAUAAAAGAUGGUUGGAAACAAUCUUAAGAGCAUAUAAUAGACUUGCUAAAUGAGCUUCUAGCUAAAAUAGAAAGAAAUUGAAAAAACUUAUCUCCAAUCACAAUUCCUCUUCUGCUUUUAAGAUAACUAAUCUUCAGCGAGCUCCUAAAUCUGGAAAGGGAGAAAAAAACUCCUAUAAUUUUUAAUUAAAAUUUGAUUUGAUGAAAUUAAAUACAUGAUUGAAGAUGCUCUAGAGACGCAUAUAAUGUUUGAUAUAUGAAACACCCCAACCUCAUUUAUUUUAAAAUAAUUGUUUGGACCUAAAUUGGUGAGCCAAGGGGCCCACCCCUUUUAUUUUGUCCCUCGGUCUCUAUCCUCUCAGCCCUUCCCUGUGUUCUCCCUCUUCUCUCUCUCGAAAUCUUCUCUUCCUCACUCCUCGAUCUCUCACCCUUCGACCCAUACCCGAGAGCAUCCACACCUGCAACUACUCUACUCGAGAACAUCAUCAUCAUCAAGCAUUGCUUUGGUCUUUCUUCCAUCGCAGCGAGAUUGGUGAAAGUAGAGAAAAUGACCUCCGGCGAGUUCCUCGCUGCUUCGACGAUAGGUAAGCCUCGGGAUUUCUCUCUCUAUCUCUGUACUCUUUAUCCCUCUGUCACUUGAAAACCUUCUCAUCCCUCCCUCUUUCUCUUGCACCGUGAUUACACACACCCACAGCUGCUCGAGGACAUCAUCAUCAUCUUGUCGUCCCUUUCUCUCUCGACGUGCGAAGCUUGACGGAGCACAGGAAAACCCAGCGAACCCGCGAGCACCCAAACCCGAAUUUCGAACACCACCGGCCGUUCCACGGUAAACCAAGGGUAUAACCUCGCUCCCCUCUCUUUUCUCUUUAAUUUGAUGCAUAAAUCGGAGCUUUGGGUGUAUGUUUGUAGUUGGUCGGAGCUGUAGAAGCUCCGGUGUCCUUAUCCGGUAAGCACCAGGCCUUUAGGCCGUUCUCAAAGGCUAUGGGCCUUAAGCCCGUUUUUGUUUAACCCCUAAACCUUUUCAAAAUCAAGCCUUAGGGCCUUUUCCUUUUAUUUGGGGCUUAAAGCCCGAUUUUUGGUAACUAGGCCUGCGGGCUGUGCCUUGUGGGUGUGUAUAGGCUGUGUGUGUUGUGUGGUGUGUCCGUGUGUGUGUAUGUAUAUUCUGUGUGUGUGUAUGUAUGAUUGUGUAUGUGCGUAUGUGUAUAUGUAUGCACGUGUGUGCGUGUGCAUGUGUUGUGCAUGUGUGUGGUAUGUUGUGUGUGUGUAAGUGUGCAUGUGUGAUGUGCGCGCAUGUGUGUGUGUUAUGUGUGGAUUUGGGAUUAAGCCCAAACCACCCUUUUUAUUCCUAAGCCUAUCCAAAACCAAAACCCAAUAGAUUCUAACCUUAUUUAAACCUAAACUUAAACCCUAAUCCGGAUUUCAAACCUAAAACUUGUUAGACCUAAUUUGACCGUUGACCCUCGGUCAACAUUGACUUUAGGGUUGACUUUUCGAGUUUUCGUCCGGGACCCUUCUAAGGGUAAUUCGACGUCCUGAACCCAUUUCCAAUGUCCGUUUUUCCAAAUUCAAUCGUUUAAGUAGAGUUUGACUAAAUGUAACCUUUAUGUGCUUAGGGGCAAUUAUUGUGACACUUCCGUCUUCGCUAGUGGCAUAGUUUUUUGCGGCUAAGUACUGUGAGCGGACCCCUUCUAAAAUUUCAUGAUUUUAUAAUUUAAUUGCAUAAAUGAUUAGCAUGCCUACGAAUUUAUGAUUCGAUUUAUGUUAAGCCUGUUUACUGAAUUUAUUGAUUUUUCAUCUCGUGUUUUUGGUGAGGAAUUAAUUGUUAGUCUAUAUUGAGCUAUAUUUUAAUAUAUCGUAUUUUUUAUAAAAACCAUGAACUGGUAGACUAUCUGAUGGAUGACGAUAGGAUGCUAGAACAUGUUUUAGAAACCCCUCUUUAUAGUAUAGACGAUGGAUGACUUUAUACAAUGAAUUUGUUAUUUAUGAGAGGCGUAACUAUUUGUGCGUACCUAGAUGACACUAUGCCGUCUGGGACGAGGAUCUGGUAUUGGCAUUUAGGCCGGGAGAAAUAAUCCCUAGCUACGAGCUGAGGGACAUGGAGUAGGUAUUGGGCCGGGAGUUGGUAAUCUUUGGCUACGAGCACAGAGACCACGAAGCAAGCAUUGGGCCGAGAGUUAUAUUUAUUCACUGAUCUUUCUAGCAGCACACCAUGCUUAUAAGACGAUCUAUUAGAUGUUUACUGUUUUGAUUUCUGUGACGUUAUUCCGCGAUAUGACUUUUGAGAUAUUUUGGCAUGCUAGGAUUUUUAUUAAAUCCAUCACUUAUUAUGUUAGUAGUUUAUAUAUAAACUUGGGGGUUAAUAUGUUCACAACUGUUUUCGUAUUAUGUAUGUAUAUAUAACUUGGUCCACUCACCUUUCUUUUGUGCCCCCAUUCAGGACUUAGGAUCAAGGCACCUAAUCCUGGCGUCAAGACACUUUCGCAGCAUCAUCUUUGAAUUCUCUCGAUGUAUGACCCACUUCUUUAUUCAUUCAAUUUCAUCUUAAUUCUUUUUAGUGAUUAGGUUUAAUUGUAUGCUCUGAACACGUUCCUAAAUUUUUAAUUCAUUGUAUUUUAAAUUUCUAACUCUUAUUUAUUUCUUAUUCUUAACUUUUGUAUCAAUUAAUAUCUUUCGUCACCCUCGGGUGUCGGCCAGCACGUGUCUAUCCUGGUAUUCGGGGAAUAUCAGGGUCAGGGCGUGUCAAUAUAACUACAUAAAUGCCUCUAGUAUAGCUAUUGACAUACUGAAUAUUUUUUUACGGAGCUGUUUAGACUCAAAUUUACACAAUCAGCCCAUGCAAUCAAGGUCGUCGAAUGAGCAGGAUUUUAGACCGUUGAAAGAUAAAGUGGUUGAAAUGGUUUUUAAUUAUUAUUAAGAAAUGAUAUUGUGAUUUUAAUCAUGAUAUUAUCUCUUAGUAAUAUAUUAAAUCAUUUAAACCUGAUAUUUAUCUAAAUCCCAAUUUGAAUGAUUAUGGGAUAUUCGGUAUUUGGCAGUGCAGCUAAUGCUGGAUUAAUUUCAUGCAAUUAAUCCAUGCAUAGGAUAAAGGUGAAAGAUGGUGAUGUGAAGUGAUUAGGAUGGUUAUAUCUAGAUAAAAAAAAAAAAAGAGUAGGCUUCAACCUACGGACAUGAUGGAAAAGCUAAUUAUCAAAAGAUAGUGACAUGGUAAUUUCUUGACCAUUGAUCACAUGAUGAUAGGAUAAGGAGUAGGCGUGUUUGGUCAGAUGUGGUGUAUUUAAAUACUGAAGAUUUGUGGUGUAAAGAGACUUAGGGAUUGCUUCAGUUUGGUAGUCAUGAUACAUCAGAAGAUAAGAGAUUAUUUGCUAGUAACUGUGACACAUUAAGAAACUCAGAGGUUUAUGGCUUGGCCAUGAGCAAGAGCAGCAUUAUAAAUACAGAGGCACUGUGCAUCGUAAAACCUCUCCAACUCAACACGUAAACUGCCCUGCGCAAACUCUCGCUCUACGCGAAACCUCUCAACAACCUUGAGAUUUUUAUUUUCUUUUCGCCGACACAUUUUCAGUUUGGAUAAAGAACACUGCGUCGAGGCCGACUGGUUAUCUAUCCAAGUCUCGAUCGAGAAGGAUUUUCGAAUCCUUAUUGGCAAAGGUCAUCUCAUUAGCCUUCUCGGCAAAAUGAGGUGUUAUAAGUUACUACAUUUGACACAUUGAAAGCCGAAUUUGAUAUUGAACUUCGCAGAACUAGCAGCCUGUCUUCAGGCUCUAGAACCCGAAGGCCGAGACAUGUUUCUUCCUCGGCCGUAGUCGCAAGGUCAAGAAGUCAGCAGCGCGCCCAACGCGACAUCAACACAUUUUACUCCCCAAUCUAGCUCGGUCGACGAGUGGCAUGCCCCGCACAUAGCCGAAUGACGUAGUUAGCUCAUUAGUUACUUGACCUGCGUGCCACGUAGGCUAGGUAAUUUUUAGGGUCAAAAUUUUAGCACUCCCAGUGGGACCUAAUGCUAAAACUGCGAAGUUCAUAUAAUAUAUCAAGAUUCCAAUCCGGCUUCAUUUAGCUGAUUGCACGAGCUUCUUGCUCAAUUGAAAAGAAACAGUGAAGAUGGUACAAAAAGUCUUGAAGAGGAUAGAAAUGCCUUGAGGAGGAUAAAAGAUCAUGAGAAGCGGUAAAAGUUCUACGUGGUGUGAGAGCCAGGCAAAAAUCAUUCGCCUACAUGUUAAGAAUAAAAGCUCAUGUUACCUUACAAGAGCAAUGGGUAAACAAAGAUAGUGCUCGAUUUAAUGCCUGGCUAGAUGAAGAAUGAUUUCCUUACGUUUCUGACCACAAAUCAAUUCCAUUUGAAAAAUGGUUAAGUCCAAAGGCCGGGGGGCAAUUAUCCGCUUCGGCCUAAAAAAAUUGUUCAUUUGACUGAAGAAACACCUAGGCCACCUAUUGUCUCGGUUGAGACUGAAAGUGUGGUAGUAGGCCUAGAAAAAAGAGUUUAAGUUUCUAAGCCAAAAUUCGACUCAAAAAAUUAUUCGUCAGAGGAGUGUUCCAAUGAUGAACAAGACCGAUACACGGCUUCAAACCAUAAAACCACAUCAAUUGAUAUGGUUGUUGGAUACAUGGUUUUAGACGCAGAAACUACACCAGUUGAUAUGAUUAUUGGUGAUACAGCCGUUAUGGAGAAUUCCCGUUUGGCUAACUUAUUUGAGUUAAAAGCCGAAAUUAAUGAAGUAAUUAUGCAUGGGGGCAUAAUAAUUGUUCAACACAUUCGGUGGCCGAUGAAAAAUAUUUCACCAAGUCAAAAAAAUUUGGAGGUCAUUUUUUAUUCGGCUUGGUGCAAAACCUGAUUAGCAAUAUUAGUAUUGAACGAUCUCGGCAAGGAAUAAAACAUUGUUAGCCUCCUUCACUUUAUAGUUUGGCCAAUUUUGUUUUCUUUUGCUAAAAAAAAGCAUGAAUAAAUGAUUUUCUUAACCAUUCAGCCCUUUAGGCCGAUGCAUAAGAAAAUAAGGGGAGCAACAAGAUGGUGCGGCAAUCCAAAAGAUGGUGUGCUCGGCUUGGAAAAUUGUUCUUUAGCUGGGCCGAGAAAAUAUGUUUGCAAAGGUCACCCGUGCUAGGCGGUAGGCCUUCGUGGCGAGAUUGGUUUUGGAGUUGGCCGAAUGAAAUGUUACGUAUAAGUACACUUUCUCCAUUUGAUCGAUGCCAUGCACACCUUGACAGUGAUCAGGACAAGUGGGUUCGGUUGCCAAUGUUGCAAGCCCUUAGACAUGUGCAUGCAACGUUCUUCCUUGUAGUUUUUCUCGACUAGCAAAGAUUUUGCUAAGCAGUUAUGGUAUUUGUAGCAUGAGCUCGUGUUAGAGGGCGUAGUGCUUAGGCCAAGGGCCAAGAAGGAUUUGGUUGGAUCAGAAAGGACUUGAUCUUAACGACUGAAGAUUGUUGGUCAAGCUUGACCAUAGUAUAAUUCGGCGAGGCAAUGUUUACAAUAGGACAAAUCCUGUCAAAUUGAAAUCUCGGCCAAAAAGUAUGGCAUUCAAAGAUUGGCAUUUGUUUGGAAUUUCUUAGUCAUGGCCGACAACAUCAUUUAAUAGGCCACGAUGUGAUUUCUUUUAUGACCUUGGUUUUAACAAAGCCAUGUUUCUUGGUUCCGCUUUCUUUUUCUCUUGAAUGGAGUCAGUAGCUGAGUAACAUGUCUAACUGUUGAGUGCCAUGCAUAAAUUUACGCUAUCAGCCCGCACAAUCAAGGCUGUUGAAUGAGCAGGAUUUUAGACCUUUGAAAGAUAGUGGUUGAAAUGGUUUUUAAUUAUUAUUAAGAAAUGAUAUUGUGAUUUUAAUCAUGAUAUUAUCUCUUAGUAAUAUAUUAAAUCAUUUAAACAUGAUAUUUAUCUAAAUCCCAAUUUGAAUGAUGAUAGGAUAUUCAGUAUCUGGUAGUACAGCUAAUAAUGGAUUAAUUUCAUGCAAUUAAUCCAUGCAUAGGAUAAAGGUGAAAGAUGAUGAUGUGAUGUGAUUAGGAUGGUUAUAUCUAGAUAAAAAAGGAGUAGGCUUCAACCUAUGGACAUGAUGGAAAAGCUAAUUAUCAGAAGAUAGUGACAUGGUAAUUUCUUGACCAUUGAUCACAUGAUGAUAGGAUAAGGAGUAGGCGUGUUUGGUCAGAUGUCGUGUAUUUAAAUAUUAAAGAUUUGUGGCGUAAGGAGACUCAGGGAUUGUUUUAGUUUGGUAGUCGUGAUAUAUUAGAAGACUAAGAGAUUAUUUUCUAGUAGCCGUGACACAUCAAAAGACUCAGAGAUUUACGGCUUAGCCAUCAGCAAAAGCAGCAUUAUAAAUACAGAGGCACUUUGCAUCGUAAAACCUCUCCAACUUAACACACAAACUGUCAUGCGCAAACUCUCGCUCUACGCGAAACCUCUCAACAACCUUGAGAUUUUUAUUUUCUUUUCGCCGACACAUUUUCAUUUUGGAUAAACAACACUAUGAAGGCAAUCGGUGACAUCUUCAGUUUGAAUAAACAACACUGUUGUCGUAGAAUCAGCUAACCGCAGAGCACCUUUAGUUUGGAUAAACAGCACUGGGUCGAGGCCGAGUGGUUAUCUAUCCAAGUCUCGGUCGAGAAGGACUUUCAAAUCCUUAUUGGCAAAGGUCAUCUUAUUAGCCUUCUCAGCGAAGUGAGGUGUUACAUGUUACUACAUUCGGCACAUUGAAAGCCAAAUUUGAUAUUGAACUUCGCAGAACUAGCAGCCUUGUCUUCAGGCUCUAGAACCCGAAGGCCGAUAUGUGUUCCUUCCUCGGCCGCAAUCGCAAGAUCAAGAAGUUAGUUGUGUGCCCAACGGGACAUCAACACAUUUUACUCCUCGAUUGAGCUCGACCGACGAGUUGGCACACCCCGCACAUAACCGAAGGACGUAGUUAGCUCAUUUAGCUAGGUUUAUCUUUACCUUUUGUAUUCAAAGCUGGUUUACAGGAAGAUAUAGGUUAUUUGAUGAAUAAUGAAUUUGCUUGAGGCCACCGACGCGUGCUCAAAUUUUUUGUCAAAGCGAAAUUUCAUUUUAAAGAAAAACCAUUACAAAGCCCAAGAGCAUAUACGGAUGCUUACAUGGGAGCAUAAUAUUUCUUCCUACAAAACAAAAGUAACUAUAUUUUUUUAUGUUUAACCUUUUGAUACCGACCAACCGAAUGCUUAUAUAGGAAUCCUUUAACAAGAGGGAUUCCCAAUUUUAAAAAUAAAUAGAGACAUUCUCUUGACAGUUAGAUUUGGUUUUAAUGAAAUUGUGUGGUUGAGAUUGUGUGACUUGUGAUUUAACCUCAACCACACAAUUUCAUUAAAACCAAUCCAACAGUCAAAAGGGUGUCCCCAUUUAAAAAAAAAAUUGGAGUUCCUUCUUGUUAAAGGGCCUGUGCUUAUAUAUAUAAAUGUGUAGAUCAUUAAAGAAUCAAUUAUAACAAGGAAAAAAUGGCUAAUAAGACACGUUCCAGAUUAUCAAUUAAUAUUAGUAUCAAUCAUAACAAAAGAAAAAAGCUAAUAAGACACGUUCCAGAUUAUCAAUUAGCCCGGACGGGUGAAGUGUAUUUUUGCUCACCUCUUAAAAUGUGGAUGAUGCUUACACCUCAUCGAUUAUCGUUAGAUUAAUUUAAAUUUUAAAAUUGUAUCUUAAAUCAAUUAAAUCAAACUAAUCGAAUGACAAUCAAUGCAGUGAAUAUCACCCCACUUUAAGAGAUGAGCAAAAUUGUACUCAAGACGAGUGUAAGUGAUCCUUCCUAUUUAACACAUAAGGUGACCAACUAAAGGAUGAGGAGUAAUUUCACCACUCUUUAGAUUUCUUAUUCGAAGAUUAGAAAUUAAUAAAGGUAUAUAAAAGAAGAAAAAAAUGUGUGAAAAUUAUUUCCUUGAAUAUAAAUUUAGCCCAAUAUUUUGGCACAAGCUUUAAUUGUGUAGUCUCAUUGGAGAGGAGAGUAUUAACAAUAACUUUUGAAGGAUGUAAUUGAAUACAUAUUAUUGAGAAAAUUGUAGCAAUAGUUCCUCAAUUGUAACCUAAUUAGAGCAGUGGUCCCUUAACUAAAAAUUAAUGACCAUUAGUUCUUUAACUCAUGAAAACGUGCAGCUAUAUAUGGUCAUUUUCAUCAACAUUGUCAGAAUUUUGUCAUAAUGAGUCAUGUCGGAAGAACCAUUACUACAAUUGGGUUAAAAUUGAGAGACAAUUGCUCAAAUUGGGUUAAAGUUGAGGGACCAUUUCUCAAAUUGGGUUAAAGUUAAGGGAUCAUUGCUACAAUUUUUCUCAUUUUAUUUUCCAUAUUUGCACCUUGAUUCAGCCUAACAUGCGUAGCACGUAACUUAUUUUGACAGAAGUUCUAACGAAGUUGAUGAAAAAGACCAUAGUUGCACGUUUUGAUGAGUUAAGAAAUCAAUGAUCAUGAAUUUUUAGUUGAGGGACCAAUACUCCGAUUGAGUUAAAGUUAAAAGACUUUCAACAAUUUCUUCUAUCUCAUAUAGUUAAUUUAUCAUAUAGUUAAUUUAUCACGUACUAAUUGUCUACUGGAUAAAUAGUGCAUUUUUAUAUACGUGACACACACAUACUAGAGAGUAACACCACACUAGGACUAAAUAAUGGUUGUAUGAGAGAUAUUUUCUCAUUGUAUGUGGGUAUAUGAAAUUGUCAGCAUGCUAAUCCUGGUGAUACGAGUAAUCAACUCGGAAUCUACCACAACUCGACUAUAAAGACCAGAGGGACUUUGGCUUUGGCUUAAUUAUCAUAUUUGUUGGGACACAGCAUGAGUAUUUCUAUGGGAGAGUGGGUGACCUUGGUUUUGGGAAGUUUUCCAUUGUUGGGGUUGCUAUUGUGGUGGUGGAAUGAGCUUUGGUAUGUGCUUCCUCUCAAACUACGACAUUCGCCUACCGGCGCUAAAUUGCCGCCCGGCCACAUGGGACUUCCAUUCUUGGGUGAAAUCUUCACCUUCCAUUGGUACUUCAAAAUUGUUCGUCGUCCUGACGACUUUAUCAAUGCUAAGCGGGCCAAGUACGAUUCCAUUUCUUUUUUGUUCUAAAUAUGCAUGUAUGCUAACUAGUAACAUUAACAUUUGGAAAACAAAAGAAAAAACUGGUAACAUUAACAUGGGAGUAUUAAGUACAAUAUAUAUUGUUGAGUAUUGACAAAUGAUUUAUUUCCAUUCUUUACAUGUAUACUAACUAGUUAGGAUUAAAUGUUUGAUAGGAUUAAAUGUUUGAGAAUAGAUUAAAAACUAUUUUAUGCUCUUGUACUUUUGGAUAUUUUGUCGUAAGAUUUUGAUUAUUAUAUAUUUGGGUAUGAAUCUAACAACUACAAACUUCUAAGUAUGUGAUAUCUCAAAAGUCGGAGCAUAUAUAGUAGUUUUUGACAAAUGAAACUAGUUCAGGUACGGCGAUGGAGUCGGAAUGUAUAGAACUCACCUCUUUGGAUCACCGACCAUCAUAGCAUGCUUCCCGGGAAUCAACAAAUUUGUGUUCCAAUCAGAUGAAACCUUCAUCCUAGACUGGCCCAAUGUUGAUAUUGUAGGUGCUAGUUCUAUAGUGGCAGUUCAUGGAAAGUCUCAUACAAAAGUUAGAAGCUAUGUUGUAAGCGUAAUUAACCGUCCUGACGCUCUCCGUCGCAUAAGCCAGCUUGUCCAACCCCGUAUGGUGGCCGCGUUGGAGUCAUGGGCUCUGAAGGGUAGAGUCAAAGGAUAUGAUGAAGCCAGGAAGGUAAAUUAACUAUCAAAACAAUAAAGCAAUAAGUGCUAGUCAUGCAGGUGUAAUAUUUUAUCAGAAAAUAUCUCAGUGCAAUUGAAAGUGUAAUCACUCAAUAUGAAUUAUAUUUUAUUCUAUCAGAUUCUCGGUGCAAGACUUUUUAAUAUCUUCAACAAUUUUUCAUGUUUCAUUAUGUUUACAGGUCACAUUUGAAAAUAUUGGGAAACUAUUCGUAAGUUUGGAGCCGGGGCCUCUCCUUGAUACCAUUGAUAACUUGUUUACUGGAUUAGUCACUGGAAUUAGGGCUCAUCCACUGAACAUUCCCGGAUCGGCUUACCGCCAUGCCCUUCAGGUUUGAAUCUUAAUGGGUUUUGGUAUAACAACUCCACUGAUUUUUCAAUAUAUAUUCAGACCAUAUUGUAAAUAACGUGCAUGCAUGUUAAAUAUAUGAAUGUGAAUUUGCAGUGUAGGAAAAAGCUUGAGGACAUUUUCAGGGUGGAGCUAGAGAAGAAAAAAACUCUAAAGGAAGGGGUGACAAAUGAUCUAAUGGAUGGGCUUAUGCAGAUUAAAGACGAUGAAGGCAAUAAAUUAAGUGACCAAGAGGUUCUAGAUAACAUUGUCAGCCUUGUUGUCGCUGGAUAUGCAUCUACUUCGCUAUCAACAAUGUGGACUUUAUAUUAUCUCGCAAAAUACCCUGACGUCCUCCAAAAGCUUUGCGUAUGAUCAUAGCAUAUCACCAUAUUCUCAUAAUUUUACUCAAAAAAAGAAACAUUCAUGUUCUUUAAUUAUGUUUCAUCUUAACGUGGUUCUCGUGAUCUGUGAUCAUAGGAAGAGAAUAUGGCUAUACAUGAGAACAAGACUGGGGAGUUUAUCACGUAUGAAGAUGUUUUAAAAAUGAAAUAUACAAACAGGGUACUUCAUCUGUAUGCAUUUUGGGAUUUACCAUUUGUUAUAUAUUGAUGAAAUGAGCUUAUAGCUUAAUUUACUGUAGUACUGCAUCCAAUGUUCUGAUUCCCACUCCUACUAACGUCUGUAUAAAAGAGAAAAGUCAUUCAUUAUAGUAUCGUUAUGCAUCUCUCGCGAUACUCCUUGUAAAAAAGAAUUAAUCUCAAGCCAAAAUUUUCAUAUAAUGAUAUACAGGUGGUGGAAGAAACAAUAAGAUUGGCCAACAUUGCAGCAUUUGUUUUCCGAUUGGCUACUAAGGAAGUUGAGUAUAAAGGUAACAAAAUGUAAAUUAUGUUUUUAAUUACCAUCGGCACACAUAACCUUUUGUGCGUUUAUAACCAAAUUGGUUGGUGUAGGUUAUAAAAUACCCAAGGAUUGGAGAGUGAUUGUUUGGGUUCGAUAUCUCCACACAAAUUCAGAGAAUUUUGAUGAUCCCAUGUGCUUCAACCCAGAUAGAUGGAAUGUAAGUCAAUAUUUCUAACACGAUAAAUUAAUUGGAGAUAAUUUACUAAUUAAUUAAUAGGUGUUAUUUCACUCCUUCAGGAACCAGCUAAGCCAGGAACAUACCAAGUUUUUGGUGGUGGAUCGAGAAUAUGUGCAGGAAACUUGCUUGUCAAGAUACAACUUGCAGUAUUUUUACAUCAUUUGUCUGUAGGAUACAAGUAAGAAAACUUAAUUUGUAGCUUGCUUUAUAUCUUAUACGCUAUUGAAUCUUUAACACAGUAUAGACAUCAGUCCUGAAUUUUAUGGUGAUUGAAAUUUUUUAGGUGGAAAUUGGUCAAUCCAGAUGCUGAAAUGAUUUAUCUUCCACAUCCAUUACCAGUUGAUAAGGUUGAUAUCACGUUCAACAAAAUUUAGAAAUCCAUUUUCUCAUAGCCUGAUCCAUAUGCAUGGCUUGACAUCUCACCGUUCUAUUUUCCCAAGUCGUAGGCCUGCUUUGAACUUCAAAAAUAGAAAGAAAAAAAACUAAAGAAAAGGAACUAGGAUUAUUUCUAUGUAUCUUUUUGGUUGUGAAUCAUGUAAUGUAUGUGUUUUCUAAUUCUUAUGCUCCAACAUUUAAAUUUCCUCUAUAAUGAUUUGGAACUCUUUUUUUCCCUCUCUCUAUCAAUAUAAUUGAGUACAUCCAGCCUGGUGUUCAUAUAGGUUUGUUGCGGGGAAAGAGGAGUUAUAUCUACGAUGGGGUGUGUAUAAAUGAACUAGGGUUAAGGUUGAAGUGUCGUAAGUGACACGCAAAACAAAAUAAAGUACGGUAAAAACGAUCUUUAGCGCAUAAAACAGUCUUCCUAAAUGAGCUUCUAGCUAAAAUUUAGAAAGAAAUUAAAUUUUUUUAUCUCCAAUCAUAGUUCCUAUUCUGCUCUUAAGAUAACAAAUAUUCAGGGGGUUCCUAAAUCUGGGAAGAGAGAAAAGAGCUCCUAAAAAAAUGUUUUGGUUAAAAUUUGAUUUGAAAAUUAAAUACAUGAUUGAAGAUGCUCAAGAGACGUAUAUGAUGGUUUAUAUUUACCUUUUGUCUUCAAGGCUGGUUUACAUAAAGAUAGAGGUUACUCGAUGAAUAGUGAAUUUGCUUGAGGACACCGACGCAAGCUCAACAUGUCAUUAAAAAAAACAAACAUUACAAAAGUCCAAGAGCAUAUACAGAUGCUUACAGGGGAGCAAAAUAUUGUUUCCUGCUAAACAAAAUUAACUUUAUUAUUUGUUUGUUUAAUCUUUUCAAACCGACCAAAUGUUUAUAAUAUAAAGAGAAAUGUUAAGGAGGCUCUUUAAAGUGGGAUUCUUGUGCUAAUAUUAAAAAUAUUAUGCAAAAAAAUAUGAGACGGCGAAGAGUUUAUAGAGAGUCCCUAUUUUAAGAACAUCUCUUCAACAUGCCCUAAUAUAAAUGUAGAGAUCAGAGAAGAAUUAAUUAUAACAAAAAAGCUAAUACGACACAUAGAUUAUCAAUUAGCUAAGAUUACUGGUGGAGUGCAUUUUGGCUCACCCCCUAAAGAGGAGGUGAUCCUCAUCCCCUGUUGGAGUGCAUUUUGGCUCACCCCCCUAAACCCUGUCAUGAAUCAAUUAAACCAAACUAAUUAAACGGUAACCGAUGGAGAGGUGAGCAUCACCCCCCCCCUUAGAGAAUGAUUUGAGCUUAGCCCACCCACCAUAUAAUUUUUGGCUUCGCCAUUGAAUCUAACAAAAAUUUUGAACUGAUUCAGAGAGAAAGAUAGAAGAGAUCCCGUUGAAAGAGAGAUGAGAAGUAAAUGGAAGAUGGAGUCAAAUUCAAAGAUGUUAAAGUGUUGCAGCUGAAAAUGGGGAAGGGGUUGAGAUUUAGCUGUUGUUGGCUUAAUUUGAACAGAUUGGACUUGGCGGUGCAUAUUGAACACAUUUGAACACAGUAAAUCGAGAAUCCACGAGACGAACGCGAUGUCUGAAAUGAAUCGAUCUGACUCGCAACAGAUACGCGGUGCACAGUGGCCAACCACAAAUCUAAUUAAACCCACAAUGCGAGACCGGCUUUAUCCGCCGGAUUGUCGACGUCUUUUUGUCCAGUUAUAUCUGCUUUACCAGCGAGCGGUGGGUUGUUCUUCAUUUUGUUCAAAUUUUGAAUUUGUUGUUGAAUUUCGAGUGGUGGUUUAGAAAAACACACAAAGGAGGGUGGGCUGGGGUUGCAGACUUGCAGUGGAGUCGAAGGUAGGGGAAUUCAUGGUGCGCUGGUUUUGCAAUUUUGAACUUAACUUAUUUUUUUAAAAUUGAAGUGUCAAUUUAGUCCAUAAAUUAUCACCUCAGUGAAAAUUAGGUUCUUAAAUUAUUUUUUUUUGGUAAAAUAAGUUCCAAACUUCAUUAAAAAUUGCUAAUUUCAUCCAUACUAUUAUAUUCAAAUUUAUUUUAUCCAAUUUGUCGUCAACUUAAGUCACUUGACACACUUUAAAAUGUAAUACCAUCUUUUUUUUAGCCAAUAAGCCCUGACAUUUCAUAUAGAUUGCAUAUUUAAUGUCUAAUUUAUCAACCAAAUUUAACUCCAUACACUAUUUGUAUAUGAAAAAUUACCAAUUUACAAUCCAAUGUGUAUGACACACCCCGACCGGAGUCGAGGCAUGCUGGUCGUCGCCCGAAUGUGACGUAACCAAAAGUAUAAGUGAUGUAAAAAUGUGAAUAAUUUAAAACCGAAACUAGAACUCAUUUAAACUAAUAAAGUGAGUGCGCAGUAGUGGGUAGAACUCAUAAAAUACAAAUGUUCAGGAUAUAGAUGACAAAUAGUGCAAUCGAAACUAGUUAAGUAUUUAAUACACAACGGGAUAAGUUCCUACACUUAAACAAGGAUAUGUUAGAAUCGCUGGCUAAUCCUCGUACGCCACAGAGUAAUUCAACUAUCUAGGACCUGGAAGGGCGAAAUAACAAAAAAGGUGAGUGGGCAAAAACAAAAGUUUAUAAAAAACCAUUUAUUUUCUGAAUAUACUAACCUCUCGCCGUAAAACAUGUAUAGUUUCCAGAAAAAUCAUACUACAUAAAAGUAUGAAAUCAAAUGCAAAUCAACAGUAAAUCCAGAAGUAUGCCACAUCACAAUAUCUCAACAGUAAUAUAAGUAAAAUCAGGGGUUCAAUCAAUCUAUACUGGCACACAAGUCGGAGUCGCCUAAUGCGACUUGUACGAAUGAACUAAUGCUCAUCAAUCUAUGUUAGCACAAGAGUCAGAGUCGCCUAAUGUGACAUGUACGAUAUGACUAUGUGUAUUCAUAAUAUACUCUCUAGUGCUACAAUCACGUGAAGACUAGCGCUAAUCGCGAUCAUUUACGAGUCGGGGUUGCCUAAUGCAACUUGUACGACACGAUUGGCACAUACUUGGAUCCAAGGCGAGCGUGUAGUGCAGAGGUGAACAUACACGUGAAAGACUAGCCCUGGUUUGGGGCGAGCAUUAACAACAGGGUGCAGCAAUGAUGAGCAGACUACAUAAAUAUAAGCAUGCCAUAACAAUUCAAUAAUUCUAGUCAACAUAAUAAACUUACCUGACAAUAAACUUACUUGUGCAUCCCGUAGGAUUAUUUUAGUAUUUCACCACAGUAUAACAUUUCUUAUAACGUUAUUUAAUCAUGGCAUGAUAUGCAUAAAUCAAUUCAAAAGCGUUUAUGGAAACUAUAAAGUUUAUAUAUAUAUAUAUAUAUAUAUAUAUGCAUAAAUCAAUUCAAAAGCAUAUAUGGAAACUAUAAAGUUUAUAUAUAUACGAAAACAAAUGCCCACUCCCUAAUACGUUGAUGGAUCGUAGCCCCCUAGCCUCGCUUGUCCUCGUACGUCCUCAAGAUAAGUCUCCCCUAUAUGUGAAACAACUAAUAAUAAUUAGUUAAUUAACACAUACACUAAAAGCUAGGAAAAACCCCUCAUAGUUUGCUCAAACGGAAGGUUUGAAUAUAAGAAAACAUUCUACUCGACGUCACGGACCUGUAUGCGUCAACCACUUGCCAGCCGGAGGCCGGACGCUUCCUCACGAGGCGCUUAGCCCAUGACCACAUGCACAAGCAUGCGCCUAGCAGAGACUGACAGAAGCCAGAAAUAUUCCGUCAGACUUGACAGAAUAUUCCGUUAAACAGUUAACAAAACUUAACGGCAUUACCUAACGCCGUUAGUAUAUUCCAUCAACUUUGACGGAAUAUUCUUCGUCUUCUCUGGUGAGUCUCGCCGUCCGCCGUCGCCAUCUGGUUUGCCGGUUUCUGAGAAAAAAUUCAAAACCUCAUAACUUGCUCAUUUCUUAACCAUUUUCAACGAUCUUUAUAUGGAAAUGAAGCUAUUGAGGAGAAGAACAAGAUUGUACUUUUCAAAAGUCCAAAAAAGUGGAUGGGAAUGGGCUGAAAAAGCUUCGAAAGGUUCAGCCUAUUUUUCUACUCCUCGAAAACGUGUGUUUCGACGUUAGUUCUUCUUCAAACCUAGACUAAUGGCCUCGAGUAGUUGACUAGGUGCUUCCACAACCUUCAAAAACUUGUAACUCGAUCGGGAUCACGUCGGAGCAAACUCAUCCGAGUUAGAGCUUCUGAGUUGACGAGUCAAAACUCACCCAUUUGAGAAUCAAUUUGUAUGGUUGGGUUUGUGGGUUCGAAAGGAACACAUGAUGGGGUUUUUAAGUUCAAUCUGUGAGUGUUUGAUGAAGGUCCUUGUAGUUGCAAAGAAGAGAGUGACGGGUGAAGAGAGAGAAAUGGAAAAGAUGAGAGAGAAAGAGAAAGGUUUUCUGAUUGGUUGAGAAGGAGAUAGAGAUAUGUUUGAUUAGUGGAGAAAAGUGAGGAUGAGAUUUGAUUGGUGGGUGAAACAAGUCACGGAUAGGUUUUUAAAAGAAGAAAAUGAUAAGGUUUGGUACACAUUUUAAAUUACGCGGAAUAUGUCCCCUUAUCAAAAACAAUGUUUCCAACACUGGAUAAUUUACACACGUGCACAAACCUACCUGCUGUUUACAUACUUUAAUGUAACGUAACUUUUUCGUUACCACUCCGAUUCGGGUCUAAAUCGUGCUCACGAGAUCGUAACAAUGAGUACUAUUUAAUUACGAUAAUGAGAAAAAUAAUUAAAAACUGAAUAACCACGUCCACGUCACUUUGUCAACAAGGGCAUACAUGUCAAUUUACACACUUAGAUGAGAAAUUACAUGGAAAAUUAGGGACGGGUCAUCACAUGUAUCACAUGUAAGUAACAUGACUUAAAUUGACGGAAAAUUGAAUAUAGUAGCUUCAAAUCUAAUAUUAGGGAUGUAAUUGGUAGAUUUUUAUAAUUCAAUGACUGAUUUUUCGAAAAAAAAUAAUAAUUUAGAGACCUAAUUUUCACUCAGGUGAUAAUUCAAGGACUAAAUUGCCAUUUCACUUUUUUUUUAAAUAUUUUCUUUUCUAUAUAAUUAGAAAUAUUUUUGAAUUAUUUAAGUAAUUAGUUAUAAGGUUUAAAUUGUCAAUUUAUUAACAAAACUUUGACUGAAGGAGCUAUGUGAAAGUGAAUUUAAACCUGAAGGGGUAUCAAUAUAAUGUCUCAAACGUGAGGGAGUUUUGUGAAAACUCAAUAAACCUUAAGAGGUAUUGGUGUAAUUAACCCACUAAAAUACUAAUGAUAUUCAUAUUAUCAAUUAACCAAGACGGGUGUAAGUGCAACUUCCACUUUGGCACAUAAGGACACCAGCUAAAUUAAGGGCUAAUUUGGUGUUAUCGUGCUUUUUAGAAAGAAAAAAAAUUAUUUUUGUUGUGCUGUGAGAACAAAUGGAUAUAAAAUAAAGUUGUUGAGUGUUUGAUAAAUUUUUUUGUAAAAGUGAUUUUAACAAAAAAAAAAAGUAGUGUUUGAGUGUAUGGUAAACUUUUAUCUAAAACUGCUAUGACUAUGCCAAAUGACUAAAAGCAUAUGGUGUUGAAUGUAAUAUAAUAAAUGUAAGGGAAAAUGUUGUAAUUUUGUAACAUAUGUGAGGGUGUACUUGCCAUUUGAAAAUUUCAUGAGUGUUCACGUACAUGCUUUAAAACAAAACGUUUUUUUAAGAAGCAUGAUACAUCCUGCUUCUACUUUUCUACUAUCAAUGGCAUCAAAAAAUUUGUUUAACCAAACAUAUUUGAUGUUCUAAUUUUUUAUUUUUUUUGUCAAACGAUAAACUAGUUAAAUUAGAUAUUAGAUUAGGGAAUUAACAGGAUUCGAACCCACACUAUGGUGCAAGGGCAACACUGCUCUUCACCAUUAUGAUAGAGAGUCACUUAAUUUUUUUAUUUUAUUUUAUUUUUAUAUAAAAGUACAACAACCCAAACCAGUCCUAAGGUUACAGCUAGCCCUAUUUGGCUAUAUAGGAGAUUUUUAUUGUGUUAUUCUCAUAGGAUAUGAGAUGGGCGUAUCAAACAUAAUCUUUCAGCAGGUAUCAUCUGGGGUUUGUUCCCCUCGUCCACAAGCCAAAUCCUGGUCAGACGAAUAUAUGUAAACUAGGACAUUUAACCGAGGGGGCUUCGGUAUGUGCUUCCUUUCAGACUACGACAUUCGUUUAUCGGUGUAAAAAGGUAAUAAUUAGAAACUCACCUUAUAUUGCAUAUUUUACUGUUUAAAAAAAUAAUAAACAGGUUAAGGAAUUUUUUUUUUUUAGACUUUGAAAAAUGAAAAACAUAUGACAUAUUUUAAAUAAGCCACAUCAGAACGAAUAUAUUAGGUACUCACUCACUAGUGAGUAUAUUAGGUAUUCAUAAGUAUUAUCCCGUGGUAAAUUGCUGGCCCGUCACAUGGGACUUCCAUUUUGGGGUGAAGUACUCGCAUAGUAUGACUCAUUUUCACUUCUUUUUGUUUUAUAUAUGUAUACUAACUAGUAACAUUUAACACGUUCUCCCCUUGUCGGCAUGCUGACCUGAUCUUACGGAUAAUCACCUCGGAAUCUACCACAAAUAUAUAGCCCAGAGGGAAUUUGGCUUUGGCUUUUAAUUAUCAUAUUUGUUAGGACACAUCAUGAGUAUUUCUAUGGAAGUGUGGGUGGCCUUGGUUUUGGGAGCUUUGCCAUUGUUGGGGUUGCUCUUGUGGUGGUGGAAUGAGCUCUGGUAUGUGCUUCCUCUCAUACUACGACAUUCGCCUACCGGAUGGGACUUCCAUUUUUGGGUGAAAUAUUCACCUUCAUUUGGUACUUCAAAAUUGUUCGUCGUCCUGACGACUUUAUCAAUGCUAAGCGGGCUAAGUACGAUUCCAUUCUUUAUAUGUAUACUAACCAGUGGUGCAGCCAGGAUUUGCUGAGGGGAUGGGCGAAAUUCAAAAGAGUGCAAGGUUCAAUCGAAUUGAUUGCUUUCACAUUAGAGAGUGCAAAAUUUUGAGUCAAUAUUCAUAACAGGAAACAGUUUCUUCACCAAAACGGUUAUAAGCGGUAAUAUUAAAGCCAUGUAAGAAGCUUAAAUUGGUUAGGAUUAGAUUCUAAAAAAACGUUAAGCACUAGUCAGGCAGCAGACUGAGACCUAGCAGAGGCGCCUAAGUGAGAUUUAGGCAGGAGCCUAGAUGGAUUGAAAUGAAUUUAUUUUAUCGUAAAAUAAGCAUUAAACAAUAUUUCCAUUAUUUUUUUAAAAUUAAUACAAUAUUUAUAGAUAAUGUGAGAGAGGACAGUACAAUCAGUUUUAACUUUUAAGAGAGAAAAAUGUAAACAAAUGUGUCAGUACAAUCAAUUUUAACUUUUAAGAGAGAAAAAUAUAAAAAAAUGGUCAGCAUUGCCAAACAACAUUCUUUGGAGUUUGUAGUUGUUAGAUUCAUACUCAAAUAUAUAACGAUCAAAAUCUUACGACAAAAAAUCAAGAAGUACACGAGCAUAAUAUAGUUUUUAAUUUAUUCUCAACAACAUUUAAUCCUAUCAUGUUGAUGCUAGUUAGUAUCAGUGGCGAAGCUACAUGAGGGCGAGGAGUGGCGGCCGCCCCUCCCUUCGUUGGAAAACAUGCCUAGGAGCACUAGUUCAGCCCCUCUGCUCUCGUCAAAAAUGAGAAUUCCCGCUCCGGUGAUUUGGUUCUGCUGCUGCACAACAAAGACGGAUUUGUUUUUCCCUUUUUUUAAAGAUUUUGGAGAAGGAAAUCUGAAAAAAAAACUAGUUUUGACAAAUGAAACUAGUUCAGUACGAUGAUGGAGUCGGAAUGUAUAGAACUCACCUCUUUGGAUCACCGACCAUCAUAGCAUGCUUCCGGGGAAUCAACAAAUUUGUGUUCCAAUUAGAUGAAACCUUCAUCCUAGACUCAUGGCCGAUUCAGGCCCAGUGCGAGCAGGGCGACUGUUCGAGCCCAAAAAAAUUAGGAGCAACAAAAUUAUUAGUGUGGCAUAUUUAUAUACAUUUUCAUAAGAGUAUAAAUUUAUAAAAUUUGGUUUAAUGACAAAGAAAUUUAACUAGAAUCAGUGAUUUUGUUGUUUGAAAUUAAUGAGGAGGUCUUUGGUUCAAAACAUCAUGUGUGCUUAUUUAAAUUCCAUUUUUUACAAAUUUCUUUUCAUAACAAUAUAAAUUUAUAAAAUUUGGCUAAAUGAUUGGAAGCAAUGGUUUUUGUAUUUAAAAUUAACAAGAGGUCCUAAGUUCGAAAUGCUAUGUGCAUGUUUGUUUUUUUUCAAUUUUUAAGAAUUUUUGUUUGGUUGUUAAUUUAUUUUUAAUUACUAGCUAGUAGCCAUGUGGGUUGUUAUUUUUAAACAUUCAUUCAAAUUCAAGUCUAAUCUUCGACAAAGGGUGGUGUGUAGACUAAAUUUUUAGACCAAAUUAAUAAAUCAUAUGACGUGUCAUCAAAAGAUUUAAUUUGGUGCCCAUUCAUUACUUAUACAUAUCCCUAAAGACUUGAAAAUAUCAUUAUUUUUUUAGUCUUAUAUUGAUGAGGUUAGUAAAUAAGAAAAAACACGUCAAGAUUUAUACAAAAACACUUUAAAGGUUCAGAUGGAAGACAAAACUCAUAAUCUAUCUACUUAUAAGCCUGAAGUUUUUUGGUUUCUUUCUCUCGAUACAAAAUAAAUUAGUUUUUUCGUGUUUCUAAAUUACUGAGUUUAAAGUGCUUUUAUAAAUAUAAUUUUAUCAAUAUCUUACGUGUAAAAACAAAUUGUUUGUACCAUACUUGACCAAUUCCGAAACUACUGAGCACCGGUCAACGUUAUACCGUCAAGGACCUAGAAGAGCUUCUCUUCAACCAGGAGGCCAAUCACAAUGCGACACGUGUCGACAUCGGAAGCCAAUCACAGCGCGACACGUGUCAACAUCAGAGGCCAAUCACAACACGACACGUGUCAAUAUUAGAACAAAACUAGAAACUCUCUUCUAUAAAUAGGGAUCAUUCUCCCACAAUAAUCUCUAAUGUCAUUUUGUACUAAACUAUUCACUAGAACUCACUAAACCAGAGCUUGAACCUAUGUAUUUGUGUAAACCCUUCACAAUUAAUGAGAACUCCUCUACUCCAUAGACGUAGCCAAUCUGGGUGAACCACGUACAUCCUGUGUUUGCUUCUCUGUCUCUAUUCAUUUACGUACUUAUCCUCACUAGUGACCGAAGCGACCAAGCGAAGAUCACAAAACCUGACACUUUCUGUUGUACCAAAGUCCUAGCUGAUUUUGUGCAUCAACAUUUGGCGCCGUCUGUGGGAAGCACACUUAUUCCUACUCUCUACAGCUCUGUCAAGCUGGUUCCCACCAUUCGUACACUUUCUUUUGGCCAAGCAUCUCUCUCCGACAUGGGGAGCGAAAGAAGUCACAGUACACAGAAUGACACCCACGCUGGACCUAGUAUGAAGCAACGAAAACAGGAAGGAAAUAGAUUUACUCUUCAAGCUAAAGUCGAUGAGCUAGAGGUUCAGAACAACAAGAUAGCAAUGAAGAAUGAAGUCCUCCAGGAACAAUAUGAAAAACUUUUCGAGAUGCUUCACGAGGCUAGGCAGGCUCAAACACAUAAGCUCGUCGCCCCUGUUGAGGUUAACAAUCAACUGAAUGCCCCCCAACACGGAGGGUCACCGAUAUCCGACACGGACAUCCCUGAUAGGGAUCGAGCUACACAUCAAUGUGAUAAUCAACAUGAGACUUCUCUCAACCCAGCUGCUUCAACCCGAAGCAGGAAAAGUAGAGGAAAACACCUCCUUACAGAGGGAGUGGAAGGAUCAAGGGCCGUCUAUCGCGAUUGUCGAGACUUCUUAAAGCAACGUCGAGAGAAUCCCAUCCACAUAAGCUAGAAGAUCAAUGACCCAAGGGUUUCUGAAAGACUCGGUCCUCUUCCACGACCCAGGCCAACCGCCAAUCUAGAGAAUGGGCAACAAGUCCCAGAAGAAUAUGAAGGUACUGGGGACUCGGAAACAUUCCGACAUACUCACUCUAGAAGUCAGUGUGGUGAGUCCAGAGAAAGAUCACGCUAUUUUGAUCAAACUUUCCUACUUCUAAGAGGCGAUGGGGAUUUAAAGAAGAAAACUCCAGUGGUGCACGACUCCGCUCAGGACCCCCUUGUCCUACAGCUCCUUGAGGAAGUAAACAAACUGAAGGCUGAACGUCAAGCUGAGAUACCUGACUGGAACCAACCCAGACCUGGCCUUCUCACAAGAAGGAUCCUCAACACUCCCCUUCAAGCGAAGACAAAGCAGAAGCUUGACUUACAGCUCUAUACUGGAAAUGAAUACCCGAUUGAACACCUUAACCUCUUUGAGUCCACCAUGGUAUACCGGGGACACACCGACGAAGAACGGUGCCUUCUCUUCCCCUCCACCCUCUCUGGCGGAGCUUUAAACUGGUAUUGUCGUCUUCCACCUGAGACAGUAGACUCAUUUGAAGAGUUGAGGAAGCUGUUUGUCUCUCAACACAUCUUCCAGACCGAUCGCUUGCAUUCCGCAGAUGACUUGUACACUAUUCGCCAGAAGCCGGACGAGUCAUUACGAAAGUACGCUGGCCGCUUCAGCCAUGAGUAUUCUCGCUGCGCUGAGGCAGAUGACAAGACCGUGAUGCGAGAAUUACUUGACACACAAAUUAAACCCUCUUUUUGACAAUUGUAGUAUAGAUGUAAGUAGGGUAUCAUUCUAGGCCGGGGAUUAGGAGGGAUUGCUAAUCUAUUGUAAAUUAAUUUAAAAAUAUUAAAUAAGACUCAAGGACACAAACUAGGCUAAAAACUCUAAUAACUCGAAACACACUUAAAAUGACUCAAAAUAAUGAAAACAAUUAAAUUAAACACUAGGAACUGAAAUGGACGGAAAUUAAAUUAAAAGACUAACAAUAAAGAAAACUAACUAAAUAAUAUAAUUUAAUAAUGGAUGGGUGUUUGGUUUUGAUGAAAAGUAAAUUAAACUUAAUUAAAUUACAGAAUUGACAAAAACAUAAAAUUAAGGUAAAAUGAUAAAUGACGGACUAGCUAGAGGGUUCUUCUCCACACAUGACACAUAUGCAACCUAAAUUGAUUUUCAGUUGUUCUUUCAAUAAAUUGUAAAUCUCAACGCCCCAAAUUAACCGUGAAUUGCACUAAUUAACCCUCAGUUUUUCCACAAGUUAUUGGGUUGGAUGAUUGCAUACGACAACCCAAAACAUUCCCUACAAGUUCUCUACAUGAAUUGCAUAAUAGAGAUACAAGCAAGAAUCAUUAAGUUCUAUGAAAAACAUAAGCAUUGACGAGACACUCGUUACUAUGAUUUGCAUGAAACUUAUGCCAAGAAUUUACUUAACGUGAUUGUGACUAGCAACCUUCACUACUUGUGAAUAUAAGUCAUAACGAUUAGGUGAAACUCCCUUAUAUUCUAGCGUCAAAUUCAUGCAUGAAAAUUAAGCGUGCACUCUCAACCAACAUACACAAAUCAGUUUUUAUACGAACGGAUAAGUAAAUUGAAUUCACAACUUAUAAAUCACAACUGAAGGUAAUCAAUUCAUAUUACAAAUAUAUUCAUGGUUUUGAAUUAACCUCUAGCCAAAAUAAAAUUAAUUACACAUUAUUAAAACAGAAAUAAAAUAGAAGUUUGGAAAGAUUAAACCGAAAGAGGAACUGCUUUGUUCGUGCCCAUGCUUGCCCUCUCCCUCGCUGACUUGCUUUCUGUUUAUCACCUGGACUGCACUGCCUCACUUCUCUCACUACCGCUGCCCAAUGGCAGCCCUCGUGUUCUCUGUCCGUGCUCACAGCUGCCAAAUGGCAGCUGUUCCUCUUCAGCCUUAUUUCCUCGCCUCUCACUCCAGCGUCUUUUCUGCGCCUCCUGCGCUCUCUGCGAGCUGCCCAAAGGCAGCCCUUUCCGAGUUUAAUUCUCUGUCCACGCUGGACUGCCCUGUCCUCGCAGCUUCCCACCUGCACGUACUGACCUUUCACACCUCCCCACGCUGCAAAGGCAGCGUUCUCACCUCUCUCGUCAGUCACUUCUAUCCUGUACUCACCUAUCUUCUGCUACCCCAAAGGGCAGCCUCCUGUCCGUUUCUUUCCUCUCCCCCCCCCCCAGCUCACGUUUUCUGCCUUUGUCCCUUUUUAUUCCUUUUUCUGCUAUCCUUCCCGCGUCAGUGCUCUCUGCUGCCCAAGGCAGCUCCUCCACCUUCCCGUGUCUUAUCCAGCUCUGCCUCUUAUUUUUAUUUUCUUAUUCUUCUUUCUAUCUGCACUGUUGUCCACUUCCUCUUCUUUUCUUCUUUUAAUCCGUCAGUGUGCACUCCACCUUUCUGACCCACUCUCCUUCUUAUUCUUUUAUUCUUUUUGUCUCUCCAGCUGCCAAGCAGCUGUUUUCAUUCUCUUUCAGCUGGUCUUCUAUUCGCCUGCCCUCCUCCUAAUUAUCCUCUUUUAUUUCUUAUUCCAUUUUGACCUUUCAAAGCUGCAAGGGCAGCUUACUCCUCUGCCUUGGAUUCUUUUUUCGCUGUCCUCACGUCCCCACCUCUCGGUCCUCACUAUUUUAUUUCUUCUUUUAUUCUUUCACUAUAUAGACAUAGAGAGGGACAAACCUUGUUUACACCAUUUGGCAAUUGUAAUAAUAACUUGCUUAUAAAAUGUAAAUUAGUAUUAUCAUGUAACAAUAAAGGGUAAAUUUGCAUAACAGAUCCUAUAACUACAAAAAUAAUGUAAAUAGCUCAAAAAUAUAAAGAACUAACUAAGAAAAGACGAGUGAAUUCGAAGUAAAAAUGUAUAUAAAAAUGAUCCGAUCAGACCGCCCUCAAGGUUCGGCAGGCUUACGUGACUGUUUCUUCAAGUACAUGAUCAAUGCCAACACUUGGAAGACUUACUCUGAGGUGAUGACACAAGCUUACAACCAUGCCUCCGCCGAGGCAAGGACAUAUCAAGGGAAACCCCCUACAGUCACCCCUUAUCAGCAAGUAGGGAGUGGAGGCCAGAUCCAACCAAAUGAAAAGACCUCAACCUUCCAAAUGGUAGCAGCACACCCCCCUGCCUCAUUUAAUGCUUCGCCAAGUCAGCAGACAUAUCAAUCUCAUGGCAAAAGGAAAGACUUCCAUCCUCACCAAUCUCAUUUUAAUAAAAAGAAUAAGGGGCACUAUCGCGAUAACUCAGGAUAUCGUCACAAUAAUGCCCGCCCUCAGGCAGUUAACGCAGUGGGCCAAUCACGUGCCAAGACAGGCCCUACCCCGAGGUAUGAGACAUACACCUCUUUGAAUGCUACAUGUGCUGCCAUCUACCCCAGUAUAGCUCACCUGAUACCAAAGCCAAAGCCAAGACAGCCAGAUUACAAGUCCACGAAGAACACGGGCAUGUUUUGCUGCUACCACGAGUAUAAUGGCCAUGAUAGUGAGAAGUGCAUUAUCCUCCGUGACCAUAUUGAAGCUUUGGCACGUGAAGGAAAAAUUGAUCAGUUCCUUCUUCACCCUCCAAGGGAUAACCGUAACCAACGCCAGGUGAAUGUGAUAUAUUCCAUAAGCGGCGGCACACCCAUGUCUGAAUCUUCCAAUAGGGCCAUGAAAAGCAGUGAACGAACUUUGAGACCUGGCCAUCAAGUGUUUCAUGUGGAAGACAUCAGGGGAGGCAAGUAUCAAAAGCCUAACUGGGAUCCAAUAUGUUUCUACCCUGAGGAAGAAAAAUGUAUCAUCUACCCUCACAAUGACCCACUGAUCGUGGAGGCUCACAUAGCAAAUUUUGAUGUGAAACGAAUCCUGAUAGACACAGGUGCUUCAGUCAAUAUCAUGUUUGCUGAAGCUUUCAAGGUACUCAAUGUAGCUGAACACUUGCUCGAUCACUCGAUUUCUCCUCUGAUAAGCUUUUCUGGCGAUAUCGUACAACCUUUGGGGAGUAUACACUUACCCCUCACCAUUGGUACAGGCCCCUACACAGCUACUAUUACCAUUAACUUCCUAGUGGUCAAUUGCCCGACGGCAUACAAUGUCAUCUUUGGGCACACAGGCAUCAAUGAUCUCAAGGCCAUGGUAUCCACACAUAUGUUGUUGAUGAAGUUUCCAACCCCUUUCGGCAAUGGAUACAUCAGGAGAGAUCAACUUAGUGCUCGAUCAUGUUACAACACUUCAGUUAAGCAACAACACCUGCAUGUCCCCAAGGAGACCCUCUCUGUACAUAACCAGGUAGUAAAGACCAGUCAAGAUGAAGCCAACUCGGAUUUUCAUGAUAGCAACAGUCAACCCGACGACCCUCGAGAUGACUCAUUCACCCAGCAAGCACAACCCGCUGAAGAGUUAGAGAAUGUCUCUAUCUCCGAAGACCAUCCAGAUCGCAUGGUGAAGAUUGGCACCACUUUGUCACCACCCCUUCGGUUGUCGCUGAUCUCAUUUUACAAGAGAACGCCGAGGUCUUCGCUUGGUCAUAUAAAGAUAUGCCGGGCAUCUCUCCCGAUAUCAUCUGUCACCACUUGAGUAUUGAUCCCAAGACCAAACCAGUAAAACAGAAGCGAAGAUCUUAUGAUGUUGAACGAUACGAGGCGAUGAAAGCAGAAGUUGAAAAACUCAAGGACAUAGGCUUCGUCCGUGAAGUCAAUUACCCAACAUGGGUAGCAAAUGUUGUCAUUGUUAAGAAAAAUCCGACCAAGGAAAGUCUCCUGCUUCAAAAGAUUUUGUGGAGAAUGUGUGUCGACUACACUGACCUAAACAAAGGAUGCCCGAAGGAUAGUUUCCCUCUUCCUCUCAUUGAUAGACUUAUAGACUCUACGGCAGGGUGUGAGCUCUUGAGCUUCAUGGACGCUUAUUCAGGAUACAACCAAAUCCUCAUGAACCCCUCAGACCAAGAACACACGGCCUUCACUACUGACAGGGGACUAUAUUGCUAUAAAGUCAUGCCUUUCGGCCUAAAGAAUGCAGGAGCAACUUAUCAGAGACUGGUCAAUUCAAUGUUCGCCGAACAGAUUGGGAAGAGCAUGGAAGUUUACGUUGAUGAUAUGUUAGUCAAGAGCAAACAUGCUGACCAACACAUCACCAACCUAUCUGAAACUUUCACCAUUCUAAAGAGGAGGUAUCGAAUGAGGUUGAACCCCAACAAAUGUGCCUUUGGCGUGGGCUCUGGCAAAUUCUUAGGCUUCAUGAUCAGCCAACGAGGCAUUGAAGCUAACCCCGAAAAGAUCAAAGCAAUCAUCGACAUGAAAGAGCCAGUAAAUUCAAAAGACAUCCAAAGCCUUACUGGCAAGGUGGCAGCCUUAACCAGAUUCAUCUCUAAGGCCACAGAUAGAUGUACUCCUUUCUUUAAAGCACUCAAGGGAAAUAAGAAGUACAUUACAUGGACGGAGGAAUGUGCCAAGGCAUUCAGGAACCUCAAAGAGUACAUGAGUAAAGCCCCUCUGCUCUCCAAACCAGAAAUUGGUGACACUCUCAUUAUCUAUCUAUCGGUUUCGGCUUCAACAGUCAGUUCUGUUCUUAUUCGAAAGGACAGUGGUGUCGAACGGCCCGUUUACUACGCUAGCAAGGCCCUACAAGAUGCGGAGACACAAUACUCCAACAUUGAGAAAUUAGCUCUAGCAUUGGUCAUGUCUGCUCGAAAACUUCGCCCUUAUUUCCAAGCACACACCAUCAUCGUGCUUACCAAUCACCCUCUUCGACAGAUACUCCAGAGUCCUGACACGUCUGGGCGAAUGAUCAAAUGGGCGAUAGCAUUGGGUGAGUUUGACAUCUCCUACCAACCAAAACCAGCCGAAAAGGGUCAGGCUGUAGCAGAUUUCAUAGCCGACUUCACAUAUCCUGUUAACAUUGCUUCUACACCUGAAGCAGUAGCUUCAUUACCAUCGGAAGCUCAGAAGAUAGAAUCAACAACCCCAGCAUGGAAUCUGUAUGUUGAUGGCUCAUCCAACCAACAGGGCUGCAGAGCAGGAUUAGUCCUCACUACCCCCGACAAAGUGGCGAUGGAAUACGCUCUUCGUUUCAAAUUCAAGGCAUCGAACAACGAGGCCGAAUAUGAAGCCCUUCUAGCAGGCUUACAUUUGGCCAAGCACCUCGGGGUUAAACGAAUUGAUAUCUUCAGUGACUCCCAAUUAGUGGUCAACCAAGUCACGAACAACUUUGAUGCUAAGGAUAGCUCCAUGGCAGCAUAUCUUGCGCAAACGCGACUUUUGCUCAAGCACUUCCACUACCAGAUCACCCAAGUUCCUCGAGCGGCAAACAGUCAUGCAGACGCUUUGGCUCGCCUCGCCUCGGCAGUGGAAGACAAGAUUGGGAGAAAAAUUCAUGUCGAAUUAUUGGCAGCACCAAGCACUAUGGUCAUGGAAGUGUGCAAUUUACAACUAGGAGAUAGUUGGAUCACCCUAAUUUAUAAAUUCCUUGCUCAUGGCACCCUCCGAAUUGACAAAGUCCAAGCUAAGCAGAUUCGAUACAAGUCUGCCCGCUACCUGAUCAUUAAUGACCAACUUUACAAGCGCGGUUUUACCCUGCCAUACCUAAGAUGCCUUACACCUGCGGAAGCGGAAAUUGUCCUUCGGGAAAUACAUGAAGGAGUCUGCGAAGAUCAUGCUGGGUCUCGAUCCCUAGCACACAAGGCUUUUCGCCAAGGAUACUAUUGGCCAACACUCCACCAAGAUGCCAUCAGAAUAUCUCGCUCAUGUGAUAAGUGUCAACGCUACGCAACUAUCCCUCACUCCCCUCCCGAGCCGCUCACUCUUAUGAUCAGCCCUUGGCCCUUCGCCCAAUGGGGACUUGAUUUGAUCGGCCCAAUGCCUGCAGGGAAAGACAAGGUCCGCUGUGCAAUCGUUGCAGUUGAUUAUUUCACAAAGUGGGCUGAAGUAGAACCAUUGGCAACCAUUACUAAGGGAAAAAUAGAAGACUUCGUAUGGAAGAACAUCCUCUGCAGAUUCGGCAUUCCCAAUGUGAUAGUUACGGACAAUGGGCGGCAGUUCGACAACAAGAAGUUCAAGAUGUUAUGCUCUAAGUUCAACAUCAACUUAUGUUUUGCCUCUCCAGCCCAUCCCCAGUCUAACGGACAAGUCGAGGCCGUUAACAAAAUAAUCAAGCGCACUCUGAAAACUAGCUUGGACAAAGCUAAAGGUUGUUGGCCAGAAUUCGUACCCCAAGUUCUUUGGUCAUACCGCACUUCAUAUCGGACUUCCACAGGAGAAACUCCAUUCUCACUUGCUUUUGGUACAGAAGCAGUUGUCCCGGUUGAGCUUGAGCAAGCAACAUACUGAAUCCAAAACUACAUACAGAGUGAGAACGACAAGCAACUCACCCUCAACCUGGAUCUAGUCGAGGAACACAGAAGUCAGGCUCACCUGAGGAAUGUCGCCUACAAGCAGCGCAUCUCCAACUACUACGACUCAAGGGUCAAACCUCGCUCUUUCAAAGUGGGAGACUGGGUACUGAAGAAAAGAUUACUCUGUGAUAGAGUCCCGAGUGAAGGAACACUCAGUCCUAACUGGGACGGACCGUUCGAAGUCGUCGGCAUCAGCCGCCCUGGCUCCUACAAGCUCAAAAGCUCCGACGGCAAGACCCUUGGCCAUCCAUGGAAUGCUGACCACUUGAAGUACUAUUACAAAUAGACUUACAUUGUACAAGUGUUAAGCUACAGCCGUUCGGCAUCCUAUGUAACAAAGACCAUUUGGUAUGAAUUCAAUAAAGAGGUGAUUUAGCCAACUCGGCCCUAAACUCUUUUACAUUCUGAGCAAUGAAACACUCAAGUGUUGAAGCUUCAACGCACAUGUUUCCAAUACAAAAUAAAAUCUAAGUAUAUGUCAACAAGACUAUACAAAUGAUCUAUGCAAACAUAGCCAAACAUUCAUCAAUGAUAGGGCAAACACUUGAAGCUUGAUAAUGCAAACACUUGAAGCUUGAUAAUACAAACACUUGAAGCUUGAUAAUACAAACACUUGAAGCUUGAUAAUACAAACACUUGCUUGAUAAUGCAAACACUCAUAAACAAAAAAAAAAACCCUCGAGCUUAUAACAUGGCACAUGCCAUACAAACAACAAACUAGUUCAGGCAGAGUACAUGCAGAAAGUGAAAGCACUUCUAGUCAUCCUCCUCUAAGGUUGAACCCCUGAUCAUAUCACUCUGAGUCCUACCGCCAUUUUCUGCAUCUCCAACCUCAUCAUCACCCUGAUAACUCUGCUCAUCAGCACUAGCAUCAUCGCCAGACUCAUCUGCACUGCUCGAAUAAACUGCAAGGUCGAAGGUUUCACCUUUUCAAUGAUGCUCAUCUAUUUCUUCACGGUAUUUUCGAAGAACACUUCCAUCAUCAUAACGAUCAAGGACAGCCAUCCACUUUAUUUUUUCAAAGUGCACUUCCCGGGCACAGCGAGGUCUAAGGACAUGGAGAAAGGCCUGGGAACCCAAGAACUCAUUCACAGCAGCUUCCUUCUCAGCCGGGAUACUACUUUUCAGCUCAGAAACCUCAACCAAGGCACUAUCCAACUCCCCUUUAACCUUGGAAACCUCGAGCAUAGUUGUCUCCAACUGUUUCUUAGUCGCGUCCAACUGUACCUUGAGUCUCAAGUUCUCACCAUUCCGCCUCUUCAAACUCUCAAAAUGUUGAUCCUUGACUUGGAUGGCCUCAGCUAAAGCUUUGCUCGUCUUCCUGGCAUCAUUCACAAGCUGCUUAUUCUCUUUCAAUUUCACCUUGCACCGUUCAGCCUCUCGCAGUCUGUCGUGAUACUCAGUCAUGACCUGCAUGACAAGACAAUCAUCAAUACUAAAAUAAUGCUAAUAAAGAAGAGAAAACAAGGGAAUGACAAAGUAACACUCACAUAUGAAGACAGCUUCAACAUCCGGUCGCAAUCCGAUUCAUCUUUAGCUAAGGGCUCUCCGAGCUCAUCGAAAGUGAAUCGACGCCCUGCCAGGAAAUUGUUGAUAUACCCAAAGUCCUUUGGCCGCAUGGCAACCUUCAAAUCCUUCCAAGGGAAACUGCCAACCUCUUCCUUAUCUUUACCCUUGCUGCUAGAACUAGGAUCACCUUCCUGCCCAAUGUGUUCCCUAACUGGAGGAAAGAUGGGAUUAAUAGUAGGAAGAGGAGGCAGCAAUCGCCUAUCUUCCCCGGCAACUAUGGCAGCAGCACAUCCAAUGGCCUCAGCUUCAGCUUUCUUCGAGGCAGCAACCUUGAGGACUUCUUCUCGAGACUUAGUUUUAAUAAUUGGUCUCACUCGGUGUUUGCGAGCUUCCUUGUGAAACAGGAUGUCUUCUGAAGGAACUAACAUGGGCACUCUCCUUUUCUUGGUGCUAGUCUCCACUUUCUUGCCCACCUUCUCCACUGAACAAGGAAAAUCAAAGUAAGGAAUACCACAUUAUAUAUCUAUAAAAAUAAAAAUAAAAAAAAAGGGAGAACAAGGAUCAAGUGAGGAUACAACUUACUCGCUCGUCUCUGGCACUUGGAAACUAAGGGCUGGAAACCGUACUUUCGAAACAAGGGACGUAGCUUACCCAAGUAUCUAUCUUCUUUAGGCACUCUCAGCACUUUCUCUACAUCAGCUAGCUCCUGUCCGGAGAGUUUGAUGGUGCCUCGUGUCACUGCAUGAAGAAAAAUCUUAGAAGCAAGAGAAAAUCACAACAAUAGCAAAUAAUGAGAAAAUGGAUACAUUACAACCUACAGUCUGGAAGUGAGUAGGAACACGUCGCUCAGGCGUGACACCCUUAGCAUGCUCCCAAUCAUUAUAAAGAAAGCACCAACGUUUCUUCCAUGUGCAGUACGACUUUCUCUUAUUAAAGACAACACGCUCUCUCUCGCUCCGACAUGCACAUUCAGCAUAACCAGUACAUGCUUUCACCGGGCGCAUCUUAUAACAGUAGCGCCACUGAUGGAAGGAAGGCUCACCUAAUCCACACUUCAUCCAAAUAAUAUAAAACCUGAUCAAGGUAUCCCAGAAACCAGGAUUGAGUUGCCCAGGUGCAUAACCAAUAAAAGCCAGCAUUCGUUGCAACCACGGAUGCAAAGGUAAAUUUACCCCCAAGGUCACUAAUGUCCGGGUAUAGAACAUAACAUGACCCUUGGGCGGCUCCGAAUGCAAUUCUUCACAACGCACCAAACGUAUUCCUACACUACAGGGGAUACUACAUGAUUGCCUUAGGGCCUCAAGCUGCUUUUCGCUAUCUAACAAGUUAUUUUCUAAAUGGUCCGCUGUGAACUCAGAGCGAAAUAUGGGUAUGGCGUCACAAACAACCCCCUCACCCACUAACAUGGAGGAAGAACCAAUAUUGGCUAAGGUUUGACAAUUGUGAGGAUCAUCCAACGUUUCUUUUGUACAAGACUCUAACAAAGGCCAUGAAGACCCCGACAUUGCAGGCUCAAACCUAGAGCCCGAGCUAGGGGAGCCCUCAUCACUAAGACUUCCAGACUCCGACAUCUACAACAAACAGAAACAAACUCUAUUACUACAUGAAGGAUCAAAACAUAAGGAAGCUCACAGGGCAUGAAGAACAGCUCAACCAGUUCAUUAUGUUCGUCACAAAAUACAUGAACAUUCCAACAAUUCAACAAAAAGGAAAACAUCCAAUGUAGUGGAGAAGACUACCAACCUGAAGAUGGUGCAGCAAAGCAAUGCUAGAAUCCAUCUCAAGUAAAAAGCACUCUGUCUUCAAAAAUCACUACAAGAUGAGCAAAUGAAGGUAAGGUAAAGAAUGGAAACUUAUCCUUCUUAUAUAUAGUUCAACAUGGCUAUUAACAUUCAAAAUUCAAAUUCAAACUAUGAGAAAGCCCCACAUGGAGAAUCUUCACACUUCUAACAUUAAGGAGUUUCAAAUUUCAAAUGUUUCAGUUCCCCCCUCCAACCAAAAAAAAAAAAAAAUCCGAAAAAAAAAAAUUCGAAAAAAAAAAAAAAAGGAAGGGGGAACACAGCAGCUUCAUCAAUGGGAUUCAACUCCCAAUCUCAAAAGGCUUCGCACUAUGUUCAUCAAGAUAGUACGAAGCACAAUCAAUUUAUGGUGCCAACAAAACCUUCAUCAAUGGAGGACAAAUAUCAAUCUCAAAGGAUUCGCACUAUGUUCAUCAAGAUAGUGCAAAGCAUAAUCAAUUUAUGGUGCCAACAAAAGCUUCAUCAAUGGAGGACAAAUAUCAAUCUCAAAAGCUUCGCACUAUGUUCAUCAAGAUAGUGCGAAGCACAAUCAAUUUAUGGUGUCAACACCAAAGCUUCACCUAUAAAGCUUCAACACCAAAGCUUCACCUAUAAAGCUUCACCACCAAAGCUUCACCUAUAAAGCUUCAACCCCAAAGCUUCACCUAUAAAGCUUCAACACCAAAGCUUCACCUAUAAAGCUUCACAUAUCAAGCUUCAACCCCAAUGCUUCACCUACAAUACAAAAUUUCAACACCAAAACAUAUAAAAGCUUUGCACACUCUUCAUCAAGAUAGUGCGAAGCUAAUUCAAGUUUUGUAUCCUAAAAAUAGCUUCAACUAGUCAAGCUAUAUACCCAAGCAAAAAUCUAUAGUCAAUAAACCUUACCUAUUAAACUAUUUCCCAAACACAAAACCUUGUGACAAAUAAACAAAUUUUGUUCACACAACCAAGAUUCCCUUGAACUUGUACAAAAACAUAGGUCAACACAAACAUUUGUUUUGUUCUACACCCACAACAUCCCUGUCAUAAACAAACAAGCAAUUAUGUAUAUGUUUCCAAACAUAUUAUAAUAAAUCAAACAACAAACCAACAUCCCAAGUUUAACUAGAAAUCCAACCCAAGCAACUUCUUUCCCUCUCUUCCUCUUCCGCCUCCUUUCAUCUAUCAAAUUUCUGCAACCUUUGCUCUUCUCCAGUGGAGCUGAAUUUUGGACACCCUAUAGUUCUUGCGCAGAUGAACAAUUUUCAAGAAGGAAUCGUUUCUGUUUGAGCGACGGAAAUUAAAGUGUUGAGGCUCCAAACACGACAGUCGGAUUCCCGCAAAUUUAAAGACUGCUGUGAUGUUUCGAAGAUCUGGAAAUAUUUAACCGUUAGUUCCUUCUGAAUUUUUGAUAUGUUAUGGAAGAGAUGAUGAGGAACAACUUCAAUGAAGAAAGUAUGUUGAUCUGAACAAGACAAAAUGCAGUUUCGAAGCUCACAAUACGUCUGACGGGUUAACAGCAAAAUGAUGCACAGUUACUCAUCAUACCUAAAUAUCUGGAGUUGUACUACUCCGAUGGCUCUCCAAUUUGGAUAUGUUGUAGUUCACAAGCUAAGGAACAAUUUUCAUGAAGACAACCUUGUGAUUUGAGCUACAGAAAAUGGUGUUAUAUUGCAGAGCUACCGCGCCCUCUACGUUAACUUCUUCCUUCACUUCCUUGGCUCCAACACCCACUUUCCUUCAUCAUAGCUUUGGCAUAAUUCAGAUUUUUACGGGGACAUGAAGACCUUUCCAGCAAAGAAAGGAAAAGGCAAGUCAAAAGAAUAGCUAAAAGCCACCAAAAGUGACAGACAAAAGGAAUAAGUGCACAGUGCCAUAUUGAACAAAGUCCAGGGAAAUGGGGAAGACGACACAGGCAAAGGGAUGAGACUUUGAGUCUCAUUGUUGUUAUUUAUCUACCUCCCAAUAUGCAGCAAGAAUACAUUGGGCUUCACAAAAAAUAAAUAAAGGGGAGUGGGCACAAACCUGUUCUCCUCUUUGGGCUUGCCACACAAAUAAAAAAUGAACAAAGGCACUGGAUCCCUUCUUUUCGUGGGCUUGAACACAUAUGAGCAGUUUUGGGCUACACAAAAAUUUUGGGCCCUCCCAACGCUAAACCUAGCUUGAAAUAUUUUUGGAUAAGGCAUAUAUGAAGGUGUGACAUCAAAACAAGGCUUCGUUACUUUGACAAAUUAGUAGCAAGCAAGACACCUCAUUCGGCAACUCUCAUCGCCUGAAGACUUAGGGAACUCCCACCAUAUGCUACUACACCUUGAUACUCAGAAGUCUCACAACCACUCAGUGACUUGGAUUUUUCAAGUCUCCAACCGAGAAGUUUUCCUCACUCGGGAAAUUAAGGGAACACUACAUCAAACUACAUGCUUCACUCACAAAACUUCAACAAUACAAGUUUCAACAAAAGAAAAAAUUCAAAGAACUUUCUGAAGAAGGCUUUGGUGUAUUUAACACAAUACGUUGAAAUGAAGCAAAGCUUAUUUAUUAAUAUUUCCGAUAAGCUACAAAUAUGUACAUGUACAUGAGUCAAAGUAAACAAACAAGAGGGAGCCUUCAUAAAGAUUGCUUAGGGGAAGUCUCAGCAGUCGGUAGAGCCCCAGAAAGAGAAAGCAUCGGAGGGUGGUUAUCCGGAGCCUCAAUACUUGACAGAACCCCAGAAGGAGGAAGCAUCGGAGGUUCAUCAUUUGAAGCUUCAUUACCAGGUACAGCCCCAGAAGACGAAGGCAAUAAAUGCCUUUGGAACAAACCCACAAACCGCUGAUGAUCAAGUAAAACCUUACCAUCAGAUUCCUUCAUCUGGUCAAGCUUCCUCUUCAUGUUUGUAGCAUAGUCAUGGGCGAGCCGGUGCAACUGUUUAUUCUCAUGCUUGAGCCCUCUAAUCUCAUGUUUGAGACUCAUCACUUCAGCAGCCAAUGAUUCAACUUGGCGGGUUCUAGCAAAUAGGCGUUGGGCCAUAUUAGACACAGAGCCUGCACACUGAACACUAAGAGCUAGAGAAUCCUUAACAGCCAACUCAUCAGACCGUUUGGAAAGUAGUUUGUUAUCUUUGGGAGUGAAAAGGUUCCUGGCAACCACUGCAGCGGUCAUACCAUUCUUCAUCACAGAAUCCCCAACGGUAAGAUGACCAGUAGGGGAUGUGAAGGAUGGGCGCCAUAUGUUGUCUGGAGAAGGCGUGGCUGUCUCUUCUCCAAGGUUCAAGUCAAAACGACGGUCGGAGGGGCCAGACAUUUUCAAAGGUGUUGAAGAGGGAAGAGGUCAGACAAAUAAAGAUCUUAGAAUUGCAAGAAGAGAGCUUCUACUGGUAGAGAUUCAAGUGUGCUGUGGAACUUAAUGCCAACCUCUAUAAAAAUCUGCACUCAACGGAGCUUCAGAAAUCGAAGAGGCAUUUGCUUUCUCAAAAGCUGGGCUGCUCAGAGACCACGAGGGCCGAUCUCAGAAAUCGAAGAAGCACCUGCUUUUUCAGCCUCAGCACCUGUCACAUGCACACUCAGCUUUGCGGAAAUUACGGGCAAUCUGUCGAAGAUUUCUGGUGAAGUAAAAAGCACGUGAAUCUUACUGUUCAAUCACCGCUCUCCACAUGCACCAUCAACUCCUCGGGUACCACAUAUAACUUUGUCAAAGAUCUCUGACAAAGUUUAGGCACGAGAAUUUCGAAGUUCCAGCUACCCUAUUAUUACCCACAAGGGUAAAGGAACAGCACCACUGCUUGACAACUGGAAAGUCCCUAUGUGUGUCGACCUCCGUAUUUUGAGGCAAGACAGGUUGGCAAGAACGUCCAACCUUUACUCACAUUCGAGAAAAGACUCCCAACAUAAUUACUUUCUCAAAAACCGAAACGGCGCCGCUCUCCGAAUCUCGAGGGACAGACUCCCAACGGGAUUACUUUCUUGAAAACCGAAUAGGCACAGCUCUCGGAACUUCGAGAACCAGAUCUCCUUAGAUAAAGCUUGUCUGUAAUCUUCACACGCAACAUCAGCUUUACAGAUACCACACACCACUUUUUCAAAGUGCUCUGACAAAGUUAAAACACGUGAAGCUGACAGCUCCCACUACAUUGCUGUGACCAAGAAGGGUAAAUGAAUAGCAUUACUACUUGCUGUUGGGAAAUCCCUAUAUACGUCGACCUCCCUCCUCUAAGGACAGGCAAACCUGCAAAAAUGCUUAACUCUUUCUCGCAUUCGAGAAAGCACCCUCAACAUAACUUCUCGAAAUACUCAGCUUUAUUUCCCCCCGAUAAUACCUCAGCAAAUAAGCCACACCAAAAACAAGAGUAUCUUAUAUCAUCAAGGUUGAAAGCAAGAGUAUCCUAUAUCAUGCUUUCUCCUUAUCCUUGUCUUUGUCCUUGUCCACACCUGCAGGACAAGGAGAAAGAGAGCAGUCAGUCGGAACCUGAAAUCAAACCUCCAAUCUGGAACUGACUGCCUGAGAUCUUUGCCUGGUUGCUUACUCAACAUUGCUCUCGAGUACUCAUCCUCAACUGUUGUCAAGGUCACGAAUUCCACUGGCAAAUACCUCAUGACAGUUGAUCAGAUAUUGGCUCUUUACACUGAAGCUGCCAAGCGUGGAUGAGUCACUAGGAAGGAAUGUUCUGAAGGACCAUUUAAAUGCAAAGGUUACACACCACUUCCGCCAGGCAAAAGAUUGAAGCGGAAGGUUCAACGAUGAGCUAAAACAGAUCGCUACAACACGAGAAGCUUCAAUAACCUUUCACUAGCACCGCCGCCGAAGAGCAAAACCUCGCCAUACCACAUUCACUACUUUGUCAACAGCAAGAGUAUCCCAUAUCAUCAGGGUCGAUCAUACUCUAUAUCUGAUGGACUUGUUUUGACCCUCAAAUUCUUGAGUCGACUCACUAAGGCGUCGUGAACUGCACGUGUUGAUUCAUCACCCUUGAAUCAAAUCCUUAAAGAUCAUGUCACCAACGGCCCUUGAAGAUAUCACAAGCCCGAUUCAAGAUCAAGUGUCCACCACCUUGAAUCGAAUCCAGUUCAAGAUUAAGUCUGUGGAAAGUCCUUUGGGGGAAACUAGGAAACCCUCCAGCACAGUUCAAGAAUUAGCCUAUGGAAAGUUACUUCUUCAAAAGCAAAAGUAUCUCAUAUCACCUCUUCUCCAUUUGUUUCUCCUUAUCCUGGCAGUUGAAUGAGAGACAAGGAAAAGGAGAACAAUCAACCGGAAGCCGAAGACGAACCUCCGAUCCUGGGUUGCUUGCUUGGAAGUUUGACUGCUUACCUUGUCUGUCACCUCUUUCGGCAGAUCUCCUAGCUCGGCGACUUGGGGGACUCCUACUAUAGGGUUUGUAUCGCACUUGACCAAGCCCGAAACUACAAGUAAGCUUCAAGUGAAAUUGAUACAUUACCUUGUGCAUCUCCACCGGUUAAGGACACCACCCCUGAAUGGAGGAAGCGUACUUCCAGAGAAGAUGCCACAUCUACCUAUGAGAAAGAUAAGGCAAGUGAAGACGAUACCACACCUCGGUACUUAGAAGUUUCGUGAUUACUCAGCGGCUUGGAUCUUGCAAGUCCCCAACCGAGGAGCUUCCCUCACUCGGGAACUUAGGGGAGCACUGUUUGUACCAUACUUGACCAAUCCCGAAACUACUGAGCACCGGUCAACGUUAUACCGUCAAGGACCUAGAAGAGCUUCUCUUCAACCAGGAGGCCAAUCACAAUGCGACACGUGUCGACAUAGGAAGCCAAUCACAGCGCGACACGUGUCAACAUCAGAGGCCAAUCACAACACGACACGUGUCAAUAUUAGAACAAAACUAGAAACUCUCUUCUAUAAAUAGGGAUCAUUCUCCUACAAUAAUCUCUAAUGUCAUUUUGUACUAAACUAUUCACUAGAACUCACUAAACCAGAGCUUGAACCUAUGUAUUUGUGUAAACCCUUCACAAUUAAUGAGAACUCCUCUACUCCGUGGACGUAGCCAAUCUGGGUGAACCACGUACAUCCUGUGUUUGCUUCUGUCUCUAUUCAUUUACGUACUUAUCCUCACUAGUGACCGAAGCGACCAAGCGAAGGUUACAAAACCUGACACUUUCUGUUGUACCAAAGUCCUAGCUGAUUUUGUGCAUCAACACAAAUAAAUUUUUUAUAUGAAGUAAGGGCACAUUUUUUUAUGUCACCCUGGGCCUCAAAAAUCUCUGGACCGACUCUGCCUAGACUGGCCCAAUGUUGAUAUUGUAGGUGUUAGUUCUAUAGUGGCAGUUCAUGGAAAGUCUCAUUCAAGAGUUAGAAGCUAUGUUGUAAGCAUAAUUAACUGUCCCGACGCUUUCUGUCGCAUAAGCCAAUUUGUCCAACCCCGCAUGGUAGUUACGCUAGAGUCGUGGACUCCAAAGGGUAUAGUCAAAGAAUAUGAUGAAGCCAGGAAGGUAAGGCCAUCUCCAACCAAUCCGGCUAGAGGGCCAUAGGGCCGAAAAUAGCCCGAAAUGACACGAAAACCGUCGCCAACCAAGGGCUAGGCUAAAGGGCUAGUGGGCCCCACCGAGCCAAAAAAAGCAGAAAAGGGCCAACCAGCUAGCCCAACCCAGCCAGCCCCAGGCCGGGAAACUUAAACAACAUUUUUAAAAACAUUUAACAACAUAAAAUUUAAAUGCCUACUCCAUGCUUCUUUUGGCCCAAAGAUGUGCAACAAGAUCCUGUUGUAGGUACUUGUUUGUGGCAUGGGAACGUAUGAUCCUAUGGCUCAUCAUGUACUCAUUUAAAGAUAUAUUACCAAUUAUUGGAUUGAAAGGCAAAUUAGGCCCAUCAUAUAUUUUUGCACAAGCCUUUCUUGACCUAUUUGGAUCAUCUUGGUCGUCAUUAGACUCUCCAUCAAUAUACCCAUCUCGCUCAUCCUCUACAAUCAUGUUGUGUAAUAUGAUGCAAGACAUCAUGAUGGAGUCCAAAUUUUCUCGACUCCACCCUCUGGCCCUUCUUCGAGAUGACCUAAAUUUAUUAUAAAAACAAUAAAGCAAUAAGUGCCAAUCAUGCAAAUAUGAUAUUUUAUCAAAAAAUGUCUCAUGCAAUUAAAAGUCUAAUCAUUUUAUUCUAUAGGUUUUCGGUGUAAGACUUUUUAAUAUCUUCAACAACUUUUCAUGCCUCAUUAUGUUUAUAGGUAACAUUUGAAAAUAUUGGAAAACUAUUCGUAAGUUUGGAGCCGGGGCUCCACUGAUUUUCCAAUAUAUAUUCAGACCAUAUUGUAAAUAACGUGCAUACAUGCUAAAUAUAUGAAUGUGAAUUUGCCAAGGUUCUAAAAGACGUUAGGCACUAGUCGGGCAGCGGGUUGGGGCCCAUCACCUAGGUGGCUAGGCGGGGUCUAGGCGGAUUUAAGUAAAUCCAUUAUAUUUCAUGUAAAUAAGUGUUUGUUUAAACUUAAAACAUAUAUAUAUAUAUAUAUAUAAUUUCAUCAUAAACUACAAAAUAGAAUAACAUAUGUAUUAUGAAGUAUUGGAACAUAAUGAAAACAUGAGGAACAAGCAUAGAGUGUGUGCUCAUAUAAGUAUUCAACAAGUCUCUUACAAUUUAUUGAAAUAAAUUAAAUGCAAAUUGAAAGUUAUCUAUUUUCUGUUUAAUUAAGUCGCAACCUAGGCAUGUGCCUAGGCAGUCUGGGUAGGUUAGACGGGCGCCUCAUUUGGUCUAGGUGCCCUUUCUUAAUUUUGAAACGCCUAAACAUUAAUCGGGACGGUGGCUAACCAUCUAGCGCCUAGGUGGAGGCCUAAGCGGCGCUAGACGGGGAUUUUUCGAAUAAAUUUGCAGCGUAGGAAAAAGCUUGAGGACAUUUUCAGGGUGGAGCUAAAGAAGAAAAAAACUUAAAGGAAGGGGUGACAAAUGAUCUAAUGGAUGGGCUUAUGUAGAUUAAAGACGAUGAAGGCAAUAAAUUAAGUGACCAAGAGGUUCUAGAGAACAUUGUCAGCCUUGUUAUCGCUGGUAUGCAUCACUUCUCUAUCAAUAAUGUGGACUUUAUAUUAUCUCGCAAAAUACCCUGAUGUCUGUGGAUGCAAAUUUUCACCUCUUCGAUCUUGGACGAUUUUGCACCUACAAAACAACUAGCACCUUAGGUUAAGGCCAAAAGCCUCACGCGCCCACGAUGAAUGGGGGGGCUUUGGCCGAAGAACCUCCGAUGCCAAAGUUAGAAAUUUAGAGAGAAUAGUGUUUAGAGUGUUUUGGAAUUUUUGCAAGAGGUUUGGAAUGAAUUUUUGGUGAGAAUAGGAGCCUAUUUAUAGGAUUAGGCUUCCCCAUUUUUCACCAAGGAAGGGCCGGCCACACCCUUCCCUUUUCUUAGUCAAUUUGUGGUUUUUUAUUAGCCCCUUUAUUGGCUAAUAAAAUAGAAAUGAAUGGGGUCUUAAAUGAUUAGCUUUAUUUGAGUAAUAAAGUGGAGGAAAAUAAAAAAAAGGUAGGGAAAAGAUGGGAGGGAAUAUGGCCGGUUACUAUGGGAUUUUUAGGUUUUAUUUUAGGUUUAAUUAGCCAAUUAAUUGGCUAAUUAAAUAUGAAAGGAGAUAUUUUAUUAUUUAUGGUAUUGAUUGGCUAAUUUAAAAGGGAAGGAAAGGUGGAAAAGGUAGAAAAAAAGGUGAUGGAAUAGACUUUGAAUGGGGUAGCCGGCCCUAUCCCAUUUUUUAGGUUUGAGUGGAUGUUUCAAAUUGGUAAUUAAGGGAUGAUUUUAGGAGAUAUGGGAAGAAUAUAUUAUUUAGAUAAUUAAUUAACUAAAUAAUAUAUUAGGGAAAUUAAGUUUUGGAAAUAAUUACCUAAAAUAAGAUAAUUUGGAAUUAGUUACCUCUUCUGGAGCAUUUUUGAAUUGGUUGAGGAUGAUUACCCACUACUUGCGCGUAGGAAUCCCGAUAUACCUCAAGGGUAUUUUUGUCCUCUUUCGUUCACAAAUCCACGUGUCGCCUAGUGAAUAUUUUUGGCUCCACAAAUGCCCCCACACCUGUUGAGCUGUUUGCAGAAAAGGGCAAUAGGUGUAGAGAUUUUCUUGCUUUAGGAAAUUCUGAACUGUUUCCUAUUUUGUUGUUGAUUCUCUCUUUCAAUAGGAAAUUAAAUCCUUUUAGGAAAAGGAAAUAAAUUUCCCCAAAGCUUACUUAAGUCCACCUUAAGUGGAUCAUUAAAUCAACUUUUAGAGAGAAACUUAUUCAUCCUUACAAGAGAAAAAGAGAGCUUAGAGGAUAUUUGUUCCCCCUCCUCUAGCAAUCUUCUACGUCUUGCCCGUGUAAAGGAUCGCUCUUCGUUGCUUCCAGGUAAGAAAAAAUUAUUUUUCGUCUUCUUGAUUUUCUGGAAUCUUUGGACCUUGACUCUUGGCUUGAUGGGAAUCGGAGACUUGUUAUAGGUUGAUUUGGUGAACCAUGGCAUGGUAAUACCAUGAAAACACAUAUAUAUUUUUUUCUUUGCUGGGCGUUGAAGCAAGCCAGGCCGUGGGGCCUGGCAGGUUUGCUGGGUCCUGCGGCUUUAUGCCCUUUUUUUUUUUUUUUUUUUAACAACUCUCUAACAAAUCUUCCCUGUACUUUUGUAGAAUUUUCAAGCAUGUCUUCCUCGAGCCGUAAGAAUGAUGAUGGUGUGCCCCCGCUGUACCGUCAAGGCGGGUCUUUGAGCAAGAUUGGCUACUUCAAAGCUGCUCACAUCAAGAUUAGCUCCGACAAUUUGUUUAGAGAUUUUCUUGAAACGUAUUGGCAUGCCAUUCCGUCGGGAGUGCGUGUGAGGCGAGUUAAAGAUGGUAGCAGCCGAGAACCAUGCAGUGGAACUCGGAGAACUAUCAAGUUCCAUCCUUACUAUUUUGUGUUAGGGUUUACUUUCCCUAUGCCGCGUUUCUUCCAAGAAGUGCUUUGCUCUAUGAAAUGUGCGUCUGCCCAAUGUUCCCCGAAUGCGGUCCGAGUGAUGGUGGGGUUCCACAAUUUGAACCAAUUCUUUGACUUGGGACUAACCACCAACGAAUUUUGGUAUUUCUUUGACAUGGGUCGUAUUGAUGGAGUUGGACAACUGCGAAUCCGUCAUAAGCUUUUUGAUAAUUCGAGUAAAGGAGAUCAUGAUUGGGCCAAAGAGACUUUGGAGAUAAGUGGAGAAUGGGAAUCUGAUUCUUCUCCCGAGCUGCGCGUAUCAACGGUCUUCAUAUCUGGUAAGCAGACUGCUUAGUUUUUUUUUUUUUUUUUUUUUUGUAGAUUCGGAAUUUGGCUCAACUCCUAGGGUUUCUCCAGAUAUGAAAAAAGUGCAUAUCGCUCUGGGUAUUCCUUCCGAGUAUCGUGAGUGGCGUUGGCUGCUUAGUCCUCUUCGUAGGGAAAAAUGUGGACUACCCCCAGAAGAAGAAAUAAAACGGAUCACGGCAGACGCGAUGGCUCGUUCUAUCACUGUGGUGGAGCCUACUACCAAUGAAGGUGGGAAAAAGAAACAUUCCCCGCCUGCUCAAGAGAUGCCUGCUGAGAAGAAAACGAAGACUGCUCGUGGGGAUUCUCCGGCUGCUCCCAAGAUUGUGAUUGACCUGACUUCCUCUAAGGGCGAGAAAGAACGAACUGCUACAUUUGUGCCGGUAACGCCUAUUGCUUCGAAGGCUGCUAGCUCGAUUGCUGAAAAAAUUGCUCAGCGUAAAAGUUCUUUCGUGCCUUUGGUACCGAAAUUUGUGCCGAAACGUCCGUCCGGGACUAAACCUGACUUGCCCUUGAAGAGACUUGCUACUAUGAAGAAUGAUAAGGUGCCCUUGUCUGCUAAAGUGGCGCCGAAUACUGCUUCCUCCGCUGCUGCAACCAUCUCGUCUGCUGAUAAGAAUGAAGCUGUUCGCUCAGGCAGGCUUGAAGAAUCCGCCAAGGCCGUUUCUGGGGAGGCUGCUAAGAUUUGUGCUCUUUUGAAACCAGAUCUUCUUGAAGACAUGGAUGUAUGCGCCCAGUUUGUUGAUGGCGUCAAGAGAUUGUUGGUCCGAGUCUUUUUGCAAAGCAUACACCCGAGUAUAGGAAGACUGCUCUGCUAGCCAUGAUGCAGAAAACAACAAUUCUGGCAGCCGAGUCUAUGUUCUUUGACCAAGAGGACACCAAGGCUGCUAAAGAGAUGGCAAGAACUAUGGCUGCCGAAGCUUAUUCCUCGGUCGAAAAAAUCAAAAAAUUGGAAUCUGAGCUUGCUGCUUUGAAGGAAUCUCAUACUUCUGACCCCACUUCUCUGCAGCUUGAGGCCGCUCACCAGGAGAUCAUGGAUUUGAAGACUAGGUUUGAUGCGGUCCAAACAAAGAAUGAAAGUGCAGAGAAGGAAAUCGAGCGUUACAUACCUCAGAUUCGAGAUCUUGAACGCUCCAUAUCUGAACUUCGCUCUGCUGCUUAUGCAAAGGAUGAAGAAUUGAUUGCUACUUACAACCAAGUGAUCCACUUCAAAGAGGUUGCUGACAAGCUUGAGCCUCAAGUGUCGGAACUUCAAAGUGUUUUGAAGACCAACGACAAUCUGAAGAAGGAAAUUGAGGAAUUGCAGCGAGUUCGUGCUUGCCUGCUUGAGGAGAAUGAGCAGUUGAAGAGUGAGAAAGAUGGUUUCGAGGCUUCGCUUAUUCAGAACCAAUCUGAUUUCUACAAGCUGGGCUAUAUAGAUCAUCUCUAUGGGCGGCCGUCUGACUUUGAGUUUUCCGGUAAAGACUUCGAGACCUUCUCUAUUUCCCCAGAAGACUUGCUCGAUUUUACCUUUGAGUCUUCUAUCGGUGAAAUAGCUGGAGGAGUUGAUACCCAGGCUGGAGCAGUCGAGGGUAAAGGUUCGGAGAAUGCCGCUGCUGAGAACACCAAGGCUGCUGAAGGUGUAACAACCGAGCAGUUGGGAGAUGUCCAAACUACUGAAGAGUAGUCUUCUAGGUAGCUUUUAGGGUUUCCUUUUCUUUCCUUUGUUGCUUUUGCUUGAACUCCUUCGGUAUUUGCUUGUUGUUUAUCAAUUUUGCUAUAAAAUUUAAUAAACUCGCUUCUUUUGCUUUUCCCAUUUUUUUUUUUUUUUUUUUUUAACCUUUAGACCUUAUAAGCCAGUGGCAGGCGUGCUACUUUUCUAUAAGCAGACAAGCCCACAUAGCCUAUGCAGCCGUAGGUGUUGAUGUAGAACUUUUGCAAAGUUAUUAACCAUAGGGUUGGCAGCCGGAUGCCUUACUUACAGAAGCAGACGAAUCCGCGUAACCACUUGGCUAUUCAACCUUGGAUCUUUCCAAUUCCGUAGGCUGUGUAGCAAGUAUCACAACACUUUAGGAUUUGGUGUAAGUUAUUCUGCGUUUGACAGAGGUGAAGCUUAUCAACUACGUAGCAUGUCGGUAGUGGAUAAAAUCUUCGUGUGUGCACGCUAACUUGUUUAACCUUUCACAAUAAUGUGCGGUUGCAUAAGUCUAGCGUGGUUCUACUGCUCGAAGGGCAAGCCGUAGGCAGUCUUCUGGAAAUCCGUAGGCUACCUUAAUGCACUCGGUAGCAGCUUUAGGUUUCCAGGGCAGCCGCCCAUUGGGUGUGCUGCAUAAUGUGCCCCCUCCGUCUCUAGGGCCCGGUUCCCUGCGGAUUAAGCUGAUAGACCCAUAAUCCUUCAACUAGCUAAGCCUUGAAACAGACCAUUGUGGCUACUUCUAGGAAUCCCGGCGCAAGCCAUCAUGCACCUAGUUAUUCUAGGGCAGCCAAGCUCAUCCACGUCUGGAUAUUCGGAGUGUUGAGUUUAUCCUCCCUCAUUGGAGAGCACAGUUGGUCCCUUGGGGGGUGUAAUUUUCUUUUGAAGUGCAGAAAGAAAUAAGUUGUUGUAGACAUAUAUUAAAGCCAAAUUACAAAUUACUUUUGAAAUCUUUAUUGAAAAAUAAAAUGAGCAAAUAACUUGGUUGCAAAAACUGCAUGAUGAUUGGAUAGUCCUCGGUUUACGAGGUGGUGCCCGUUGAGAUGUUCGAGUCUUGAUAUAGUGUGAAGUCACACAUGGUAUUUCCUCAAAUUGUAGGCGUUCCAUUGCUUCUCGAUCUCUUUAUCAUUCAUGGUAGCAAGAGUAUAACUGCAUUUGCCGCCGACUCUGUUGAUCUUGUAAGGACCUUCCCAGAUGGGGUCCAUUUUUUUCGAGCCUUCUCUGCGGGCAGUGAUGAAAGCUUUUCUUAGGACUAGGUCUCCGGGUUGGAACUGCCGGAUCUUGGCCCUUUUGUUGUAGCUGGAAAUGAGCUGCUGCUGGUAGGCUGCGAUGCGGGUGAUGGUUUGUUCGCGCCUUUCUUCUGCCAGAUCUAAAUCUGUGGCCAUUUCUUUACUGUUCUGCUCAACGUUUGGCAAUAGAGUGUUGAUGCUUGGCACGAUGAUGUUAGGAGGUAUGAUUGCUUCCGAACCAAACGCCAAAGAGAAAGGGGUUUCACCGGUUGCUCGUCUUUUGGUGGUGCGAUAUGCCCAUAAACAUCCUGGAAGCUCAUCUGGCCAUUUUCCCUUUUUAUCGGUGAGGGAUUUCUUGAGACAGUCGAGGAUCGUCUUGUUGGAUGCUUCGGCCUGCCCAUUGCCUUGAGGAUAUCUUGGUGUGGACAUGUGUUGUUUGAUGCCGUAUUUUUGGAAGAACUUUGCCAAAUCUUUUCCCACAAAUUGAGGACCGUUGUCAGUGACGAUGGAUUGAGGGAUGCCAAAUCGGCAAAUGAUGUUCCUCCAUAUAAAGCGCUCUAUGUCCGUCUGAGUCGUGGUUGUCAUGGGUUCUGCUUCUACCCAUUUGGUGAAAUAGUCGGUUGCCACGAUCAUCAUGCAUCUGCCCCCCGUAGCAGGCGGCAUAGGCCCUACCAGAUCGAUUGCCCACUGCAUGAAUGGCCAAGGACUCGUUUGCGGGUGUAACUCACUAGCGGGUAGUGCUGGUACUGGUUUGUAGCGUUGGCAACGGUCGCAUUUUUGUACUAACUCCUUAGCAUCUUGGUGCAUGGUAGGCCAGUAAUAGCCUGCGUUAAGAGCCUUUUGGGCUAAGGAUCGACCUCCAGAGUGAUUCCCACAAACGCCUUCGUGGAUUGAGCUUAGAACCUUCAAGUCAUCGGGAGGUGCCAGGCAGCGGAGAUGUGGUCCGGUGUAGGAUCUUCGGACGAGAAUGCCAUUCCACAUAUAGUAGCGUGCCGACUUAAUUUGGAGCUUCCUUGACUCCAAUCUUUCUGUGGGUAAUGUGCCGUUGACCAAGUAGUCUAUAAUUGGACUUUGCCAAGUGGGAGUUACACUAACCUGUGACACUUCGGCUAUCAACUCCAUCUCUAUGCUUGGCUUGUCUAGAUAUUCCACCGGAAUGGAGCGUUUGAAUUGGUGGUCAAGGGCGGAGCCUAAACCAGCUAGUGCAUCUGCAUGUGCAUUGUCUGCCCGCGGAACUUGAGUGAGAGUGUAAGUCUGAAAUGCUUCAAGCUGCUGGCGUACUUUCUCUAGGUAUUGUGCCAUCCUUGGGUGUUUUGCCGUGUAUUCCCCAGUAGCCUGGCUGGUGAUUAGUUGGGAAUCAGAAUGAAUUGCGAGUUUCUUCACCGCUAAGUCUUUUGUCAUUCGGAGACUCGCUAAUAGAGCCUCGUACUCUGCUUCGUUAUUGGAUGCUUUGAAACCUAGGGUGAUCGCCUGCUCGAGCAUUGAGCCAUCUGGAGUAACAAGAACUACACCUGCUCCCGAGCCUUUAUAGUUGGAUGCACCGUCGACAUGCAAGUUCCAGAAAUCUUUGUUGGAUGGAGUAAGUGUGGCUAAGGUACUCUCUGCUGCUUCUGGGGCGUCGUUGGGCCGCACUGUUGCGUUGCCUAGGCUAGGUGUGAAUUCUGCCACGAAAUCUGCCAAGGCUUGGGCCUUUAUCGCUGUGCGAGGUUGGAAAACUAAACCAUAUUGGCCAAGUUCCAAUGCCCAUUUCAUCACUCGUUGAGAAGCGUCCGGACCAUGUAAUAUUGAUCGUAAGGGAUAUUGAGUCAUAACAAUGACUGUAUGAGCUUGAAAGUAGGGUCUGAGCUUCCGAGCCGCAACAACUAACGCCAAAAUUAAUUUUUCAAUCUUCGGAUAUCUUGUUUCCGCAUCGAGAAGAGCUUUAGAAGUGUAGAAUACCGGCAGUUGGGCCCCCAGCUCUUCUCGUAUGAGAGCAGAGCUCACUGCUACCUCGGAAACUGCCAAAUAAAUAUAUAAAUCCUCCGCUGCUUCCGGCUUGGAUAGUAAGGGAGGUGAUGUGAGAUAACUCUUCAAGUCUUGGAAAGCUUUUUCGCAUUCUUCAUCCCAUUUGUUUCUUUGUGCCCUCCUGAUAGCUUUGAAAAAGGGUUUGCAUCGAUCGGUGGAUCGUGAGAGGAAACGAUUGAGGGCGGCUGCUCGUCCGGUCAAGCUUUGGAUCUCCUUCAAGGUAGUUGAAGAUUUCAUCUCUAUGAUUGCUUGGAUUUGCUUGGGAUGUGCUUCAAUUCCUCGUUGGGUUACUAAGUACCCUAGGAAUCGACCUGAAGAUACUCCAAACGUGCACUUGGUGGGGUUGAGCUUCAUCUUGUACCUUCUAAGGAUAUUGAAAGCUUCUGCUAAAUUGCGAAUGUGAUCUGAUCGCUGCUUGCCCUUUACCAUGAUAUCGUCGACAUAGACCUCCAUGGUUACCCCAAUUUGCUUUUUGAACAUCAUAUUUACUAGCCUUUGGUAAGUGGCUCCCGCGUUCUUGAGGCCAAAAGGCAUGACCUUGUAGCAGUAAGUGCCUCGCUCUAUCACAAACGCAGUUUUCUCCUUGUCGGGCUCAUGCAUGGCUAUUUGGUUGUAGCCGGAGUAUGCGUCUAAGAAACUAAGUAACUGGUUUCCAGAGGUUGAAUCUACUAAUAGAUCAAUCCGGGGGACAGGAUAAUGGUCUUUUGGGCAUGCCUUGUUGAGGUCAGUGUAGUCUACGCAAACCCUCCAUUUGCCUUUCUCCUUCUUCAUGACUAGUACGACAUUAGCAAGCCAUGCCGAGUGCUACCUCUUCUAUGAAACCGGCUUCCAAUAGUUUGUCGAUUUCUGCCUCGAUGAUCGCUACUCGUUCGGGAGCGAAAUGUCUUCUUUUUUGAAUUACCGGUUUGGCAGUUGGAUCGACGUGCAGCUUGUGGCAGGCUACUUUGGGAUCAAUACCAGGCAUGUCGGAUGGUGACCAUGCGAAGAUAUCUCGGUUUUUCCUAAGGAAAAUUUUGAGUUCUUCCUUCUCGUCUGGGCUUAAUCGUGAGCCAAUUUUAGCCGUCUUUUCUGGCUGCUGGGGAUCAAGAAUGAUGUCCUCGGCGUCCUCCUCGGGUUUCCAUCCUAUCUUGUCUGCUUAGGCGCCAUCUUCUCGAUCCACCUGCUGUAAUUGCUAUUUGGCAAUUUCUUUACCCUUUUGGACUUCGGUAACCUUUACAGGGGUAAAGGUCUUCUUCUUUGUUUCUUUUAACAUUUGCACAGUGCAUCGUCGGGAUGAAGCCUGGUCAGACUUGAUCUCUCCGACUCCUCCUCCCGGGAUGCGGAAUCGGAUUUUUUGAUACUUGACGGAAGUGACAGCAUCCAGCUUGAUCAACCAAGGUCUCCCAAGAAUCCCAUUGUAGGGAGAUGGGUCGCUUACAAUCGUGAAUGUUUGCUUUGAGACGACUGGCGGUGUUUUUACGUCAAGUAUGAUAUGACCGAUGGCAGUUGAGGUGUGUCCGUUGAAUCCAGUAAGUACCUCUGCCCGGCGUAUGAUUGUACUUUCCAGGCCCAUCUUCUGAAUGACUGAAAGUUGAAGUAGGUUGACCGCACUUCCAUUGUCAACCAUCAUCCUAUCGACUAUAGCAUGGGCUAGUUGGACAGAUACUACUAAUGCAUCGUCGUGUGGGAAGUCGACUCCUUCCGCAUCCUGCUCUGUGAAGCCAAUGAUAGGUCCAGGUUGGGUAUCGACUGCAUGAACUUGUGAGAUUAGUAAAGCUUGCUGGAUCUUCCUCUUUUUGGAGUUAUUAGUAGCCCCUAAGUGCUCGGACUCAGCGAAAAUGCCAUUGAUUCGAAUCGUCUUAGUUGGUGGCUCCUCAUCUCCGUCUGCAUUCCUUUUUGGCUGCUCAGCUGGCUUGUCCAAAUAUCUAUCGACUUUGCCUUCUUUCACGAGUUUCUCUAGGUAGUUUUUCCAAGUGUAACAAUCGUUGGUUGUGUGACCGGGACCUCGGUGGAAUACGCAGUACUUAGUAUGGUCCAACUUGGAAGUAUCUCCUUUUGACUGCCUCGGUAACUUGAACCAUGGUUCAUUCUUGACGUCUCGAAGGAUUUGAUGAAUCGGAAUUGAGAACUUAGAAUAGUUGUUGGUCAUCGGGCCUUCUUUGGUCGUGGGUCGGUCCCUGCGCUUGAACUCCUGCCUGCCCUUGUUGGGUUGUUUUUCAUCCUUCUUUUGAGCAGUUGCCAACUCUUUUCGAGGUUGUUCGGGAGCCUUUUCUGUUUGUCGAGCCUCGUCCCAAAGCGCAUGCUUUUCUGCCAGAGCAAAGGAAUCUGCUAGAGUUAGGUCUUCUUUCAUGAUCAUUUCUCCAAACAGUGGGUGGUCUGCUGGUAGUCCUUUUUGGAAGGCUGCACUUGCUAUCGAGUUGUCGCAUCCGACGAUCUUCGCGCUUCUCUGCUUUGAAUCUCUUCACGUAAUCGCGAAGCGACUCUUUUGGGUUUUUCUUUACGUUGAACAGGUGAUCGGACUUCUUCUUGAUCGAUCGAUAAGAUGAGUAUUCUUUGGUGAAGACCAAGGAAAGAUCAUCAAAAUUCUGGAUGGAUCGUGCCGGCAAGGUAUGAAACCAAUCUUGUGCCUCGCCUUGUAAAGUAGUGGCGAAUAUUUUGCACAUAAGGGCGUCAUUAUUCCGAUAAAGGACCAUCGCAUUUCGGUAAUGCUUCAAGUGUCUUUCGGGAUCCCCAUCUCCUUUGAAAGAUGUGAAGUGUGGCAUGCUAAACUUGCGCGGAGGCUCUGCCUGCUCGAUCUCAUCCGCGAAAGGUGACCUGCUCAUGUUGGUCAUAUCUCGCCUUAGUGCCUCAUCAACCAUUUCGUUGCGCCGAAAAUCACGCAUCCGUUCAUUGAAAAGUCUUUCUACCUCUUCUUGGAUUUGCUUUUGUUGGGGUAGCGGAGCUUUUGGCUGCCCUUGGUCUUUUUCUACCGGUCUAGGCUGCUCUUCUUCUCGCUCGGCUCGUCUACGCUGUGGUUGCAAUGGAUGAGAUAGAUUCCUAGCAGGCGAGGGAUUUUUUUGCAGGCUACCGGUUGAACUAGAGCCAGAUUGAACGAUCGUUUCCUUCCGUUUGUCAGGCUGCCUGCUCCGAUGUGAUGUGGAGGAUACUCCUUGUGAGCCUAAUCGCGAAUGAAUGCUUUGCCUGGAAGGUUGCCCAUGUUGAUUAUCAAAGCGUGGCCCCAACCGUGAAUGUAUACUUGCUCGUGGGCCUAACCGAGAGUGCACGCUCCUCCGCGCGCUAAGACGGGAGUAUACGCUAUUUCGGGGGCCCAAUCGAGAGUGUGCACUGUCUGAAUGCUCCACUUGUGAUGGGUUGAAUGGCUGCUUUCCAGGACGCUGUUUAAAAGGCUCCUUGUCUACCCUUGUUCUACUCCGGGAAACUUCAUCGUGAGCGCGAUGCAUCUCAGUGCGUUGUAAAAGUUGAUUCACCAAGGUGGUUUGUUGUGCAAGGGCGCUCGUCAAUUCUAUGACUUGUCGGGACAAGUUUUGCUCGCCAUUCGGAUUGGAAGAACUUGGAUGGAAUGCACCUCCUUGAACAAUGAAAGGGUGGUUGACUCCAAGUGCGAGAUUUGAGUUGGGGAAUGUCAAAUCUGCAGAGAAAUGUGGUGAAAACGCCUCAGCCUCGAUGAUUGGUCCGGAUGGUUGAGAUUGUCUCGGGCGGACUUGGGCAGCUUGGGAAACCAUGAAAACAGGCUGGGCUGCGGGGGCAGGCUGGAUCACUGGGGCAGGCUGGAUCGUUAGAGUAGGCUGGGCUACAAGAGCAGGCUGGAUCACGGGAGCAGGCUGCUCAAUGCGCGGUGCAUGUGAAUGCGAGGCUUGGGCUUUGGUCCACGUAAACUUGGAUGGCACGACUCGGGCCGUGGUGAAGGCUCCAUGGACCUCGCCACGAGUGGCUACCGAAGUAGCCACCGUGGUGGUUCCCAUGGCGGCCGUGGUGAAGGCUCCAUGGACCUCGCCACGAGCGGCUACCGAAGUAGCCACCGUGGUGGUUCCCAUGGCGGCCGUGGUGAAGGCAUCAUGGACCUCGCCGCGGGUGGCUACCGAGGUAGCCAUCACGGUGGUUCCCAUGGUGGAAGCUCGUGGUGAUGAUGCCGCUCCCCUUCUUGUCGCAUUUUGCCUCAUGGAUCUCCGUAGUCCCAUUUCUUGAAUACUAGAAUUUUUACUUGCGGAAUUUUCUAAAUUUCUAGUCAUUAUAUUUUUCUUAUACGUUUUAUCAAAGAACCUUUGCAAGUAGAAAAUUCUAAUAAUAAGAACGUAUAUGAAAAAUAUUCAAAUAGACUAGAAAAUAAAGAAAAAAACCUUUUUGUACGAGAGUCUUCUACGAGUAUGGAUUACAACUCUCAAUGAAAGCACCAAUUUGUGGAUGCAAAUUUUCACCUCUUCGAUCUUGGACGAUUUUGCACCUACAAAACAACUAGCACCUUAGGUUAAGGCCAAAAGCCUCACGCGCCCACGAUGAAUGGGGGGGGCUUUGGCCGAAGAACCUCCGAUGCCAAAGUUAGAAAUUUAGAGAGAAAUAGUGUUUAGAGUGUUUUGGAAUUUUUGCAAGAGGUUUGGAAUGAAUUUUUGGUGAGAAUAGGAGCCUAUUUAUAGGAUUAGGCUUCCCCAUUUUUCACCAAGGAAGGGCCGGCCACACCCUUCCCUUUUCUUAGUCAAUUUGUGGUUUUUUAUUAGCCCCUUUAUUGGCUAAUAAAAUAGAAAUGAAUGGGGUCUUAAAUGAUUAGCUUUAUUUGAGUAAUAAAGUGGAGGAAAAUAAAAAAAAUGUAGGGAAAAGAUGGGAGGGAAUAUGGCCGGUUACUAUGGGAUUUUUAGGUUUUAUUUUAGGUUUAAUUAGCCAAUUAAUUGGCUAAUUAAAUAUGAAAGGAGAUAUUUUAUUAUUUAUGGUAUUGAUUGGCUAAUUUAAAAGGGAAGGAAAGGUGGAAAAGGUAGAAAAAAAGGUGAUGGAAUAGACUUUGAAUGGGGUAGCCGGCCCUAUCCCAUUUUUUAGGUUUGAGUGGAUGUUUCAAAUUGGUAAUUAAGGGAUGAUUUUAGGAGAUAUGGGAAGAAUAUAUUAUUUAGAUAAUUAAUUAACUAAAUAAUAUAUUAGGGAAAUUAAGUUUUGGAAAUAAUUACCUAAAAUAAGAUAAUUUGGAAUUAGUUACCUCUUCUGGAGCAUUUUUGAAUUGGUUGAGGAUGAUUACCCACUACUUGCGCGUAGGAAUCCCGAUAUACCUCAAGGGUAUUUUUGUCCUCUUUCGUUCACAAAUCCACGUGUCGCCUAGUGAAUAUUUUUGGCUCCACAACGUCCUCCAAAAGCUUCGCGUAUGAUCAUAGCAUAUCACCAUCUCUCAUAAUUUGACUCGAAAAAAGAAACAUUCAUUUAAUUAUGUUUCAUCUUGACGCGUUUUCGUGAUAUGUAAUUGCAGGAACAGAAUAUGGCUAUACACAAGAACAAUGUGGAGCCAAAAAUAAUCACAAGGCGACAUGUAGAUUUUUUUAUGAAGAUGACAAAUUUACCCUCGAGGCAUACCGGGUCUCCUACACGCGAGCAGUGGAGAAUCAUCCAUCAACCAAAUCAGGAGUACCCAAAAUAGGUAAUAAGUUCAAAUUUGUCUCAUCCAUCCUCAUUCCAUAACCUCCAAAAACCUCCCAAAAUGUUUCUUUUAUUAUGAUAAUUAGCCAAUUAAUAUAUUUAUACCUAAUUAAUAUAUGAAUUGCUAAUUAAAUCCUCCAAUUAACCAUAAAAUACAUCCCAUUCAAUCCCAAAGCUAGGCAAUGGCCGGCCAUCUCCCAUGCUCCUUACCUUUCUUAUUUUCCACACUUUAUUGCCCAAAUUAAAUUAGAUAAUUAACUCUAUAACCCCCCAUUUAUUUCCUUCAUAUUUAAUUAGCCAAUAAAUUGGCUAAUUAAACCAAAAAUUUAACCCAAAAAACCUAGUGUUGGCCGGCCACUUCCUCUCUAAAGUGGACCAACCUAGCCCUAUAAAUAGGCUCCUAUUUUCACCAAAUACUCAUUCCAAUCCUCUUGCAAAAAAUCCUAAAUACUCUAACAUUCUUUCUCUCUAAAAUUCUAACAUUGGCAUCGGAGGUUCUUCGGCCAAAGUCCCCCCAUUCAUCGUAGGCGCGUGAAGCUUUUGGCCUUAACCUAAGGUGCUAGUUGUUUUGUAGGUGCAAAAUUGUCCAAGAUCAAGGAGGAAAAAAUUUGCAUCCACAAACAAGACUGGGGAGUUUUAUCACAUAUGAAGAUGUUUCAAAAAUGAAAUACACAAACAAGGUACUUUAUCUGUAUGCAUUGAGGGAUUUACUGAAGUGCUGCAUUUGAUGUUCUGAUUCCCCCUUCUAAUAACGUUUGUAUAAAAGAGAAAAGUCAUUCAUUAUUAGUAUCGUUAUGCAUCUCCCGCGAUACUCCUUGUAACAAAGAAUUAAUCUCAAGCCAAAGCUAUUGCACUUCAUAUAAUGAUAUACAGGUGGUGGAAGAAACAAUAAGAUUGGCCAACGUUGCAGCAUUUGUUUUCCGAUUGGCUACUAAGGAAGUUGAGUAUAAAGGUAACAAAAUGUAAACUAUGUUUUUAAUUACCAUCGGCACACAUAAUUUUUUGUGUGUUUCUAACCAAAUUGAUUGGUGUAGGUUAUAAAAUACCCAAGGAUUGGAGAGUGAUUGUUUGGGUUCGAUAUAUCCACACAAAUUCAGAGAAUUUUGAUGAUCCCAUGUGCUUCAACCCAGAUAGAUGGAAUGUAAGUCAAUAUUCUAACACGAUGAAUUAAUUGAAGAUAAAUUACUAAGUAAUUAAUGGGUGUAGUUUCACUCCUUCAGGAAUCAGCUAAGCUCUGAACAUACCAAGUUUUUGGUGGUGGAUCGAGAAUAUGUGUAGGAAACUUGCUUGUCAAGAUACAACUUGCAGUAUUUUUACAUCAUUUGUCUAUAGGAUACAAGUAAGGAAACUCAAUUUGAAGCGUUACUAUAUAUUUUUUAUGCUAUUAAAUGUCAACACACUAUAGACAUAAUUCUUGAAUUUUAUUGUGAUUGAAAUUUUUUAGAUGGAAAUUGGUCAAUCCAAAUGCUGAGAUGAUUUAUCUUUCACAUCCAUCAUCAGUCGAUAAGAUUGACGUCACGUUCAACAAAAUUUAGAAAUCCAUUUUCUCAUAACCUCAUCCAUAUAUAUUGUUUGACAUCUCACCGUUCUAUUUUCCCCAGUCGUAGGCCUGCUUUUAAUUUCAAAAAUGGAAAAUAAAAAAAAACCAAAGAAAAGGAACUAGAAUUAUUUCUAGUGUCUUGUUGGUUGUGAAUCAUGUAUUAAUGUAUGUCUUUUCUCGUUCAUACGCUCCAACGUUUAUUUCCACUAUAAUGAUUUGGUACUCUUUUUUUCCUGUCUCUAUCAAUAUAAUUGGGUAGAUACAGCCAUCUGGUGAUAUUCAUUAAUAUAUGCCUGGGUGGUUCAUAGGAUGCAAGUAAUAUUAUAAACCACUCUUUAAAGAUUAUUUCUACAAAAAAAUCAUUCAAAUAUGAGAUCAUUUUGUCUUCAACCGUAUAAAAACAGAUGGACAGAUUCAAUAAUAACAUUAUGAACCAUUAUCUAUUGCAACAAUUGAUUGACUAAAUUACCUUAUUAAUUGAAUCUUUGUAGAAAUGAUUUUUACAUACAUAUUGAUUUACAGUAUAAACGGUUAUGAUCAUAAACAUGAGAUUCUGUGAAUCGGCCUCGAAGUAAAUUGAGAAGGAAUUCCACUUCAAUCUUAAGAGUCAAUAUCCAAUCUUUUGAAAAAGAACAUUAAACAGAAUAGAUUGUCAUGUAUUUUGUUUUAACGUUGCAAUCCAUCACAUCCUAUAGGGACAAAAGUGGAAAGGGAUCCUCUCCGGAUCUCUUCCUCCUAAUCCACUAUGUUCGGGGAUCCAGACUAUUGAAAUUUGAUCUAACGGUUAAAGUUAUUAUAACUUUUAAAGUGAGCCCCCGUUUGUAGCCGUUUGAUCAAAUUUCAAUAACUCGAAUCCCCGAAUUUGAUGGAUUAGAUGAAAGGGAUAUAGAGAGGAUCCUUUUCCGACGAAAGCAAUAAUAAGGACAAUACCUGCAGGUUAGUGCUCAUUAUCUCAUUAGGGAAUCAAAUCAUAAAAUAGGACGCGACAUGAAAGCAUUUUCGGUGGGUUUGGUAUUCCUUUGUCUAUUUGCUCAGCCUGGUCAGACGAAAAAUCAACUCGGAAUCAACCACAACUAUAUAGUCGAGUAUGGCACUGGCCUUAAGCGAGGAUAAGAGCCGGGGGGAUUGAUUUACAUAUUCUGUAGCUAGACAGGGUCAAGGGACAUACGUGGAUAUCUCUAUGGGAGUGGGGGUGGCCUUGGUUUUGGGAGGCUUGCCGCUAUUGGGGUUGCUCUUGUGGUGGUGGAAUGAGCUUUGGAUAUUGCUUCCUCUCAAACCGAGUUCGAAGCACUAUUAACUAGUGGUAAUUUAGGAUAGAGUGAUCUAAAUUUGGUCCCCAUAAACCAAAAAAGAUCAUAAAUAAUCUGUAUAUUAAGAAACUAUAUGUAAGUUUGGAACUGGACCUCUCCUAGAUGCCAUUCAACAUUCUUGGAAUUGCCUUUCACCAUGUUGGUCAGGUCCUUAAUUAUUAUCUUAACUAAUUUCACCACAAAAAUCAAUUGAGAGCUUUUAAAAGGACUAUGUCCGUUGAGUUAUUAGGCAUAAAUAGUUUCUUACAGACACUUCAUCUUGUUUCUUGGACUAUAUGUAUCCGUUGAGUUAUUAGGCACGGACAGUUUCUUAUAGGCACACCAUCAUAUUCCAUGGAUAUAUAUAUAUAUAUAUAUAUAUAUAUAUAUAUAUAUAUAUAUAUGGUCAUUAAUAUUUUUUAUUGUACAUGCAUGCAUGUGGUGUAAUUGUCAAUAGGAUACAAUAAGGAGCAAUCUUGUUACAUCUUUAUUAAAUAUAUCGAUAUGUAUUUUCGAAUGAGCUGAACUUUAUGUACUUUUCAGAUGGAAAUUGAUCAAUCCAGAUGCAACAUCAGUUGAUGGAGUUGAUAUCACCGUUAACAAAAUUUAGCAAUCCAUUUUCUCAACAAAUUCCAUUGAUAAGGCUUCAUAGUUUGUUGUCCUCCCUUAUUUCCCACGACCAUGCCUAACUAGGUGGCCUCCUUUGAACGCAAAAAAACAAAAAAAGUUAAACAAAAGAAAAUCGAACUCUCUAUUAGUUAUUGUAAUCAAUUAGUUUAGGAACUGUCUCAGCCCAGUUUCGUGAUUUUUUUUCUUCUAGAAUCUGAUAAGAUGGUUGGAACUUUUGGUUUGUUCUUUUCAACUUCAUGGUAUCCCAUUUAUGAUAAAUGGGGUUAAUGCUAUGAACUCAUAAAAAAAGAUUGAUUAUAAUUUGGAGUUGUUUUUAUUCUAACCAUGAAUGGUAAUUGUUGAUUAAGGACAAUAUUGGCUUCGUUCUUAUAUAUAAGGAUUAAGUAUUGAAAACUCUUCAAUCUUUUGAUGUCAUUUUAAAUUGGUCUCAACAUUUUUAAACAUUCUAAAUAAGUACUCAACCUAUUAAAAAUGUCACAUCCAUUAAGUCCCAAUUAAUUUAUAUUAAAUUAACUAGGGUUUACUUUGUCUCCAAAUCAAUAGAAGGUCAUGAAGGUUGCUAAAAUGGUACUGACUAUCAUGAUACGACUGAUACCAUCUUCACCGGCUACAAAGAAGAAUUGGAAGUUGAAUCAAUUAGUGAGUUUGGAGUAGGACUCAUUAUUGCCAAUUGUACAUUUAACGAAAAAUUAAUUGGGGCUUAACGGAUGUGACAUUUUCAAUAGAUUUGAUAUUUGUUAAAAUGUUUAUAAAUGUUGAGACCAAUUUGAAAUGAUACUAAAAAAUUAAGAGUAUUAGGUACUUAAUCCUAUAUACAAUGAAGUUGGAUUGUCAAAGCCUUCCUUAUUUAUCUUUUGAGUUAGUUAUAAAUGUGUCCCAAAAAUGUUUCACGGUUCUCACUUUGAUCCUCAAUUAUUAUUUUCUGUUUCAUCUUAAAAUUGUCUUAAACAUUUCAAGUAUGUCUAAUGAUGACUAUCAAUAACGUCUAUUACAAAAUUAGCAUAAGUAGGUCACUUGUGGGGUUGGCACUCAUUGGCAAAACAAAUUAAUAAACCGCCAAAUCCAAUUCGACUAUUUAGGUAUAAUUUUCACUUUAGUUGUCGGUCCCCAUUUUAAAGAAUGCUCAAACAAAAAUGUCUAAAAGUUGUGCAAUUUCACCCAAAAUCCGAGGCAUCCAUCACUGCACUUGCCUAGUCGUGUGCACAACAAAUGAACAAUUCUAUCAAUUUAAAAAGUUUUAGUAGUGUGCACAACUAAUUAUAUCGAUUUAAAAAGUCUAGAAAUGAGACAAGAAAAUAAUUCAAUGACCGAAGUAAAAGAACAUCAAAAUUUUAGUGACAAAUAUACAAGUAACCUACUUUGACAUUAUGAUGAAAAUAAAGUUCUAUCAUAAAAUUAAUUAAUAGUCUAUAAAAAAAAUUAAUUAACAAUAUAAAAAAAUCUAAUUUAUUAUAAACAUAUGCAAUAUCUUUUUUUUUUCGACGGGAAAUUCACUCUGAACUAGGGUUGUGAACUCUUAUGAUCAAUUUUUUGAAUUCGUGGACAACGGCCUCUUUCUGCACAACUUUCAUUACUCAUUUUCGAAAGUCUGCCCUUCACUCUGCUCUAAUAGGAAAAAGCAAUCUCUCUCUCUCCCUCUCUCUCGCUCUCCGUGCUUCAAAAUUAUUAUUAGUGUAUUGGUAAUGGUAGUACCCCACCAAGCACCACAGCUUGCUUCAUCAUAGUUUAUCUCCCCUUACUCUCUCUCUGUCUCUCUCUACUUCCCAAAGCUUGAAACUUUGAGCAUAGUGAGUGAAGUGGCUGAGCUCAGAAACAAGAAGAUGCAGAAGAAGGGUUUGGUUUGGAUUUUCUCGAUGAUUUCAGUUGCAAUCUUCUCCUCCCAUUGCUCUCUUGCUCUCAUCAGCCAAGAUGGUAAGCAAAACCCUCCACUUCUCUGUUUUAUUGGUUUUUUUUUAAUUUUUUUUUUUCUGUUCUAAUGUCUCUAGUUUUUGGACAUUUCGUCGAUGAAAAAUGGAGGCAUUGUGUUAAAAUUUUCAUCUUUUCUUUAUUUAUGAUGGACAUUUACUUUACUAGUCAAUUAGUUGCAUUUUGUUGAGCCGGAAGUUCUGAUUUUCUUUGGUCAUUAAUGGCAAACAUAUAAAAAUCAAAUCUUUACUGAUAAUUUGCAUUCUUUCUGCAUUUCCUCAAGUAUUAUAUUUGGGGUUUAUAUAUGAAAUUAUUAAUCUUGUUUCUUGUGUUUUUUGGUAAUUAUUUUGCUUCAGGUUUGGCAUUGUUGGAAAUCAAAAGCACUUUGAAUGACAGCAGAAACAUUCUCAGUGACUGGCAGGAUUCUGAUGAAUCACCCUGUAAUUGGACUGGCAUUACUUGCCAUCCUCAGGACCUUAGAGUCAGCUCUAUGUAAGUCUUCAAGCCUUACUUUUCAAUUUACUAAAACUGCUUAUGAUUUAAUCUGCUUGUUUUCAAAGUGCUUUUCAUAUAUUUUGAAUUGGGUUUUUGCAGUAACUUGCCUUACAUGCAACUGGGAGGGACUAUAUCUCCCAGCAUUGGUAAACUCAGUAGAUUACAGAGACUGUGAGUCCAAUACUGAAUUAGUAAAAAGUCAGCUGAGAAGUCCUCCAAUUUUGAUUUUCUUCUGAUUGUGCUUUUUCAAUGUAAACCAGGGCACUUCACCAAAACAGCUUACAUGGAAACAUUCCUAAUGAAAUUACCAAUUGUGCUGAGCUUAGGGCUCUGUAAGUGGAAAACCGAAACGGCUUUGCUCUCUUUUCUGUUUCUUCUUUGAGUUGUGAAAUAUAUUUCAGGUGUCACUUUGCUUUCUAUUUAUAUUGACUCUAACAUUAAGCAUUGCAUACUUUAUCUCCAAUCUGUUAGGUACUUGAGGGCUAACUACCUUGAAGGAGGUAUUCCAUCAGAUAUCGGAAACCUUUCUUCUCUCACCAUACUGUAAGAAUUUCUUUGUUCUUAUCUUUUCUGUUUACGGAGUCUUGUGUGCUUAAUUAUCAAUAGCUUGUAUUGGGAAAUUGGAAUUUGAAUUAUCACCAUAGUAUUGCAACUGACUGAUUUAAAUACUUUACACUCCUGUGUUGAUGAACUUUACAAUGAAAUUGUAGGGAUUUAUCAAGCAAUUUAUUAAGAGGUGCUAUACCUUCAUCUAUCGGCCGCCUCUCAAAAUUACACUUUUUGUAAGCUAUAUCAAAGUACCAAAUGGUAUUCUAUGUAGUUUUUUAAUUGGAUUGGUGUCUGAAUAGCAUUAUUGCCUAUGUAUGUCAUAGGAACUUGUCCACCAACUUCUUAAGCGGUGAAAUCCCAGACAUUGGAAUUCUAAGCACUUUUGGGAACGAUUCGUAAGUACUCACUGUCUCUCUCGACACUUUCAUGUUGAGUGAAAAUGGCCUAAUCAAAUCAAACACACACACACACACACACACAUUGUUAAAUCCCUAGAGACUGUCAUUAAUUAUACGUGUAUGUAUGCAUGUUUGUGCGGCUUAAGCUAAACAAACACUCAUAGCCUAGUGUAAUUGUGCUUUUUGAACUAAGAUUUAGGCAUGCAUUAUACUUAUGUGAGUCAAUUGCCCAUUUUUACUGAUUUGUCUGUAAAGUUUUUGAACUGGUUGAUAAAUUAAUUCACGAAUAAAGAUGUUUCCACUAACUUUUCAGUAAUUAUAUAGCACCAAUUGUGCACUAUAUGCAGUACAGAUAGGACCUUCAAUACCUUCUCUCUUCUUCCUGUCUGAAGCAUUUGUCAUCUUGUUCUGAAAUUUCCUUGAACAUUCAUAUAGGUUUGUUGGCAAUCUAGAUCUUUGUGGCCAACAAGUGCACAAGCCCUGUCGGACCUCAUUGGGAUUUCCUGCAGUGCUACCAAAGAAUGCUGUAAGUGAUGAAGCAGCAGGCAAGUUCUCGAUCCCUUUUCAUCAGCUUUCUAGUCGAACGACAAGUUUUCUAAAAUGCAGUUCUGGAAUUUUGUAAAUCACAUCUAACCAAAUUCUUAUGUAAAAAGUAGCAAUGUACUUAUGCUAAUUUAUUGAAUUCACUGUGGAUAUUCCAGUGCCCUCUAAACGAUCUUCUCAUUACAUCAAAGGAGUGCUUAUUGGUGCAAUGUCUGCCUUGGGCUUUGCGUUUUUCACUCUCCUUACCUUCCUUUGGGUUCGGUUUCUUUCGAAAAAGGAAAGAGUGGCUAAAAAAUACACUGAAGUUAAAAAGCAAGUAAAUCAAGAAUCAAGUAAGCUCGAUGUUUUCUGGACUUCAUACAGUUAUAAACUCAAACUUUAUUAUGGUUGCUGACAAAAAUUUGAACAUUUGACAGGUACAAAACUCAUUACUUUCCAUGGUGAUAUGCCCUACCCUUCAAGUGAAAUCAUUGAAAAGCUAGAGUCGCUCGAUGAAGAGGAUGUUGUAGGAUCAGGAGGAUUUGGCACUGUAUACAGAAUGGUUAUGAAUGAUUGUGGUACUUUUGCUGUUAAAAGAAUUGAUAGAAGUCGGGAAGGAUGUGAUCAAGUUUUUGAGAGGGAGUUAGAGAUCUUGGGUAGCAUUAAGCACAUAAACCUAGUUAACCUGCGAGGCUACUGCAGGCUCCCUGUUUCAAAGCUUCUCAUAUAUGAUUAUCUAGCUAUGGGCAGUUUAGAUGAUUUCUUGCAUGGUAAGUGUCACCUCUCAGAAUGUGCUAGAAAUGAAUGCUUUUUUGGGGAUAGACUAGCUAGAAUCGAAUGAUUUUGAUUUGCUUUUUUUUUUUCCGUAAUGUCUUUAUCUCCUUUAGAGCAUUGGGUGGAAGAGCGGCCUUUGAACUGGAAUGCUCGUUUGAAAAUUGCCCUGGGUUCUGCUCGAGGCAUAGCAUACCUGCACCAUGACUGCUCUCCGAAGAUAGUACACCGUGACAUAAAAUCGAGCAACAUUCUUCUAAAUGAAAACUUGGAUCCCCAUGUCUCUGACUUUGGCCUUGCAAAGCUUUUGGUGGAUGAGGAUGCCCAUAUUACGACAGUGGUGGCUGGCACCUUUGGCUAUCUGGCUCCAGGUUUGUCCCAUAUUAUGGUCUUGUAUGCAUUUCGUAACCCUGUUUCCGCUGUAAGUAAAUAUAGUAGAGCUAGAUUAUGGUGAUCACACGGUUCAAUCGUUAUAGAUUUUGAUAUACAGUCACCUAUGUCGGACAUCCUUACCAUGAUUUACCAUUUAGUGAAUGUUUAUCACACAACUAAAUGAAUGCUGAAUGAAUUAUCUCUGCCCUAAAAGUUAAAACCUGCUUGAUCAAAAUAUGAGACGACUGACUAAUCGCUCGCUGUAAUAUGGAAAUAUGAAAUUUAUAGAGAUGUUAAUCAAUUGGUUUUUGGUUAUUGCAGAGUAUCUGCAAAGUGGGAGAGCCACUCAGAAGACAGAUGUGUAUAGCUUUGGAGUUCUAUUGCUAGAGCUUGUGACCGGAAAAAGACCUACUGAUCCUACGUUUGUAAAACGAGGCUUAAAUGUUGUUGGUUGGGUAAGCUCCUUUCCUUCCUAAAAUUACUAUGACAGAUGCAUUCAUAUUUUUCAUGUAAGACAAUGUUGUCAGACCACAGUAUCGAUCUGAAUAACUCUUUCAUUAAUAUGCAGAUGAACACCCAAUUGAGAGAAAACAGGCUGCAUGAAGUAGUAGACAAAAGGUGCAAAGAUGCAGAUGCUGAAACUGUGGAAGCAAUUCUUGAAAUCGCGGCAAGGUGCACCGAUGCAAACCCUGAUGACCGGCCAUCAAUGAACCAGGUAUUGCAGUUGCUAGAGCCAGAGGUCAUGUCACCGUGCCCGAGCGAUUUCUACGAGUCUCAUUCAGAUCAUUACUGAUCAUUAGGCUAAAAUGCCUAAUGACUGCAGGAUUACAGAAUGUUCAUUCAUGUUCUAUUGAGUUUGUGCUGUUGUCCCUGCCCCUCCCUGGGGUAAAGAAUGUAAAUUAAAUUAUAUGUAUCAGACGAACCAUGGUAUCCAAUUUCUGCUUGGAUGGCACAAACCCAAAAGAAGAAAAAAUAUUCCCAUGCAAACAUUUGCAAAGAGCUGCAAGCUUUCCUUUCUUUAUUCUACAUGUCAUGGUUUUCUUUUAUUUUCUAUUUUAUUUCCAAUGUUAGGCAAACGACCACACAUGGGAAAACACAACCGUUCAUUUGUGUUUUCUUUUAUAUAAUUGGAAUGGAAGACUCGAAUACGUAACUUCGCAUGCAAGGUUAGAUUCUUAAUUAUUUAAGGUACACGUCUCUUGCAGAGCCAAUCGUUUUUAAAUCACAAAUUAAGUCGUCUUCAUAAAAGUCAACUAAAUUGAAGAUAUCUCCAAAGGUGAUGCAAAUACGUCAAUUAGGAUCAAAAGACAUUAAAUAUUUUUCAAAGGGCGAUGUUACUUUUGAUGCGACAACUGAGUCAUUUGACUCUUUACUUUCUAACUGUGUUUUUUUUUUUUUCACAGCAAACAAAGAUAGAGCCAAAUGUCUUCAAUUUAACUUUUUAAAUGCAUGAGGGCCAUUGACAACUUAUAGGAUGAAAACUAAAUUCAAUUUUUAAUUAUUUUUUAAUAAUUAAUAUAACUAUGGGGUCCAAUAUAUUAAUAAAAUAAGGAAGCAUUUUUGCUUAUCAUCAUAAACUAUAGUGUAUGUACUUACAAAAUAAACAUUUGACACAUCAACUAGAAACGAAGAGGAUCUAACAUCUAUAUCAAUUGGCCAUAUCAAACAUCGUAUAAAAUUUUAACAUAAAUAUGACAUCUCUUUUAAAAAUUCUAAACUAUGCUUAUACAACAAAUUGACGAUUUUAAAAUAGUCACUGAGUACUACGGUCUAGUGGUAUUCCUCUUCACUUGUAAGUGAGAGGUAUUAGGUUCGAUUCUCGCCAAAGACAAAUUUUAACCACAUUAUUGCUAGCCCAUUGUGAGGCUAAACCCACCUCAUCCCCCUUAGUGUAGAUAAUAUCAUUUGUUCAAAAAAAAAAAAGGGCUUUCUAGCCAAAAUGGUCCCUAAGAUUUGCAUAACACAUCAUUUUGUUCUCUGAGAUUGAAAGGUGACUGGUCCGCGGGAAAACUAGAAAACUCGCCAAAAAUUGGGUAAACUUUAAACAUUCAUAACGUCUUUAAUACUCAACGAAAUCGAGUGAUUCAAAAACAAAAAUCAUACUUCUUAACAAAAUGAAGAGAAUAGUAGCUUUUUCAGUGGCUAAAUAGUCAUGAAGAGAAUAGUAGCUUUUUCAGUGGCUAAAUAGUCAUGGUUUGGCUGGAAAAUAGCUCGAAAUGGCUGUCUUGGUUGAAAGUCGCCUUGUUUGGACAUUCCUGCAGACCAGUCACCUUUCAGACCAUUUUCCGGCUGACUCCGGCAACCAUUGGGUUCCAAAUAGGUAUAAUCUUGUGCUACACUUUCCUAUCUUCAUUUUUUUAUAUUAUGGGUCGAAUUUGGUUAAUAAACGAUUGAGUUACAAAGCUUUGAAAAUUGCCUAAACUUUCGGCCAAGAGUUCUGGGACACUUAACGGAGUUUUUAACUAAAGGACCAACAUAAUGGAUGGUGGACAAUCUCAGGAACCAAAGUGAUGUGUAAUGCAAAUCUCAUGAACCAUUUUAACUAAAAAGCCAAAAAAACAAAAAAACAAACAAACAAACAAACAAACAAAUUAAAACACAUAUGACGGACAAAAAAAAACACACACAUGAUGAAUCGUUCUUUCUUUAAGACAACCGGUUUUGAGAACCAAGUCUCUCAUUAAAUUUCUAAUCUAGAGUAACUCACAUAUUUUUUGGGUCAUCCCUCUAUAUUUAGCUUCAAUAAUAAACGUUGCUAAAACUUUUUGUUUUUUACUUUGUAGAGUAACUAGAUUUACCUACAUAUAAAGGUAAACUCUUUAUCUUCAUACGGUCUAGUGGUAUUCAUCUUUAUUUGUAAGUAAGAAGUUUUAGGUUCGAUUCUCAUUAAUGGAGAAUUUAAAUCACAUUAUUGCUAACUCAUUGUGAGGCUUAACUCACUCUCUCACCCUCUAUGUAAUAAUAUCAUUUAUUCCAAAAAAAAAAAAAAAAAAAAAAUCCUUAUCUUCGAUUCAUCCAGCUCAAUCUCCAUCUAUAUAACCUUCAAACUAACAAACUAUCAUCAUUCGUUGCUUUAAGCCUGGCCUUUUAAUAAGGGUAGGAGCUGAGUUAACUGCGUAACCUAAUUAUUAAUUGGCUUAACUUAGCCCUAAGAAAAUGGCUGACCUCACUGCCGACACAGUCUCAGUCAACCAAACCAUCAAAAAGCUGCAAGGGAAGGUCGUAGUCGUUACCGGCGGCGCCAGCGGCAUCGGCGAAGUCACCGCGCGCAAAUUUGUCUUGCACGGCGCACGCGCAGUGGUGAUCGCCGAUAUCCAGGACGAAUUAGGCCAAACCGUCGUCGCAUCCAUCGGUCCUGGUCGCUCCACCUACAUCCACUGCGACGUGACCGACGAGGACCAGGUCAGGAGCUUGAUCGAAUCGACGGUCAAGAUCUACGGCCACCUCGACGUCAUGUUCAGCAACGCCGGCAUCGGCUGCGCGUCACAGCAGACAGUGCUGGAGUUGGACCUCUCCAACUACGACAAGGUCAUGGCGGUCAACGCCCGCGGUAUGGCGGCGUGUGUGAAGCAUGCGGCGAAGGCGAUGGUGGAGGGGGGCGUGAGGGGUAGCAUCGUGUGCAUGGCGAGCACAGCGGCGGGCCAAGGGGGACCGAUGUUCACGGACUACAGAAUGUCGAAGGACGCGGUGAUGGGGCUGAUGAGGUCGGCGAGUCUGCAGCUGGGUGCUAACGGUAUACGCGUCAACUGUGUGUCUCCGGGGCCGGUAGUGACGCCACUGUUCUGCUGGCAGUUCCAGGUGGAGGCGGAAGAUGCGGAGAAUUUGUACGAGGCGCAGUUGGGGUUGAAAGCAGGGAAGAGGAUGUCGGCGGAGAAUGUGGCAGACGCCGUCGUUUUCUUGGCCUCGGACGACUCUGAAUUUGUUACUGGCCACAAUUUGGUCGUGGAUGGUGGGUUUAAGAUGUAGAUAGAUGCAAGAGUUGUAUCUCACCUCUAAUAAUCACUACUCGAGAAUCAUUUCCAAAAAAUAAAAUAUUACGAAACUAUGAUCAUAUUUCUUUAUGUGUUACCUUAUUGUAAUCUGAGUGGAUUAUGUACUUGAGACACUAUUAAAGAGUUUGGUCGCUCAAGUUUCCGCUGGAGGUAUAACCGUGGCUAAAAAUGUAUUACUACUAUUAUUUUCUGUUGAAUUGAUUCAAACAAGGUCUUAGAUUUGAGAGUUGCUUCGGAUGCUUGCCUUGGAUAAUGUUUAAGUCGAAUAUGGACAGUCAAACAAUACCAGAUCUAAAAGAUAUAAUAUAGCACAGAAUUGACGUUUUAUUGCAAUGUCGGAAAAUAAUUAUACUUGUGCAUCUUGGUGUUAAUUUGAUCUUGACCGGUUUUCGUUUUUCUUUUCUCCUAACAAUUUAACACACUAACAAUGUCAUUUUUAAAAUAUAAAAAAAUAGAGCACAUAUAGGGAAAUCCAAACUCAAAUGGACACUAAACACUCGACCAAAAAUAUAUAUAUAUAUAAUCACAUGUUCUGAAGGUUUAACUUUAGAAUAUUUUCAAAAAUAAAAUAAUAAAAAAUAUUAGGAUUUUAGUUGCAUAUUUAAGAGAAAAGAAAAGGGAACCAACUCCUAGUCUUAUGCGCCACUCAGUACUAUGGUCUGAUCACUUGGAAAUGAGAGGUCUUAAGUUCGAAUCUUGUGGAUGACAAAUUCAAUACCAAAUUAGAUUGCGCAUUGUGUGGCUUAACUGAACUCUCCGUCCCCUUAGUGUAAAUAUCGAUGUAUUCAAAAAAUAAAAAUAAAAAAACUCCCAGUCUUAUGCAAGCUGCUUUGGUCUUAUAUCAUACGGGUAAGAAAGAAUAAUAUUUUGAAUUGUUAAUUAGUUUUCCUUUUUAUUUAUAAACACAACUGGAUACAGUAUGUAGAUAUGUAAAAAGCUAGAGAAGAAGACAAUUGGGUUUAUACAUCAAUUAUUUGAUAUCUCUCUAUUUAUUUUUUAAGGAAACCCUAAUUUUAUGCAACUGCAUCAGUUUGUCUAUACUAUAUAUCACUGGAUAUCAUGCAAAGCUCCCUUUGAAUUAAGGUGUUGGCCUGUUCAUCUCUUUAUAAAAACAAGUUGGACAGGUCCAACUCAAUUUAUUUCUCCAAAUAAUUCAUAAGUUUACAUAUUAAUACUACAGGUUUGCCUUUGGCCCUGAGGUCUACUAUAAGUAACCAAAUUAUUUUACCCUGAAGUUUAUACACAUACACACCCGAACUCUUGUUCUUGAAUCGGUUCAAUUUUAUUAAAUCAUGUGUGGUUAUUAAUACAUUUGAGUCCUAAAUCAUUUAGCUUAUGUUGUAUGUUAUUAUUAAACACAUAAAAUAAUCUCUAUUAUGCCCGAUAUGUAAAAACAAAAACACAAAAAAGAUGCUAAGACCUCCUUUGUAAGUCCUCAAAGAGACGUGUGGUAUGCCCUAACCCUGAGAUGUGAUAGCCUUAACUUUUUGACAGCCAAUUAAACACAUAAUUAAGGCUUUUAUCUUAAGGUAAAUAUAUAUGUUUGUUACUCCCACUAUAAUUUUAUUUUCAUUUGUAUAAAGAAAAUACAUGUAUGAGUAUAUCUAUCUGCAAGACCAAGCCAGAGCAUAUAUAUAUAGUAGACUUUUGGUUGCUUGACAAAGAAAUGAGACCCGACUUCCAAUCAUCAUCAAUAUGAUAUUGCAAAUUUGUAAUCGGUAUCCGUCUUAAGAAUUAUAUAUAGUGCAAAAUUGUAAUUCACAUUUAUUUCUAGUGAGUUCCACGAUGAAUCGGGAGACGAGAGUUGGUUGUUGGUGAGAGAUUAUUAAUGUACUCAGAACACAACCCGAUAGACUAUAAUAUCUAAAAAAUAAUAAUAUAAAGAUUAAAAUUUUAGUCGAUGAUGACAAAAGAAAUGGGAACCAUUAAACCAACUCCCACGUAAUUUGAUUCAACAAGCUAUAUAUUAUACUUUUAUUGGCAGGGUACAAUAGAGGUUUGGUAUAAGUGCAUGAUUAAAUAUUAACAAGCUGCAAGGCAGAGGGAACAAUACAGGGUUAUAAUACUUUUAUUCAUCAAGUUGUAUAAUUUGACGGUUUGUUUUAUUCACACCUUAUACUACAUUCAACAUAUUUUUUGAACAUAUUUAAUCCACUUUAUAUUUACUUUAAAAAAAAAAGUAUCUUAACUUAUCUCAUUUAUUUUUCUUAUUUUUCAAUACUACCUCGACAUUUCGCACUCUCAUACACAUCCAACAUCACACUCUUCUCAGUUUCAAAACAAUAGAAUAAUCUGAAUUUUAGAGACAAGAAAGAUAGAUUAAUUGUUGUAUAAAAUCUCUAACAUGCCGUCUAAUUUAUACAUCCGAGUAUCCUUUCAAAUUUUCUUGAACAAUCAACGUUGGAGUGCAAGAGCCCUGAAGCACAAACAGUAGGGACUAUUCUUAAGGUCACGUCAUUUGUUUAAAUGGCUUUCAUGUUCGUUGUUUUCAGAUUUGUAAAAGGAACACAUUUGUUUGUUUAAAACUGCCAACCGACGUGCACCCUUUUAUGAAAGAUUAUAACCCAAUUCCAAAUCCCUUCCAAAAGGUUAUAUAUGUCUAAUGGCAUUGCUUCAGUUUAAACCAGCGAAGAAACAUUUGAAAUGAUGCAUUACCAAAUAAUUUCUUGAAUGCCUAAACCAAAGAAUAAAAAGGGAACUAAAGCUCGAUUUUAUGUUUCAUUCAUAAAAAAUAAAUAUGUUUGUGCUUUUAGGGUUUUGUUAUAAAGUUUCAUUGAUGUAGUGCAUCAACAUUUGGCGUCGUCUAAGGAGAUCGUCACAAAAAGCUAUGUUCGUUCUCUCUCAUUUUUUAUCUCACCACCACAUUGAGAAUAGAUCCCCCAUUAAUGGAAGGAUAAAGCUUACAUGUGCUUGUAAGUAAUUGAGUUACUUUUCAUAGUGUCAGUUGAUUUUAUACAGUAGAACCUUACAUUUCUUCACGUUCUUCACCUUGACUUUUCAGCUUUUGAUGUUCAACGUGAACUUACGUGGCAUGGCCUCAUGUGUCAAACAUGCAGCGUGUGUCAUGGUAGAGGCACGUGAGGGGGAGCAGUGUCUGCACAACAAGUGUGGUGGCGACUGGCGAGCCACGGCAUGCAGAUUCGUACGGACUACUGCAUGGCGAAGCGCGCGGUACUAGGGUUGGUUCGGUCGGCGAGCCUGCAGCUCGGAUUGCACGGGAUUAGAGUGAACUGCGUCUCGCCGAACGCGCCAGCCAUGCACGCCGUUGACUUGCAACGCGCGAGGGAAUCAAGUGGAGGUAGUGAGGCAGGUGUGUGAGAAGUUUGCGUCCUUAAAGGGGGUCGUGCUGACGGCGAGGCAUGUGGCAGAGGCGGAGCUGUUUCUUGCUUGUGAAGAUUCUGAGCUUGUGACUGGACAUGAUAUGAUGGUGGAUGGUGGCUUUAUUUUCUGCAUGAUUAUGCACUUCUUGGAUUCCCCAUUAGUGCAAGUCCACCGGAGGGUAUAGCCCAGUGGACAGGGGACCAAAAAAACCCAAUAGCCAGCCUUCCUUACUCCAUCUCAUGCGGGCAAUUGGACUAGGGGCAGGCCGUGAGAGAGGGGAGGCAGGAAUCAACAGCCCGAGCAUCUGAGGGUGGUGAUGCAAGGAUGACAUCAUACACAUUAAAAAAUAAUUAAAAAAUUAAAAAUUAAAAAUAAUAAUAAAUAAUUUAAAGAAUUAAUUAAAAAUGCAAAAAAUUAAUAAAAAAAUCCGAAAAUUAAAAAAAAUUGAUUUAAUUUUUUUUAUAAAUAUCUUAUCAUUAUCUUCCACCUUACACUAUAAUUUAUAUUUUCUCAAAUACUUUGGUUUGUAAUUUUUUAUUUAAUGAUACAUGGUGCAACGAGACCGAUUAAAAAUCUUAUCUGAAAUUACAAAUAAAAUUAUUUUUUAUUAUUUUGUAAAAUAAAAAAUACUAAUAUUUUAUUAUCUAUUGCCAUGGCUAUUCAGUUUAAGGAUAGAGAUGUAAAAGACAAUUACUAUUUAUUAAAGACAAUUAUUCUUUAUUGGAGAGGAUUUAAUAAGCAGUUGCCCUGGGGCCUUCCAACACUGGCAGUGCUCUUAUGAUCUGCGUGAGUGUUAGGAUCAAUAAUGGGCUUUGUAUUUGUAUCUGUGUGUGGUUUUGUUGAAUGGGUUUCUUUUUUCUUAUUUGCAUAGAAAAGAAUGGGCUUCGCUUGAGUGGUUGUGUAACAAAUUUCUUUCCUUUCUAAUGUAAAAGUAUUUUCAAUCAUGUUUUUUAUUUUUAAUUAAAUUUAAUUAAGAAUAAAAACAUUAUAAAGUAACUUAGAUUUACUUUAUUUAUUUAUCUAUUUAUUUUGAUACAACGAUAUUCUACUUUGAGCGGAAGUGGUAUUGUGCUAGGCCAAACAAUGAAUCAAUCAAUAAUUAGUUAUCGAACUUAACAUAAAUAAUAUACACCUUUGUUAUCUUUGUGAGUCGUAUCUAAGACUUUUCACUGAGGAAUACCAAGCUCUUUAUAAAAUUUCUAUUUUAACCUUGUUUAAGGGAUCAUAAUGAGAAAGAACCAACAGAAUAAUGGCUCGUUUAAAAAUGCUUUUAAAAUGACUAAAAGUUUUUAAUGAAUUUUUUUUCAAACCAAUUCUUAGUAAAAAUGCUAGUGAAUUUAGAAAGCAUUUGAAGUGUUUUCUGCUAGAAGUACAUAACCAGUGUUUAAUAAGGUCUUUUUGGAACCCAAAAAUCGUUUUUAAUCAUUUUAAAAACACUACCAAGUAAACCUAUAUUGUGUGCCUAAAAUAAUAUAAAAAUAAUAGUCAUUAAUGUUGAGUCAUUAGGAGCACACGUUCUUAAGGUUUUGCUAUCAUAGAGAGCAUAGUUGGAGUUGAAUUUUUCUAAACUUCUAAAUCUCGUCUUGAGAGCACAUUAAAAAUGCUGUAAUAAUGCAUAUUCAACUCAUAACACAUGAAAGAGGAAUCAUGCCCCAAUGAGUAAUUAAUCAUAGUGCUUUGGUUUAAUCACCUUUUUUUGUGUGUACAAGCUAUGUUAGGGAGGAGAAUUAAAAUCGAGAUUUCAAGUGCAUUAGAAAAUAUUCUUAACUAGUUGAAUUACAAGUCUCUUUUUGCUUAAUUACAAUCAAAGAUGAAGGAAUUGAAACACUGCAAUAGGUUUUUAAAAGCUCGAAGUGCAUCUUUGUGCUAAGGGCUGGUUUGGUAUUGCUGUGCUUUGAAAAAAAAGCUGCUGUGAGAAUAAGCGGCUGUGCUGUGAGAAUAAGCGGCUGUGAAAUAAAGCAGCAGAGUGUUUGGUAAACUUCUUUGUAAAAGUGCUUUUGGAAAAAAAAAGCAGUUUGAUAGUGGGUCUUUUCAUUAAAGGAGCACUGUAGCUCUGUGUGCUUUGAAAAAAAGCCAGUUUUCCAAAGCUGCAAAUAGCAGCUUCAGCUUUUUCCUUUGAUUUCAGCUUAUUCUCACAGCAGCUUCCAAAAUAAGCCAUUUUUUUCAGUUUACCAAACACCUAAAACCCUUACAGCUUUUUUUCAUGGAUGCUUUUUUUUUAAGCACCUCACUCCCAAAUCAGGUCUAAGUCUUUUUAUUUUUCUUAUUUUCAAGUGCCAAUAUUCAUGAGAAUCCUCAACUCCCCUUCUACAGGGUUAUAUAUAAUUUUUCUUCUUAGAAAUGUUGUCUGUAUAUAUGGAGUUGUCAGUUGUGUGGCAAAUGCCAACAAAAAUGGCCUUUCGACUUCACCAAAAGACCACUUGAUUCGAAAUAUCUGGUUUUCGAACUCCCAACGGUCAGAUAUAGUCUCUCUGACCCUUUCAUCUUCCUAAAGAAAAUCAUAUUCAUAUCCAUCUCUGGAGCAAUUGGAAGAGAAAGAAACAUCCAAUAGAAAUAAUGGGCAUGCAGCUGAUGAGGACUUCUAGAUUUCAUCACCAUCUUCUUCAUCCCGAAAGCACUUCUACCCCUCCCACAAAAGCACUUUUUGGUUUAGGACAUGUCAACAGCAGAAGCAUAGUAAACAUCAAAAGAAGAAAUCAAAUUUAUGGGAUUGUGGCUUCAAGCAAUUUGGCUUCACCACUAUGGGACAGCUGGAAGCCUGAGAAGGGUUCCGCUGCUCCUUCUCUCAGUGACAUUACCUGGCCUUCUGCAGGUAAUUAGAAUCAUAGAGAUUAAUAUUAUAAAUAAUAAUACCUAUUAAUCAUGUGUUUAGAUGCAUUAAUGAUGUGCAUUUGGUGAAAAAUAGGGGCUUUUGCAGCAAUGGCAAUAUUGGGGAGGAUGGAUCAGAUAUUAGCACAAAAAGGAAUGUCAAUGACAAUUGCACCUUUAGGGGCAGUUUCUGCAGUCCUCUUUGCCACUCCAUCCUCUCCUGGUGCUCGGGUAUUAAACUUGUUCUACUUUCUGAGGUUUAAAUCAGGAGAGAUUCUUGCAUAUAAACUGCUGAUAUAUUCAUGUUUCUGUAUCACUCAUCACAUGAUUUAUGUAGUGAUAUAAUUACAUUAAAGAUAUAUUUUCAAGUUUAUAACGCUUAUCACUUGACUUAUAAAAUGUUAUAGUAACAUGUGCACGACAUAUUUCCGGUGACACACAAAUUUUUCCCAAAAUUAUCCAUGAAUGCUCUUUGUUCUUUUGUAAUCUAUUUGGUGAAUAUGAGCCAUAAGUUGCUUUGUUCUCCUUCAAGCCUAGACUGCCUUGUUUGAGUAGUGAGUCAAUGGUAGACACGAGUACAUGUAUACAAUUGGCACAACUCCAGCUGUAUGGACCCAACAUGAUGAAAAUGGAAGAUAGCAAAAUUAAGUCCAGAUUUUCUUGAAGUUCCUUAUUAGGACUUAUUUUGAUCCAAACUUUUAAUUGUUCUGGCCUGUUCAUUUAGGAAGCUGAAUAUUUAAGGGGGAAAUGUCCAUGAGUCGUAGAUGUUUUGUAUAUGAGUUUGCCAAUCUAUACAACUCUUGUAAGAAUUUGCAGGUCAAGUUAUUAAGAUUGCUUAUCCUUAUACAUGAAAUCCUCUGUUCAAAAUUCAAAUACCCCAUCUUCCUUACGCUUAGUCUUUUUGUAUGUGAAAAGACCUAUAUACCUAGGUCAAAUAAAGGGUUAAACGUAUAUUACAGAGUCAUAUGAAAGAGUCGAACUUAAAUUCAUCUUGGCCGAAAAAUGAACAACAGAGUUAGAUUUGUUCGACUUAGAUUUGAUGGUUAAACAAAUUUGCUAUUCGUCAAAAGUGGUAAUUUCAAUUUUUGUGUCAUUCCCCAAUUAAAUUUAAGAUAAUCAAAAGCAUAUAUAGCCUAUUGAAAUAACACACUAAUUCUCCCUUGUGGUUUUGCAGAAGUACAAUAUGUUCAUGGCACAAAUAGGUUGUGCAGCAAUUGGUGUACUGACAUUUUCCACAUUUGGCCCAGGAUGGCUUGCUAGGAGCGUUGCCCUAGCUGCAUCCGUUGCUUUCAUGAUUUGCACACGUUCCGCACAUCCACCUGGUAAUUCCUGCUACCUCCUAUCCAACACAAAAUUCUCAUUAAUCUCUUUUUUCUGCUACUAAAAUCUGGUGCACAACUUAUUCUGUGUUCAAUUUGCAGCUGCAAGCUUGCCUUUACUCUUCAUCGAUGGAGCGAAGUUCCAUAACUUGAGUUUCUGGUAUGCUUUGUUCCCGGGCACCGCUGGAUGCGUUCUUCUUUGCUUGAUUGUAAGCACUCUUACACUAAUUAAUCCUAGCCAAUUGCAAAACUUGUUUGCUUAUUUGUUCUGAACACAUUUCAACACUUUUAGUAUGCAAUGGCUGAUCUCACUAAUUAUCUCGAUGUUUCUGCAGCAAGAAAUAGUGUUAUACUUGAAGGAAAACUUCAAAUUUUGAUCAUCUGGAAGCAAACACAUGCUUGGCUACUCACAUAGUUGGAGACAUCGUACAUUCCUUCAUCUCAAGUUCAAUAUUCAAGGAAAUGCACCCCAUAUAGAAAUGAAAAGCAAAACUCGAAUACAACUAAAGGUCAGUAAGUCUUGGGUUCGACUGCGCACCCGAAUCUCCUUAGGGACGCAUGAAAUUAAGUCCAAAGGAGUUUGUUGCCCACAAUUAUAUUGUAGUUCUAUUGUAAAACGUGAUCUAAAUUAUUCUCCUCUACACCAAGAUUGUGGUCCUAAAUCCUAAAAGUAGUGCAUUGAUGGUUCUAAGGUUCUUAAAUUGAUGUGAGGAAAUAUCUACUUGCCAUAUGGUCCAUGACUCCAUGAGAGUAAAUUUAUUUUGCUUUAAUUAGUCCAAUAUCAAAUACUGAUUUUGGGGCUUAACAUCAAUGGUUAAUACAUACAAUUCAUCAAAUUGAUCAAAGAUUGUAAUUUCAUGGAGAGAUUUUUCAAUGUGCUGGAAACAUGGUCUGGUACACCAAUACAGCGUGUAUCAUAAUAUAAAUGGUUGGAUACUUGAAAAAAAUAAUUACAACGAUACUUCGUGUAUAGGAUUGUGUUCCUGGUACACUGAAAAAUAUCUCAACUUGUAGGAGUAUGUUGCCCACAAUUAUAUUGUAGUUCUAUUGUAAAACGUGAUCUAAAUUUAUUCUCCUCUACACCAAGAUUGUGGUCCUAAAUCCUAAAACUAGUGCAUUGAUGGUUCUAAGGUUCUUAAAUUGAUGUGAGGAAGUAUCUACUUGCCAUAUGGUCCAUGACUCCACGAGAGUAAAUUUAUUUUGCUUUAAUUAGUCCAAUAUCAAAUAUUGAUUUUGGGGCUUAACAGCAAUGGUUAAUACAUACAAUUCAUCAAAUUGAUCAAAGAUUGUAACUUCAUGGAGAGAUUUUCCAAUAUUUUGGAAACACAGUCCGAUACACCGACACAUCGCGUAUCAUAAUAUAAAUGGUUGGAUACUUGAAAAAAAAAUUACAAUCACUUGUAUUAUGACACUUGAUGUAUAGAACCAUGUUCCCGACAAACUGAAAAAUAUCUCAACUUCAUCAGUGUUUUCUUGCAUGCAAUAGAGUUGUGCCCACAACAUUAUCAUGGAAUUUUGGGGUUAAAAUGGAGGCUAACAAGAAAACUAUCAUUAUCUAACAACUUCCAAUGCUCCCUCCUACGUAGGUUUAUUUUAUUUUAUUUUAUUUUUUUUUAUUGUUGUUGUUGUUAAGAAUGAAACUCACUCCUAAAAGUUUAGUGGAUAUGAAACAGAUAAAGGGUAAUUUUAUCGGCACGUCUAAAUAAAUAUCUUGUUUUUAUAUUUACAAAAAAUGUAGACGCAAUAUGUUUAAGUACAAAUAACAUAUUUUUGAUGUAAACUAAAGAGAAUUAAAACAAACUCUUAUAUAACACAAUUCAUUUCCAAUUUAGUCAAAUCUAAAGAGCAAAGGUAAAGCUGAACAUCAACUUAGUUUUAAAAAUACACUUGUCGAAAGAGAUUUAAAACUUUGAUCGAAUACAACUUUCCCAACAUUCUAUAUGUACGUAUGAGAUUGAGUAAGAGAAAGAACAAAAAAGGAUCAAAAGCCACCCUAGCUUUAUAGCUCUCUUAGUCAAUCUAAUUCAUUAGUCCACAAACAAAUUUACUAAAUGCAAAUGACAUUCUUUGAUGAUAAAAUAGAAUUAUGAGUCUCGUGUUAUAAAUAGGCAAAAUUUAUAGAGAGAUAACCUUUACUCGGUGAAGGAACGAAGCAGUUGCAGAGUAAUAUACCGACACAAGCUGUUGCAGAGGAAGUAAUGUAUAUUAUUGCUAUUAGAUAUAUUUCUCUUUCUUUCUUCUUCUCAUUCACUCUUCUUUGCACAAUUGAAGUGCUCUAUUUAUAGAGCUACUUCUAUAGAAAAUUACAAAACAUUACUAUUUAGCUUAUGAGUAUAUAGUAUACACAUGUGAUACUUCACUAUACACAUUACUAUACACAUGUGGGCAAACAUACCCAUUAUUUACAACACUCCCCCUUGGAUGCCCACAUAUCAACAUCAGUUGCCUCAUUAAAACCUUGCUUGGAAAAACCCUGUGGGAAAAAACCAUAGCGAAGGAAAAAGAGUACAACUAUACCUGGAUGGUGUUGAGCAUGCUUAGGUUGCCUCGUUAAAACCUUGAUAGGAAAAACCCAGUGGGAAAAAUCCUAAGCGAAGGAAAAAGAGUACAACAUGCAUGUAUCAUGGAUGCUCCCCCUGAAUUGUAUCUCCCCCUGAUUCCGCAUUCUUCAAAUCUGUAAGCCGACGUAAUCCGAUUCCCUGUACCAACUUCUGAAAUGUGCACUUUGGUAGAGAUUUGGUGAACAAGUCUGCUAAAUUUUCAUUAGAACGGAUUUGUCUGACUUUAAUAACUUUAGCCUUCUGAAGCUCAUGUGCGCUGAAAAAUCUUGGAGAUAUGUGUUUAGUCUUAUCACCUUUGAUAAAUCCUUCCUUCAUCUAGGCGACACAGGCUGCAUUAUCUUCAUGGAUGACAGUUGGAGUGUCUGUCUUUGAAGGUAGACCACAUGAAUUCCGGAUGUGAUGGAUCAUUAAUCUUAACCAAGAACAUUCACGACUUGCUUCAUGUAAAGCAAUUAUUUCCGAAUGAUUGGAAGAUGUUGCAACUAGCGUUUGCUUUGUUGAUCGCCAUGAAAUUGCAGUAUCUCCAUUAGUGAACACAUAUCCAUUUUGUGAGCGGGCUUUAUGCGGAUCGGAGAGAAAAAACCAGCAUCUGCGUAUCCAACAAGGAUUUGUUCAUUUGUGGGCUUGUCUGAGUAGAAGAGACCCAUAUCUGUUGUCCCACGAAGGUAUCGUAGAACAUCUUUGACUCCUUUCCAAUGACGGAUUGUUGGAGCAGAGCUAUACCUGGCUAACAAGUUAACUGAAAAAGCUAUAUCUGGUCUAGUACAUUGUGCUAAAUACAAUAAAGCACCUAUUGCGCUCAAAUAUGGUACUUUUGGACCAAGGACCAGUUCAUCAUCUUUCUUUUGGACGAAAUGGAUCUUUCUUAAUGUCCAAAGAACGAACGACCAUUGGGGUGCUAAGUGGAUAAGCCUUGUCCAUGCCAAAUCGCUUCAGUAUUUUUUCAAUGUAAGCUGAUUGAUGGACCAAAAUUCCACUAACACAAUGCUCGAUCUGCAGGCCUAGACAAUAUUUGGUUUUCCCAAGGUCUUUCAUUUUCAAAUUCGCUUUUCAGAUAUUCAGCAGUUUUGUUGAGCUCUUCAAGGGUUCCAACUAGGUUCAUAUCAUCGACAUAUACUGCCACUAUAGCAAAUCCAGUAUUUGAUUUCUUAAUGAACACACAAGGGCAGAUGACAUUGUUGGCAUAUCCUUCUUUAAUCAAAUACUCACUGAGACGAUUAUAACCACAUUCGCCCAGAUUGUUUUAGCCCAUAUAGUGAUCGCCUUAAUUUGAUUGAGAACAUACCCCGUGGUUUGUUAGUUGCUUCAGGCAACUUAAGUCCUUCUGGGACUUUCAUAUAUAUGUCAGUAUCUAAUUCUCCAUAUAGAUACGCGGUGAUGACAUCCAUAAGUCGCAUAUCAAGUUUUUCUGAAAUCACCAAAACUUAUUAAAUAACGGAACGUAAUUGUGUCCAUUACAGGAGAGUAUGUCUCUUCAUAAUCAACUCCAGGUCUUUGUGAAAAACCUUGUGCAACAAGUCGUGCUUUAUAUCUUGCAAUCUCGUUUUUCUCGUUGCGUUUCCUUGUGAACACCCAUUUGUAACCUACGGGGUUUACAUCAGUUGGGGUUUGGACUACUGGUCCAAAAACACUUCGCCUUUCCAAGGAAUUUAAUUCUGCCUGGAUUGCAUCUUUCCACUUAGGCCAAUCUUUGUCUCUGUUUGCAUUCAUCAACAGAGCGGGGCUCAAUAUCAUCACUUAAUAUAAUUUCAGUGGCUAUUGCAAAUGCAAACAUGUCAUCGAUGAUUAUUUCAUUUCGAUCCCACAAUUCAUUAGUACAUGUAUAAUUUAUGGAUAUUUCUUUGCUUUCAUGUACUUCUGUCUCUUCAGGGACAUGUGUCUCAUCAAGGACAUUUUCUUUUUCUGGAAGUACAGAGUCACGAAUUGUGGAUUUAUCAUUCAAUUCCUUUUCUUGAAUGAUAUCAUUUGGGUUCAAUUGGGCCCUCAUCUUUCUCUUUCGAGGGGCUGAAUCUUUUGAACCCUGGGGGGUCUACCACGCUUCAGGCGUGCACUGGAUGAAUCAUUCGCUGCCACUUUAUUUUGUCCAACAGGGACAUCAAUUCUUGCAGGUGCGUUUGCAGCCGGUAUAUAUGACUGUGUCACUUUCGAAGCAUCAUUAAAUGCAUCUGGCAUUUGAUUAGCAAUACCUUGAAGAUGAACGAUCCUUUUUCACUUCAUUUUCACAUUGAGUGCUUCUUGGAUCAAAAUGAGAUAAGGUGGGAACAACCCAUGUUUAGCUCUUGUCGUUCUUCUGGAACGGGUCUUUUCUCCCCCUAACGACGGGAAAACUAUCUCAUCAAAAUGACAAUCAGCAAAACGAGCUGUAAACACAUCACCAGUCAAAGGUUCCAAAUAUCUAAUGAUGGAUGGUGAAUCAAAACCCACAUAAAUUCCCAAUCUGCGCUGAGGUCCCAUUUUAGUUCGUUGUGGUGGUGCAAUAGGCACAUAAACAGCACAACCAAAAAAACUCGUAAAUGUGAAAUAUUUGGCUGAUGUCCAAACACGAGUUGUAUUGAUGAGUAUUGGUGGUUGGCUAUGGGUCUCAAUCUAACCAAUGAUGCAGCAUGUAAUAUGGCAUGUCCCCAUGUAGAAACUGGCAAUUUUGUUUUCAUGAACAGAGUGCGGGCUAUUAAUUGAAGCCGCUUGAUAAAUGCCUCUGCUAAACCAUUUUGAGUAUGGACAUGAGGAACAGGGUGUUCAACACAUUAAUGCCCAGUGCCAUACAGUAAAUCAUCAAAUGUUUGAGACGUAAAUUCACCAGCGUUAUCAAGUCGAAUGGACUUAAUGGGAUGAUCUGGGAACUGUGCUCGCAACUUAAUUAUCUGAGCAAGAAGUCUCGCAAAAGCUACAUUUCGAGUAGACAAUAGGCAAACAUGUGACCAUCGGGUAGAUGCAUCAACCAAAACCAUAAAAAUAUCGAAAUGGUCCACAAGUUGGUUGAAUAGGUCCACAAAUAUCCCCUUGAAUUCUUUGCAAAAAUGAUGGGGAUUCAUCAUCAACCUUUAGUUGUGAUGGUCUAAUUACCAACUUCCCUUGGGAACAAGCCUUGCAAGGAUUAUCAUUCGAGACAUUAAUGUGUUUUGCUCAGUAAUGGAUGUCCAUUAGAGUUGGUAAUGAUUCUACGCAUCAUGGUAGAUCCUGGAUGACCUAGACGGUCAUGCCAAAGCAUAUAAACCUUUGAAUCAAUGAACUUCUGGUUCAUGACAGUAUAUGCCUCAACUGUCUUUAUGUAUGUACAAUACAAUCCACUCGAUAAACCAUGCAACUUCUCCAAUAUACGCUUCUGGGUAUCAUUGGAGGUAAUGCAUAAAUAUUCCACAUUUUCUACACUUUUCGUUUCAAGGUGGUAUCCAUUUAAACGUAUGUCUUUAAAACUCAACAAAUUUCGAAUGGACUGAGUAGCAUAUAAUGCAUUCUUUAUAGACAAUAUUGUUCCAUUUGGUAACAUAAUCUGGGCUUUUCCUGAGCCUUCAAUUACAUCUGAUGGUCCUGAUAUUGUUGUUACCUUUACUUUUGCAAGUACCAAAUUCGAGAAAAUACUUUCGGUCUCGAAGUAUUGAAUGCGUGGUUGCGCUAUCUGCAAGACAAAAGUCUCCGCCAUUGAUCUUGUUUUGAGAAUAACCAUAAUUUUUAUCCAUGAUCUCUGAGUAAAGAAAAAGCAGUUUAUUUCAUACUGGAAUACUACUUUUAUUGAAUUGAAAAUGCGAGCAUUAAACCAUAGGUACAAAUAACAUGAGUACAUUAAACAUAAAUAAUUCAAUCGGACCCAUAAACUUCAUUCCCUCUUUCAUUAAUAAAGUCUGUAGCAUCCAGGUGGGUUGUGUUUAACUGUCCUGAUAAAUUGGUCACUGGAUCAGGGGUUUCCAUUGGUUUAGCCUGGUCAAGGAAAUUGAUCUCGACACCCUUUUCCUUGAAGGAGGCUUGAUAUAGUUUCCACCAGAUGCUUUGGGGUGCGACAAGUACGCGCCCAAUGUCCGUUGCCACCACACCUAUGGCAACCUCCUUCAUGACUUCUAGGAGUGUUCACAUGAGCUUUUCCUUUCUGGCGAUUGGUAUUUUUAAAGCUCGGGCCUGGAUUAUACCUUGGAACCUGGUUGUGAAACUGGACACCAUGGUUCUUGCUUUUCCCUUUCCACCGACCUUGCUUGUGGCCACGUCCUCGUUUGUAAUUAUUGCCACGAGAGGAUAUGGUAUUCCUUUCAAGGGAAGCAACAUUCACUUCUGGGAACGGUGCUGAUCCAGUAGGUCGGGAAUUAUGGUUUUUUCAUGAGAAGCUCAUUGUUCUGUUCAACUACCAGGAGCACAGAUAUCAGCUGGUUGUAUUCAGUGAAGCCUCGCGCUCUAUACUGUUGUUGCAGUACCAUGUUAGAGGCGUGGAAUGUGCUGAAAGUCUUUUCCAAUAACAUCUCAUCAGUGAUAGUAUCCCCACAGAGUUUCAUCUGAGAGGUAAUUCUGAACAACGCCGAAUUGUACUCAGCCACUGAUUUGAAAUCCUGGAUCCUCAGGUGUGUCCAGUCAUAGCGAGCUUUUGGAAGAAUCACCGUUGUCUGGUGAUUGUAUCUGCUUCUCAAGGCAUUCCAAAGGGCUAACGGAUCUUCAACCGUUAAGUACUCGCUCUUUAGUGCCUCAUCAAGAUGACGACGAAUAAAAAUCAUGGCAUUUGCCCGAUCUUGAGAGGAUGAGCUGCUUUCUUCCUUGAUGGUAUCUCCAAGAUUUGCUGCUUCCAGAUGGAUCUUGGUAUCCAAUACCCAUGUAAGGUAAUUCUUUCCAGUAAUGUCCAGGGCAGCAAAAUCAAGCUUUGCCAAGUUUGCCAUUUUCUUUUUCUGAAAGAAAAAUGAGGUGUGUAAGAACUUGCAAUAAUUUGUGUACUGGAGAAAUAUAUUGUUAGAACUUCUGGUUCUUACAAAUUUUUGAUCUUCAGGCCAAAAUGAUAAGUACUCGAAACUUCAGGCUCGAGAUUUACACAAUUAAUGAGAAUGGCAAUUGUACCGCACCAUUCUUAUCGAAAUAAGUAUAGGAUGGGUGAUUAUUCCGCACUACUUUAAACAGCAGGAAAAUUUAAAUAUGUAGAGCAAGGUGGACGAUUAUACCGCACCACCUAAAAUUGCGAUAAAAUUUAAAUAUGCAAAGCAGGGUGGACGAUUAUACCGCACCACCUAAAAUUGCGAUAAAAUUUAAAUAUGCAAAGCAGGGUGGACGAUUAUACCGCACCACCUAAAAUUGCGAUAAAAUUAAAUAACGGGAAAAUUUAAAUAUGCAGGAUAGAGCGGGCGAUUAUACCGCUCCACUUAAAAUUUGCAGUAAAAUUAGAUCUGCAGUCCAAGAUAGGCGAUAGAACCGCACAAUCUUGGAUUGCAUAAAUAAUCAGUGGGUUAGUAGUCAAUAUCUACACCAAACAAGAAAUCAAAGAUAUAAGUGACUGUUAGUUGGAGAACUAGAAGUAAACAUGGUGCAAACAGUUCUUCGCGAGGGUAUACCCAGCAAUUGAGAGAGAGGAAGAAGAAGAACAGUAAAAACCUUAGAGGAAACAUUUUUUUUUUUUUUCUUUCGGUGAAAGGAAAUGAGAAAUGAUUAGAGAGUCGUGCUGAUAACGUGUUAUAAAUAGGCAAAAUUUAUAGAGAGAUAACCUUUACUCGGUGAAGGAACGAAGCAGUUGCAGAGUAAUAUACCGACACAAGCUGUUGCAGAGGAAGUAAUGUAUAUUAUUGCUAUUAGAUAUAUUUCUCUUUUCUUUCUUCUUCUCAUUCACUCUUCUUUGCACAAUUGAAGUGCUCUAUUUAUAGAGCUACUUCUAUAGAAAAUUACAAAACAUUACUAUUUAGCUUAUGAGUAUAUAGUAUACACAUGUGAUACUUCACUAUACACAUUACUAUACACAUGUGGGCAAACAUACCCAUUAUUUACAACAUCUCGAACAAUGAUUCGAUUAAUGAUAAAGAAAGAAAUUUUUAGUUCAAUUAUCCACCUUAACGAUAAAAACAAAAAAUUGAGCAAAUUUUAGUGAGUCUGACUCAUAAUGAUCAAACUCUAUUGGAUGAGUUUAAUUUGUGUCUAUUUAAUAAACAGAUCUCAAAAUUUAAAUUCAAAAUUGAUGAUAGAUAUGAUGUUAAGCAUUAUCAUCAAUUGAAAGUGGUAAGUGAAAUUUUUUUUUUUUUUUAAAGGUGCAAGAAGAAGUAGGGCGGGUGCCUAUAGAGAAGGAUUAUCUCCCCUUUUUUUUCCCUCCCUUUCCUUUUCUUCUUAUUUGAACGAUCACGGUUAAGUUACGUCAAUAUCUUAUAUUAAUUUUUUAUAGAAAUAUGAAAUAAAAAAUGUGAGAAGGGAUGAUAGAAUGGAAUAGAAAGAAAAUAUGAGAUAAUCCUAAUCCGGGGCCUAUAGGCACGUGAGAAAUGGACCAUAGAAAGCAACCCUACACGGUGACAUAAAACUGAUGGGAGACCAUCGUACAUGGACAGAGGCGUCCACUCCAUAUCCUCUGCUUCCUGGGCCCCACCGGGCCCACUUCAUACGUCCUUCCACUCCAUCUCUUAAAAAUUGCAGGUGGUGGGACCCACUUAACUUUUGACUUGAUCAUCAUCCAAUCAGGGCCGUGCAUAUUACGCCACGUAUAGGAAGGCUUCGACGUCGGGUGGUGUCCAACGAGCUGGAAGAUUCUGAGGGAGACGCUGUCUUUUAACGUGAUGCUUUGGACGAGAUCCGAGCAUCGCAGCUGUACACGUGUGCAUGACACGUCAAAACCCAAGCAGCUAGGGUUUUGAUGGUCGGUGGAAAAUCUCCGAAAACGCCUCGUGAUUCGAGAACGAGGGGCACUUGGCAAGCUAUAUAUGGCUCAUUUUUUUUAGUGCCGUAAGAUAUGGGAAUGUAAGUGACAAAAUCUUCUCUUACAAAUAUGCUUUAUGUUGCAUUGUUGAAAGAAAUGUUGACUUCACUGAAAUUUUUGGGAAUUGAAGAUAAAAUCAAAAGGAGAGGGAGAGAAGGAUUUGUAUUGAUUGACGAAAUGAAUAUUAUACUCUGUUUUUAUAAGAGAAAUUAUAAUUAUUUUAAUCAAAUACUAACAAACUUAUUAAUUAUAUUUCUAACUGUAUUACACUUGUACCCUUAAUAAGAAAAAGAUUGAUCGACAAAAAAAAAUGAAAGAAAAAGACUACUCGAUAUAUGUGUAUGGAUCAAAGAUGAAGAUAACGAGAAAUGACUUUUAAUCCUGCACACAGUGUUCUAACCAUGGAGCGAUCGAUAUUCUAAUAUAAAUCAUAUGAUCUAUGUGAUAUGAGAGAAGUAUAAUUUUUGAAUUUGGUUAUACAAGUUCCGUAACUAAUUGUUUUGUUUAAUUGUAGUGGGUAUGGUUAGACUCUUGAUGAAAUGAUUACCAUGUAAGUGAAAAAGCUGUCAUUGAGGCAAAACGUAUUUUUGGCACACUAAAAAAUGUUUCCAUAGGAGAUAGCUUGCACUGUGAAUUCAUGCAAAUUUUACGAAUUUAUGUCUCAAACCGAAGCUCUUUAGUUGACUCGAACACAUUAUACUUUAAAGCCCUCUUUGUGCCGAUUAAAUGGACUUUCAUUCUAACUAAAAUUUGCAAAUACAUAAAUAAUAUAUAUAUAUAUAUGUAUAUGUAUAAAUAUAUUAUCUUUUUAGAUGGGGUAGGUGAGGUGAGCAAACGUUUCUUACAAUUGUAGCCUAUAAAAUUUUGCAUGCAUAAUAUUCAUUUUUAUAUAAUUUAAUGAGAUGACUUGAGUUACAAUCCUUUUGAUUUUUUAUUAGUUUUCAAUCAAACACAAGCUUUAAUUAAAAAUGAGAACACUCCAAAACCCCAAGGGAAAAUUUGCCAAAUUAAAAAAAUAAAGAAAAAGAAAUCAGCCUAUGGAAACCUCUUGCUAAAUCAUGGAUUAAAGGGACUUAUGUACUAUGUUAAAUCACUCGAGUUAUGUCAAAUAUAUUUUUUAAGGGUAAUGUUAGGGAGACUAAAUUUUAAACCAAAUUUGUAAAUCAAAUGACGUGUCACUAAUACGAAAAAGCACGUUAAUGAACGCUUAUGUAAUAAUCUAAUCAUCAACAACCACAUUAUUUGAUUUAAAAAAUUUAAUCUCUAUAGCAUUAUUUAUUUUUUAAAUAAGGAGUCCCAAUUGCCAAUGGUGAAUAGGUAGCAAUUUCAAUGGUCAUAUUCGAUAUCGGAGAUAUGAGUCCUGCUCUCCUACGAUCUUUAUUUUGAGGACCUGAAGACCAAAUGCAUAUUAGUCACAAGAUUAUGUUAGUUUAGAGCCAAAUGUUAAAAAAAAUUACAACUUAAUAAAUCAAAACAAGAAAAAUGAUAUUACUAAUCGUUCAUGAAUUUUAAGUUUGUCUUGGUUUAUUAAGUUGUUAAAUAUUAUAAGCCUUGAGAUAUAUAUACUAAUAUAAUUUUGUGACUAAUUAAUAUGAUUUUGGUCCUCACAGAUCCUCAAAAUGAGAACUUUAGAAGAGCAGGAUUGUUGCAGAUUUUACUAUUAAACUUUUGAGUAUGAAAGAGAAGUUAAACGACGCGUGACAGAGAUGUUUUGCAAUGAUUAUCAAAUUGCUUCUUCAAGUUUCUAAUUCUGUCAUGAAUUGAGAAGAGGAAGCAACCGCAUUCUCGACUUGGCUAAAUAUUAGCUAAAGAACAUACAUUAGGCUUAUAAGGAUAUGAUUGCAUCAAAAGCUGGCUUCCUUUUGAUUUCUUAAUGAAUUUCAAUUCCUAUGGUUUGAAUAUGGGAAACUUAUAUUUAGUUAUGGCUGCCCGAAUAAGACAGUUCUCUAAAUGAACAAUGAUUUGAACAAACUCGAAUGUGAGAUCAAAAUAUAGGAGAUCUCAUGUUUUAAUAGAGGAGAUCUCAUAUAUGUGAGAUUUGUAAACAUAUGACGUGGCUCGAGCAUCCUACACAAGUUUUCUCUCUUAAUUGGCAAUGAAGGAGAAUUUCCUUUGCGCUAAGGUUGAAAAUCAUAAGAUUUUGCAUUAUCAAGUUUCAAAAUAAAAUUAUUCACACAUCUACUGAUGACCUUAGGCCCUUCACAUUGGUUAAGGUGAGCGUGAUACCUAUUAUAAGAAUAAGAUAUUUGAUUUCUAUAAAAUUACUGCUAAACUAGUGUGAGUUCAAUAUAUUGGUAGCAUCUCGAGUUUGAUAUAUUGAACUUAGGAGUCUAAUAUUCUGAACUCAUGAGUUCAAUAAAUUUGUAUCACUCAAAUUUUCUGACCUACUAUAAAAAUAUGAUACAUCUAUGAGCUAAAUAUAUUGGUAUCAAAUUCACUUUUUUCGGCCUAGAACUUGUUGAUCACAAGAUGAUCACAUUACUCAUAGGAAAUUUAUCGAACACGAAGGAAAAUGAUGUGCCUCCCUAAUGUAUCUAAAAAAACUGUAAAAACUUUCUGCCUGGAUUUGAAAUGCAUGUGGUCUUUCAACCAAUCCCUUUCAUUGCCCAAGCAAAAAGGAUAAGUUGGUGGACAUUGCACACCCCUAUUUUUGGUGGCACAAGCUGUAGUUCCCAAUAAACAAAAGCACCACUAGGGUGCUCGUUGCUAACUCGAAAAGUAUGAUCAAAUUUGCUAAAGAAAUCACGCAAGAGAAGUUCCUCCAACACACUUAACCUUAUUGCCAAUUUGGCCAAGAUCAUAGUUCUCAACAUGGAGAUAUUUUUCAAGUGUAUCCGUAAUACGAGGUACGUAUCAUUAAACAAAUGAUGAGAUACUUGUAUUACAAAAUUACUAAUUUAAAAAUAAAACUUUCUUUCAGUUAUAUAAUGACACAUGAUAUUUACAUGUGUUCCAGCGCAAAAAAGAAAAAUUAUUCUCAACAUGAUAGAAGCAAGAACAUCACUAUCAUUUGAUGGGGUUGUGUGCCAAAUUGUCUCUCUUUUUGUUUAAUGGGACCCUUUCUAAUCGAUGUCAUGAUCUUAUAUCACCGGUUUUGGUAGCCAUAUUCCCAAGAAUCUAAACCCAAACGAAACCAAGAGUGGAGGACUGAUUAGUGAUUAUAUGGAAAGGAUGAAGAAUUAUGAACUUUAUGGUUAGCAACUUCUUGAGUUCUAUAUGUGGAAGAAAAAACUUCAGUCGAGCUGCUCUGUCACGAUACCUCAAAGACACGCACAAGGAGAUCCACCAAUGACGAAGGGUUUAUUUUUCCUUAUUUGUGUCUUGGAUGGACGGACGUGGCAGGGUACCCCAACAGAAAAUUUUCUUCUAUGCCUUUUGGCCUCCACCAAAGAAAGGAAAGAAAAGAAAAAGUGGACGAAUAAAAAGAGAGAAAAUAACAUGGAUGACUCGCCAUCAUGAAGUUGACCCCCACAAUAUGAAUGAAAGAAAGAAAGAUGGAUGCUUUGCUUCGCUGAGGUUCACAAGAAAUCUGUGCAACCAGAUUUUAUCGCUAGCAACAUUAUACAUUUCAAUAGGUAUACAUACAUAUAUACAUACACACAGACCAAUCAUCUGCACGUCCCUCUUCUGGUUAAACAUUCUGCAGCUCAUUUUUAACUUCAAAAGUUCCUUGGUGUGCAAGAAACGGCAAGCAACAUCGGGAUAGAAGCAUAAAGAGGAACUAGUAAGGGCUCGUGUUUAGAACUUGUUUCAUGAAUUUUUCAAGGGUAAAUUACACAGUAGCCCCUCAGGUUUUGAGGUUUAUUACAACCUCAUACAACAUCUUCAAAACAUUUCACUUUUAUACCUUAAGUACUAUUUUAUUUCAAAAUAAUACAUCCGUUACAUUUUUCAUCUAUUGAUCCGUUAAAUGCUGACGUGGUUGCCACAUGUAUGCUACGUGGCUGCCAAAUGUCUGCCACAUGGUAAAUAAUUUUUUUUUUUAAACCUGAAUUUUCUUUAAAAAAAAUAAAAAAUAAACCCACUAUCCCUAACCCCCCCCCAAGCAACCCAUAAUCCAAAAACCUGCAGCAGUAGCAAGAAGAAGAAGAGGAGGGAGGAAGAAGGAAAAACAAAAAAAAAAAAAAUCCCAAAACACAGUUCCUCCCCCCAGCGACCCAAAUCCCUAUCCUUAACCCAAAAUCCAAAAACCUACAGCAGCAGCAAGAAGAAGAGGAGGAGGGAGGAAGAAGGGGGAAAAAAAAAUCCCCUCACCCUCCUUCACCUCCCCCCCUCCCCCUGCGACCUCACCUCGCUCCCCCCCACCCCCCGCGUGACCUCAGCCUCCUUCCCCACCCCCCCCCCGGGGCGACCUCACCUCGCUCCCCCUCCCGCACGACCUCACCUCGCUUCCCCCCCCCCCAAAAAAAAUCUUAUCCCCUCAUCCUCAUCUCUCCUCUCUUCUCCCCGCAAUCCCCAAACCCAUCUCCCCCAUCUUCUUCUUCUUCCCUGCAAACCCGGGAAAAAAAAAAAAAAAACCCUCCAGAUCCCGUCUCGCCAUCGCCGAAUUUAAGGAGUGGGGGUGUGUAGAGAAGGGAAGAGGGUGGGUGCGAAGGUUGGUGCGGAGGGAGGGAGGGAGGGCCACGGGUUGGGGGGUGCACAAGGAGGGUCGCAGGCGGGUGGGGGUUCUUUCUGGGUUUCUGAUUUUGGGGGGUUAUGUGUUUCUGGGUUUUGGUUGACGGGGUGCUUUAUUUCAGUUUUUUUUUAAUUAUUAUUUAUAUUUAGAAGAUUUAGGUUUUUAAAAAAAAUUUAAAAAAUUAAUUUUUUUUGCCACAUGACAGAUAUUUAGCAGCCACAUGGCAUAUAUGUGGCAGCCACGUCAGCAUUUAACAGAUCAAUGGAUGGAAAAUGUAACGGAUGUAUUAUUUUGAAAUAAAAUAGUACUUAAGGUAUGAAAGUGAAAUUUUUUGAAGAUGUUGUAUGGGAUUGAAAUAGACUCCAAACCUGAGGUAUGAAAAUGUAAUUUACCCAUUUUUCAAAUAAGAAGAUGAAAUGAGAGGCUUUUCCGUCAAGUUGCAUUAACAAGAUAAUUUUAUUUAAUUACAUGAAUUGCAUACAAAAAUGGUCCAUUAAACACUAAUUAAGAUCCCCAUGAAAUAAAAAAAGAUUACAAAUGGGGCAAAAUCCACCAUCUUUUGCAUUUGAAACCUAGCUCCCACCACCACAUCUGGAUCGGGGUGCGACAUUUUGCUACUUAUUUUCACUUCUAUGCCAUACUUUAAACAAGAAGAUAAUAACCCGGGAAUUCGAAUUUUGCAG